rnacentral:lncRNA from 1 species
GUUUUCAAGGAAACAAGAAAAAACACAUAAAAGGGAAAAUAGUGAUUCACAUCUCACCGAGUAUUCUUCUUCUCAUCAAUGGUUCCCAGCUCCGUCUUGUGCCCUCAUCGGGUCUAGAUUCUCGAUCACCAUUUCGGAUAUUCCCUCGCUCUCCGGUGACAUCAUAGGUACGUUUUCCGGUUAAAUUAUGAGCUCCGAUUCGAUGUAUACAGUUCACACGUAUACCUAUGAUGCAUAGUUGAUGUGGUGGUUUUGGUCUAAUUGCUUCUUCGUUUGCUUCGGAUUGAUCCUGUUGUUGAUUUUGUUUCCAGUGGUUAUAGAAAUUGUGCUGUUUUAUUGUGGUUGAUUUUGCGAUCUUCAGAGCUGUGAUUGAUGGACUAGUUUUAUGUUGUUUUUUAUUUCUCUGUAGUUGAUUCUGAGCAUGAGUGUUUUGUCCUUUUGAAGUUAGGUGUAGUGGAGGUUUAGUGUUCAUUACUGCGGUUUGAGUUUAAUUUUUGGUUCAUUCUUUGUUGUACAACUGACGGCAUUCAUGUAAACUAGAAAUUCAAUUCGAACAACUGAUUCCAGAACUUUGUUUUAUUUCGUUAACUGCCUGAAAAUUUAGACUUUUCAGCUAUGUUGCUCGGACUCUUCAAAAAUAUCGACAAAAAUGUACGGGUGCGUGUCUGAUCCUCCAAAAAUUGUGUAUUUUUGAAGGAUCCGAGCAACUUAGCUUUUCAGUGUCUUCGAUGUGUACUUUCUUUUGGUAUUCUCAGUUUAAUUUACUUAUUAAUUUAUUGAUAGAACCCUGAAAAGAUUUUAAGCUCAUGUCUUUUAGGGCCAAGUGUGCAAAUUUGGUAACUCUAGUUUAUCUAAAUAGAACUUAGAGUAUUCUCCUUAUCACCGAGCAAUAAGCAUGAAUAAAAAGUAAGCUCACAUGAAUAUUGCGUUAUACCUGUGAGUUGUUUUGUUAUGAAUCAUGAGCUUGGAUGAUUUGUUGGCAAGUAAAUAUCAAUAGCGGAUGAGGUAAUUACUCGGGGUUUUUAUUUUGGCUCAAUGUAGGUAGUCUCUACUGCACAUUAUUGUACUCUUGUGCAGUGUUAUCAAAGGCGCGCUUAAGCCCUGAAGCGAGGCUCAAAACGUGUUGAGCGCUUCGCCUCGCUUUAUGUGCGCUUCAGUGUCGUCAUCAAGGUUCUAAGGCAAACGUUUCCUUGCCAAUGAGCCUCGUAUGAAGAAGUGACUCUAAAUAAUUGAUAUUUCACUUUAUCAUAAAAAGAAAUUCAAUUUCUUUGGUCAUAUUUUUGUCAUUCAUGUUUAUACUUAUUAGUCUUGGGCUAAGCAUAUAUAUUUGUAUUCUUUUCUCCCUUUGCGCCUUUUUUCAUUAAAGCCCACACUUUAUUUGCGCUUAAAGCCCUCACGGACCUUAGAGCUUUUUUGUGCAUUUCGCCUUUGAUAACACUGCUCUUGUGGAGCUCUCUCGAAGGCUUAUUUUUUUGUGACAUUUACUUUUACUUUACGCUUAUCUUAGCACUUCUAAAAUUUUGGAGUUUGGACUUGUUUAGUUACAUAAAUGGUUCAUUUGUUCUUGAUAAUUCAUUAUACUGAAAGUCUAUACACCCAACUAAAUAUCUAAUUCAGAGUGGUAAAGAAUCUUUAGAAGACCAAGAUCACACUGAACCAAUAAAAAAACCCACUAACUUUUCCAAUUGGGCACCUAUAACUGUGGUAAUUUGGAAUAUUUCCAGUUAGUGAACUUUGAUUCGUUCCUUUAUUAUCGGAUUUUAUUCUUGUGCUCCUUUAUCUUCUCUCCUCUUUGUAUUACUUGAAUUUAAGCCUCCAAUAUGUAAUCCUGUUUCCUAUUCUUGAUUUUUAGUCAUAUUCUACUACCCUUUCUAUAGUGAGACCCAGAAAUGGCUCAAGGUACUUGUGCGAUUCUUAGUAUGCAUCGCUCCUUAACAGCCCCUAACUUUGAAGCCUUGAAACCCAAGUAUUCUGGUCCAUAUUUCAAGGAUAAACCCAAGUUUGUAGCCUGUCCAACAUCAGAUUUUGGUAUUUAAUAAGAGCAUUCUUUUUGUCAUUUGUUUGUUUAUUCUUAACAGUAAAGUCAAGCAUUAAUGUGAUUUGAUUUUCUGGCUGGCUUAAAAAUUGCUUAAUUUUCUUACUAGCUUUUGUUGAGUUUAGUUGGUGAUGUUAUUUAGUUUGGGAACAGGACCACAGGUGUUUGGAAUUUGUGUAGGGUUGCAUUCUGUUAAAUUGUGAAGAUAUUGAAAUCACAAUGAACCAACGAAGCACAAUCGAUCUGGAACAUGGAUGGGACUUCAUGCAAAGGGGCAUUACAAAGCUGAAGAACAUUCUAGAAGGGCUGCCUGAGCCUCAGUUCAGCUCAGAGGACUAUAUGAUGCUGUAUACGUAUCCUUUUAGACUCCCUCACUGUUAGGCAUGUAGAUAACUUGGAUUUGAUUCACCUUUCGUUUCCUUAAGUCUACUAACAGGACAAUUUACAACAUGUGUACUCAAAAGCCCCCACAUGAUUAUUCUCAACAGCUGUAUGACAAAUAUCGUGAAGCUUUUGAAGAAUAUAUCACAACAACGGUAAGGGUAACUGCAGUUUACAUUCACAUUUCACUUUAGUUGAAAUUAAACAAGGUACUACAAUAAAACAAGAAAAUAAGAAUUGAAGAAGUAUUAUUCUUAAUUUUUCUUUGAUGUUUGUUAUAUCCAUGUACCAUUCUUGAUUGUCUGCUCCCUUUGUAUCAUUCUGGAAUGUUUGGAACUUAGAAAAAUGAUUUCUUUAAUAAAGAAAAGGGAAAUCAUUAGUCUGGUAAGCCCUUUGUUGCUCUUUUAUUUUUCAAUUUUAGCCAUGUAACAAAGAGGUCUUAGUAUGGGUAGUUUCCUUGGUGCGCUCUGUGAUUCUAUUUUGUGCCCUCAAUGAUUUUAUUUAAUAAGGAUCCAUGUGCAAGUAUCAACAUUUUUUGGGGAUCUGAAUGUAAUUCAGGCAUUGCUUUCCCAAGAGACUAUAUCUUUUAGUUUUAUUCCCACUAUUAUAAGAUUCAAAUUUAGAAAGGCUGCUCUUGCUGCUUCUUCAUCCCAUAGAAUAUUAAGAGAAGGAUACGGGGAAAGUGGAUAGAAGUUUCAAAACACAGCUAAAUUACAUGGAUUUUUUGUAUGUUAUUUUAGGCAUGCAAUUUUUCUUAGGAGUUUAAAAUGAUGAGAACUCAAAUUUAGCUUAAAGUUUGUUUACCCAAUUUUUGUUUCUCCAAAUAAUUCUACCUUCUCUAAAUUUGACACUGCAAUUCAAUUUCAAAAUAGGUAUUGCCUUCUUUGAGAGAAAAACAUGACGAGUUCAUGUUGCGAGAGCUGGUAAAAAGGUGGUCAAAUCAUAAGGUCAUGGUCAGAUGGUUGUCGAGAUUCUUCCAUUAUCUUGACCGCUAUUUCAUUGCCCGGAGAUCUCUGCCGGGGCUUAAUGAAGUUGGAUUAACUUGCUUCCGUGAUCAGGUAAUUAUGGUUCUCCUUCUCUUUUCAUCAAAACUUUGUUUCUAUGGUCAUCUAUUAAAACAUCUCCACCUGAUCCCUUGGUUAAAGCACUGAGUUCAGCUCAUUGCUUCUAUAUUGAUUUUUUUAAUUUUAUUUUCUGGGUUUUGCUCUUCUAGAAUUUGGUUUUCAGUUUGACAGUAUACUAGUCAACUGCUGCCACAUCCUUUUACGAAAAGAUGUUAUCAUUUGGUCCCUCCAUCCCAAUUAUGUGAAGGUGAUUGACCGGAGUUUAAGAGAAAAAGAAAGAAUUUUGAAACUUGUGGUAUAAAGUAAGCUAUAGAAACUUAAGUAAAACAAGAAGUUCGAAGUUAAAUUGUUACUAAUAUGGAAAGAUGUCCCUUUUUUGGGGACCGACUAAAAAAGAAAGAGUAUCACAUAAAUUGGGACAAAGGUAAUAUCUUACGGGCAACUGUUUUCUCUUUCAGGUCUACCAAGAGUUGAAUGGAAAAGUCAGGGAUGCUGUUAUAUCUCUGGUAUCCCUUUUGUCUUGCUUUGAGUUCUCACUACCAUUUCUUUUUUCCUUUUAAUUGAGCAACGACAUUCCUCUAACCAGAUUGAUCAAGAGCGUGAGGGAGAGCAAAUUGACAGAGCCCUACUAAAGAAUGUGCUAGAUAUAUUUGUUGAAAUUGGAAUGGGGUCAAUGGAUUAUUAUGAGAACGAUUUUGAAGCUGCAAUGCUCAAGGAUACAGCGGCUUAUUAUUCUCGCAAAGCUUCUAACUGGAUCCUCGAAGAUUCAUGUCCAGAUUAUAUGCUGAAAGUUAGUAUACUGCUUAUGCAACCCCUUAAUUCUGCCAUUCUUACCCUGUUGCUUCUUCUGUCUGUCCUUUUUCUGGUUAAAGUCCAUAUGUUAACCUACAUAAUCAUGUCAAUGUUCCUUUAGGCUGAGGAGUGCUUGAAACGGGAGAAGGAUAGGGUUUCUCAUUAUCUCCAUUCAAGCAGCGAGACAAAGUUGCUUGAGGUUCAUUCCAGCUCUUAAUCUUUAUUCUUUACUGGAACUUUAGCCUUCAAAAUGGAGGAUGUUGCUAUCAAUUUUUAUUGUUCACAUCUUCUUUUUUCUGGAUCUAGCCUAUCAACUUUAAAUUAGCUGCAACUUUACUACUCUCACCUUUCUGCAGAAAGUGCAACAUGAGUUGUUGUCUGUGUAUGCCACUCAACUUCUUGAGAAGGACUACUCUGGAUGCCAUGCGUUACUAAGAGAUGAUAAGGUAGUUAGCAGCAUCUUAAUGACCAUGUUUCUGAAUUUUUUUUGUGGUAAUUGACACAAUCAUGAUUAUUUUAUUAGGUUGAAGAUUUAUCAAGGAUGUAUAGGCUCUUUUCUAAGAUCCCUCGAGGCUUAGACCCUGUGGCCAAUAUUUUUAAGCAGGUUUGUGAUCUCAUGACCUCAUAUUCUCAAUUGUAUGCCUAUAAGUUACUUCAUGUAUCCUUCUUUUUAAUCUGAAUGCAGCAUGUUACUGCUGAAGGUACAGCUUUGGUAAAACAGGCUGAAGAUGCUGCUAGCAACAAAAAGGUUUGUAUAAUCUAUCCCUUUCUCAAAUUCUUUGGUUUUGAGAAAUUUGGUUCUUCCUUAUUUGGCGCUUAUACACUUUGAGUUGACUUGGAACCAGUCAAACUAGAAGUUUUUGCUAUUUUAAUAUGCAAAGUUACUUGUGCUCAAGUGUCUGAUCAACUUAAUUUCAUAUAUUAACACACCAUUUUGUCAUCAAUUGUUAUGAAUCUUUAGAGAAGGAUCGAUUCAUAGGGCGAUCUGUCAUUGUCGUGGGUCCUUCACUUUCAUUACAUCGAUGUGGAUUGCCUCGUGAAAUAGCAAUAGAACUUUUCCAGACAUUUGUAAUUCGUGGUCUAAUUAGACAACAUCUUGCUUCGAACAUAGGAGUUGCUAAGAGUAAAAUUCGAGAAAAAGAGUCGAUUGUAUAAAUUCAGCUCGUUAAAGGGAGGCUGAACCUUAGAGUUCAUUAAAAAGAGAGAACCCGGAUCUCUUCAGCUCUUCAAAGGGAGACUGAAACCUUAGAGUUCAAUGGAAGAGAGAACUCUGAUCUCUUGCUCUUUGCAGAUGUAUGACUUACUGUUUUAUUCAUCAAAAGCCCCUUUAAAUAGGAGUCUUAUUACAUCAAUAGGAAGUUUAAUUCUUAUGUAAGUAGGAGACCUAAAUCCUGUACCAAACUAAUAACUAUAGGUUAACCUAAUCCUUAUGAAACCAUGAAACAUAAACCCCAUUCUAGAAUAAUAAAGUUACUAAAUUAUAAAUAAAUAGUAAAUUGAUCUACUUAAAAAUAUAAUUAAAUACUUAAAAUUAAUUGACUUCCUCACAUCCACAACAUCAAUACUUUAAGUUUAAAAGCUAUCUACUCUAGCACCCAAGUCUUAAAAACUACAAAAUAGUCCCUACCACCAAAAUUUUAGAAAAGACAAACUAACCACUUUCUAUAAAUAUUUUAUAUCCCUAUUUAGAAAUUAAAAAAAAUAAUCACAAAAUCCAUUUCUUUCCCUCCAAAACCUCUCUGAGUAAAUGAUCAAAAUGGUCCUUGAUGUAUAAGGGUUGUUUUAAGUUGAUCCUUAAUAUAUUCCACAUGAUCCAUAUGGUCCUUAAUAUAUUAUAAAAGAGGAUCAAUUUGAUCCUUUGACCUAAAAGUAACAGAUACAUAAAAAAAAAUCUGUUAACUUUAACACUGACCCCACGUGCAACUCAUGUGCAAAAAUUAAAACACUCAAAAGUUUUCCCUUUCCCCUUCUUUCUCUACAUUUUUCCAAUCUGUUUCAGAAGAGCUUGUGGAUUUUAUUUUUUUUUGCUCCUCAGCCAUUAAAGGGAACUUCCCUCUUCUCAUCUAACACAGAGCUACUAUUUUUUACUGCAAAAUGUCAAGAAAGAUGAAGUUUUCUCUUUUUAGUUCAUCUCUGAAUCCCUAAUUGCUACUCCAAUUCAAAGAUGAUAAGUGAUUUCUAAUAGAAAGCAAUUUUGGAAGUCUUUCAUUGUUGUUGUGUAAAAAAUUGAUUGUAUUUGAAGAUACAUACAGAAGAUCUAAUCAAAGCCCUAUUUGAAGGUGACAAAAUUGAUUCACGAUCAAUGCUUUUGAUUUCGAAAUUAGUAAAGAAACUAAGUGAAGCUGAAAGUAUAUUGAAAGUAUUUGAAAAUGGACAGUAGCAUUAUGCGAUAGCAUUAGUUGAAAAGGAAGAUUGAGACAGAGGCGAUAUCUCUAGAUUAGAAAUGAGCUUGAAAAAGAAAACAAAAAGGUGAAAAAAAUGAAGAGCAAAUUGGUUAAUGCCAAAAGUAGAGAGAAUGUGUGUUGGUAUAUUAUCUUGUAUGACUCUACUCUAGAUUUGAUAUCUAAAUGCGAUUUGAUCUUUUGAAUCAUGGUGCAAGUCAGUUGCCAUAGGUUGAUCUGUAAUCUUUAGUGUAUGUAAUUGUAUAGACAACUUCUUUUUUCAAAAAUAUGGUGCUUUAGCUCUAAUAAUUGAAGUGCAGAUUUUAUAAUAAAAAUUUGGUCCCUUGUAAUAGUAGAAUCUGGUGCAUAUUUUAUUGAGAAUACCUGGUGCAUCAAUUUUGAGAAUUCUAAUGUAAAUUGAGCAUAUGCGCUUAUAAUCAAUGCAAAAAUUUGGUGCCUUGAAACAUUUUAUUAGCACAUCUGGUGCACUUCUAAUGAGCACACUCAUGUCUAGUGAAGUUUGGAAUGGAUACGAUGUACGUAGAUCUUAUCCUUACCUUGUAAAGAUAGAGAGAUAGUUUCUGAUAGACUCUAGGCUUAAACAAAAAUUACUUCAAAGCAGAUACAUCCAAGGUGAAAUAACUAUGAUACUUGAUGUUGUUGUAAGGGCAACAAACAAUGAUAACUAACAAGGAAGUGAUGCAAUUUUUGAAGAUUUGUUUGCUUGCAAAACAGUUUACGUAGCUCUGGUGCUUAUCUAGGGUUGGGACCAUUUGUCUAACUCCAAGAUUCUUAUUUCAAUUUUUAUACGAGAACAUCUUUCUCAUAUCGAUCAAGGCUUUCUUUGAGUUUGAAAUAAGGGGACAAGAAGUAAGAACAUAAACCCUUUAGAUUCAACGUCAACCAUGCUUCAACCUUAGUAGCUGUGUGAAAGCCGCUUAACUUCUCACUUGGUAACAGUUCUUUAAUUACCAAAAAUAAAGAAUGCAAAACAUGUAGAUUGUUAUCCUUCACUAGCUUAAAAGUAAAAACAUUAAUUCUCCCUCUUCCCCUGUAAUCCUAUCAUCUGGCCAUAUCAAUAUUAGAGCUGGAGUAUACCUCUUUUUUUCUUGUGUAGAAAACAUAAUUAAGAACCUCUGUCAACUGUAAUGAGGUUUUCAAUAACUGUAUGCCAAGCUACAAUAUUAAGAAUGAAUAGAGAACAAAAGUUGCACAUGAUUUUAAUUUCAAAGAAACAAAAAGAUAAUAUGGAAGACACAUAGCCACUCAGACAUGAAGUACACAACAAGACUUAAAGUUCAAUCAAAUUUGCAGAUAGAAGUUAAAAAUCGAAGCAUAAAUUGAACUUAGAUCGAUGGAACAAUAGCUGGUGCAUAUUGAAGUUUCUAAUCACAAGUCGCAACUUAUCAAAAUCACAUUACAUGAGUUGAUUCAAAAAUAUGAAUAAUGAGUGCUUACCACUCUAUCACAACCCUUGUUUGUAGCAUAUUGCUAUUCUGCUUAUUUUGAUUUCCAGUUUGUGCUUUUAAUGAGUUUUGUUCAGAGAUUUCUUGUUAUCGUAUCUUCUUUUUUGUAUCAAAAGCAUGAAGUCACAAAGUUUGACUUCAUCUCAGUGAUUGUUUUGUUUCAUUUACUUAAUUUGUUCUUCAGUACAUGGUCAUUGAUAAUUUGGUGGUUGGGAAUAUUACUUCAAAGAGAUGGUAAAAGUUUCUUUAAAGCAGAACCCCUCACCGAAUUCUGUACUUAUCUUAAAGAAAGAGCAUGAGCAGUUGCUUAGGGAACCAAGAAGUGCUUUUUGUCGCAUUUCCUUCUUUUAUGCAUCUUAAAUUCUCCACUUCUGCUGGUUAGAACAAUAUCAAAAUUAAUUCAUCUCAUCUUUUUAGGGAUGAUUCUCUAAAAGAUGAGACUCGUAUUUCUCUGUGAAUGCAUUUAAUAUAAUUGCUCAAUGUCUUGCAUUCUUUCUGAUCAACUAGUGUUCUUCAACAGGCAGAGAAGAGAGAUGUGGUUGGUUUGCAGGAACAGGUAAUCCCUUAGUAAAUCUGUUAUCUGACCCUUGAAUAUGUUUUCGGCGAUGAACUUACUUCUGAAUUUUCAGGUUUUUGUUCGGAAAGUGAUUGAGCUUCACGAUAAAUAUUUGGCGUAUGUGAAUAACUGUUUCCAAAACCACACACUUUUUCACAAGGUAUGUGUUGGAGCGAAGGAUAGUUGUCUAAUUUAAUUGUUCUACUCUGUGCAUCAGGGUAGAAGUAAAUUGCUAAUAUUUAUCCCCUUUGUCAUUUUCUAGGCACUUAAAGAGGCUUUCGAACUUUUCUGCAACAAGGGUGUUGCUGGUAGCUCAAGCGCUGAACUUCUUGCCACCUUCUGUGACAACAUUCUCAAAAAAGGCGGGAGUGAGAAAUUGAGUGAUGAAGCCAUUGAAGAGACGUUGGAAAAGGUGAGCUCUUGCUCUAUAGAUCCCCUUCCCUUCUUUUCCUCUAGAGCAUUUACUUUUUCUUCGUACUACUGGAGCAGGAGAAAGCUGAUAAUAGAUCUCACUUGCAGGUGGUAAAGCUGCUAGCUUAUAUUAGUGAUAAGGACUUGUUUGCAGAAUUCUAUAGGUAGAGUUACCUCUACCGUGUAUCUCAACCACUACUUGAAUAGUAUCUUCUUCUCCGUUACAAGUUUACGACUUCCUUCUUUUUUUUUCAGGAAAAAGCUAGCCCGGCGGUUGUUAUUUGAUAAGAGUGCCAAUGAUGAACAUGAGAGAAGUAUCCUAACAAAGUUGAAGCAGCAGUGCGGGGGGCAGUUCACAUCAAAGAUGGAGGGAAUGGUAAGCUAUCCAGAUCAAUUAUGCUGAAUUUGAGGCUAUGUUCUCUGGUGACAUUCUUCUUCUCUUUCUAUAGGUCACAGAUUUGACAUUGGCAAGGGAAAAUCAAGCCAGCUUUGAGGAGUAUUUGAGCAAUAAUCCAAUAGCAAAUCCAGGAAUUGACUUGACAGUGACUGUCUUGACUACUGGCUUCUGGCCUAGCUACAAGUCUUUUGAUCUCAACCUCCCAGCUGAAAUGGUAUAUCAUAUCAAUAUGUUAAUUGGCAUUAUGCAGUUGAUUUUAUCUUUGUUUGACCCUUAUUCCUCUAGCUGAAGUUCUUCUCUUUAGGCAAAGAAUGAUGCAUGUUGAAUCAUUUUUCUUCUCAAACGUCCUGUCAUUGAUUCAUUUUAUGCCGUGCAUUGUCAGGUUAGGUGCGUUGAAGUAUUCAAGGAGUUCUAUCAAACAAAAACAAAGCACAGGAAACUUACGUGGAUAUACUCUUUGGGAACUUGCAACAUAAAUGGAAAAUUUGAGCCAAAAACUAUUGAGCUAGUUGUCACUACUUAUCAGGUUGAUUGCUGUUGGCUUACUUUUUGAAAUCGGAUAGGCUUAGUUAAUUUGAAAUAUUUCUAUUACGUUAUUAAUGAGAAAACGAGAUUGAGACUUCUUCCUUUUCGUAGGCUUCUGCUCUGCUGCUCUUUAAUGCAUCAGAUAGAUUGAGUUAUCAGGAAAUCAUGACGCAAUUAAACCUAUCAGAUGAUGAUGUUGUUCGGCUUCUUCAUUCCCUUUCAUGUGCGAAGUACAAGAUUCUCAACAAGGAGCCAAGCACCAAAACAGUUUCUCCGACUGAUGUCUUUGAGUUCAACUCAAAGUUCACUGACAAAAUGAGGAGGAUCAAGGUACAAUUAAUGAUGAGUACGGUUAGCCUUUGUACUAUGAAUUGUUGCACUACAUUACUGACCCCUUGAGGAUAUUGCUGUAAUGGGUAUGCAGAUACCUCUCCCUCCUGUUGAUGAGAAGAAAAAGGUAAUUGAAGACGUUGAACAAGGAUAGACGGUAUGCUAUAGAUGCUUCAAUUGUGCGUAUUAUGAAGAGCCGUAAAGUAUUGGGCUACCAGCAACUAGUCAUGGAGUGCGUUGAGCAGUUGGGACGCAUGUUUAAGGUGGUAUCCUUUGUGAUGAACUUCUACUUCUCAAUUUUAAUGUUAUUUAUUCAAGCUCAACUCAGCUAAUUACUUUGUUUUGAAUACUCCAUAGCCUGAUGUCAAAGCUAUCAAGAAGAGAAUAGAAGAUUUGAUAACUAGAGAUUACCUAGAGAGGGACAAAGAUAAUCCAAACCUGUUCAAGUACUUGGCAUGAUUUGUGCAGAUCAUAGUGAAUGAGUGAUGUUUAUAUGAACUUUUGCAAUCGACAUAGGAGGAGAAACAUGCCCCACAAGAUGAGGACAGAUUUCUUUAACUCCUACCUCCCUGGACCUUUGAUUGCCUUGCACCAGGAGCUUGAAACAUUUUGUACAAAUGGUUAAGAUCUCAGGAAAAAGUAGAAUUGCCUCUCAGAUACUUGAGAUGAGAUUGCCUUAACUUCUUCCAAUCCUAUAUGGCCCUUUAGCUUGCUCUAUUAUGUGUUUUGUCGGCUACCUGUUCGAGUUUGAGUAAAUGUAAUAUUCUAAUCAACAGCAACUUAUAGUACAUUCUCUGCAACACUACUUUCUUGGUUCUUUAUAGAUUGUGAUUUGGACCUUGGUGGUCCUUAUGUGGCGCUUUCUUUCAAUCUUGUGCAAGUUUAUUGGAUUCGGACCUUCAUGGCUGGUCCUUAUGCUUUCUUUCAAACUUUGUGGACGUGGAAAACUGGUAGCUUGGGGAUGGCAUUCAGGCCAGAAUCUAGAUUAUAUAGCUUUGUAGAUUCGAAAAUACCAGCUCGAUAUAGUAACACUCUUAAAGUUACUAAAAUAUGCUAUUUAAAAUUGCAAAACUAGCUAGUAUUAGAAAUUAUGAGAAAUAUCAUUGGUUACAUAACCUGGAUAAGUUUGUUAUGGUCUCUUGACACCAAUCAUCCUUGAGCCUAGAGCCAAAUUUCAUGCUUGUGAAAGUUGAUGAUAUUGGUGAUAGAGGCCUUUUAGGUGGCAUAAUAGCCUUUAUGCCCUAGUAUCCGUAACUUAUUUACCCUUUAAGUAAGCAUUUACAUGAGAGAAGAAGACAUCUCAUCUUCACUAAUAAAAUACAAUUUCAUUUCUUAGUUUUGAGAAUAUGGAAAAGAUCCUUAAUCUUGUUAUUUUCUUGCUUUUGUUAUUAUAUCAAUUUCAUAUUCUAGUUCUUAUGGGCAUAGUCAAAAAAUGUUUCUUCAUUAUUGUUUCGUCGAUUUAGUCUCCCUCCCCCNNNNNNNNNNNNNNNNNNNNNNNNNNNNNNNNNNNNNNNNNNNNNNNNNNNNNNNNNNNNNNNNNNNNNNNNNNNNNNNNNNNNNNNNNNNNNNNNNNNNNNNNNNNNNNNNNNNNNNNNNNNNNNNNNNNNNNNNNNNNNNNNNNNNNNNNNNNNNNNNNNNNNNNNNNNNNNNNNNNNNNNNNNNNNNNNNNNNNNNNNNNNNNNNNNNNNNNNNNNNNNNNNNNNNNNNNNNNNNNNNNNNNNNNNNNNNNNNNNNNNNNNNNNNNNNNNNNNNNNCCCCAUCCCACCCCAAAAACAAAUAGAAGGGUGAGAUCGAUAUUAAUUCACUUGUUCUUGAUCCCCAAUUUUACAAAUUUGACUAUUAGUACAACACAUGUUUAGCUAAACAAAUUUCUUCAAACAUGUUAUUUUUUCUUGAAUGGCAAUUCAACAUUUGAAGGGUAGAGCUAUAAUGAUUAGUAUAUGAACUAUGAAGAUAUGGUGUCUCCUGUCAUAAUAUGUGAAGCUUGGAUUAAGAAGAUAAAUAAAUGAAAGUUCUUCCCUAUAUAAUACAAUUCUUCCAUAUCAAUUUGUUUGAUCUACUUUCCUUUUUAGUCCAUUUAAAAAAGAUUGAAAUUUUCCUUUUUUAACAGUUUUUAUUUUAACUUUCCACUUGACAUGUAUAAGUUCACAAAAUUAAAAAGUAUUUUGAUACAUUUGAGAGAUCUUUAAUUUUUUAUCAUAAGAUUAAAAGGUCACUUAAUUUGAAACAAAGAGAGUGUAUGUUAUGAAAUAUUAAGAUGAUGGAUAUUAAUGUCCAUAUGCACUUGUAUUUGGUGGAUGUCAAUGUUCAUUUGCACUAGUAAACUUGACUUUCCAAGUUACUUGAGACUUGUAAAUAACUUACAUUGUAUAUAAAAAUUGAUAGAUACAAUUGGAAGUAUAAGAAAGCUCUUCUUUCUUCUCCCUGUUUUUAUUGCUCUCUUAUAGUAGUAUUUAUCUUAUUUUGCUUUGAUUUUAUAACAUGUUAUCAACAUGAGUUUCUAAUUUAUUCUAAAGAUAUGCAUGAUAUGAAUAACAAAAAUGUGAGAUCUUCCUAUAAGUAUCUGGGUAUGUAUUUUACCAAUGAUUUACUUGCAAACAGGAUUUAUGUCAUAAUAUCACCUUCCCUUGUUAUAUAACAUUGAUUUGAUAACCAAAAAUCUUAAAAGGUUGUCUGAAUCUUAUUGCUGCUAUGUUUAAUACGUUUAUGUUUGCAUUAUUGUUGACAUAAUUGUUGCAUCAAUUGUAAAUGAAUCUUAGUUUCUAUUGUCAUUGCUAGUAACCUAAUUUUUAAGAAUUUGUUCUAGGGAGGACCCUCUGAUCUAUCAAUAAAAAGAUAUCCAUGUGUGGGGCGAUAAAUAAUCCUAGAAAAGUUUGAUUGAAACUCCCUCCACAUCCCACGAAGAUCUCUACACACUUGUGCAGGACAAGUGAGAUCUUUGAUCUGCGUGCUUGAGAGCAGCUCAAACAAACUAUUUGGUGUGGUCUGAAUUCAAACAUGCUAGUCCGUCUGCUGCUAGGUCAAAAAAUGACGUCGUGUGAGGGCGCCUUUAUGCCCCUUAAUGAAUCAAAUGGUCGUUCGAUCUUUGUUUGAUUUCGACGACCUGCAUAGAUUUCAUGAGAUCGGUCCACUAUUAUUACGGAAAAAAAAUCCUACCCUCUCUUUACAGUUAAGUGACUUUCAGUUCCUUCGCUUCGCUAUUAGGAAAGUAAGCAACUUCUAUUAGUGUUGGAUCUUAAUAAGACUGGGCACCGCAUCGGAACGGGACCAUCGAAUCGGAAUGAACCGAUACUGGAUCGGAAUGGGAUGGUUUGACCGGGUCGUUGAUCGGUACCAGAAUGAGCCAGACCGAAACUAUCGGAAUGGAGGCUUGGUUCCGUUCCGUCCCACUAUAUAUCGGGAUAGAACCGGAACAGACCGGAAUGGAACGGGAUGGGAUAAACAGGACGACACAUAUAGCUAUUUUAAAAAAUAAUACUCCCUCUGUCCCAAUUUAUAUGACUUACUUUCCUUUUUAGUCAGUCCCAAAAAGAAUGACACAUUUCUAUUUUAAGUAACAAUUUGCCUAUAAAAUGUCUUUUUACCCUUAAUGAAAUAAUUUACAACCACACAAAUUUCUAUCAUUCAUUUUGGACCACAAGUUUUAAAAGUCUUUCCAUUUUUCUUAAAAGUUUGUGCCAAAAUCAAAAGUACAUCAUAUAAAAUGGGACGGAGGGAGUAAUUUUUUUGAGUUAUUUUGAAUUACAAAAAUAUGAAUGUUUUUUUAUUUUUCUAAGUUUAAUAGUUUUGAAAUUUAUAAUGUAAUUUUACUUAAGUUUAUUUUAAAGAUAUUUUUUUAAAUUUUUUACUUAUAUAAGUUCGUAAGUUAAAUUUAAUAAAGUUUUUUUUUAAAGUUUUUGAGCUUAAGUUUUCAACUUUAUAAGUUUAUAAGUUAUAUGUUAUAAGUUAUACUUAUAACUUGUAAUUUAAAUAACUUGUUGCAGGCCUAUUUUUAAUUAAUUAAAAAUAAUUUAUCGGGACCAGAUCGGAUCGGAAUCGGGAUGAACCAGUAUCGGUAUACCGAUAUCAAAUCAUGAUACCAUUCCAUUCCGAGUACCGAUUCACUGUAUCCCAUUCCGUUUUGAAUACUACCGGAUCGGAAUGGUACCGAAAAUCUUAAGUCAAAUUGAUCGUGUCAUAUGCAAAGUCUAUCAAUAAUGAUUCAUUAAAGUCUAUUGAUUUCGACUCCUCUCCCUUCUUAAUUAUGCGCUCAAUAUUUCAUUUUCUGUGUGUUUUUAAUAAUACAUCUUAUGUGUACUUAUAUAGGAAAAUAAUAAGAUCAACUUAAUAAUCCUAAUGAGACAUAAAAGUACCCCUUAUGGGUAUAUUCAAUUUUCCUACAUCUCCCACUCACAGAUAAUGAGAAUGUCUUUUCAGUCUGAGAACAUAUUCUCAUCUCCACAAUUAUUCAUAUAGGGAAAUUAGACUAUGAGACCAUCAAAUUGUGAAAGCUAAGUGAUAUAUAUGUUAGGAAUAUAUAACCUCUCUUCGAGUUUAAACAUGCAACUAGAUCAUAAAGUAUGCAGUACCUCAUGUCAUAUAAAUUACAUUUGAUAUAUUCUCAAGAUCUCAUAUAUCAUUAUUUCUUGUAUUCAAAAUUAUAACUCAUAAGUUAUAUCUGGUGCAACGAUGAGCACAAAUCAAUGAGAUUUCAUUAAUGAACUUCCUCUUCUCAUGAUGGUUUAAUUGUUUUUCUAGAUAUACUCCUCUAAAUCGAAUAUGUAUUCAUAAGCUUUUAAAAACAUACUAAGAUAGUAAACAUCAAGUAUCUAAUUAAAGUCACUAAGGGCACAUAUUUUGAGCCAUUACUUCUGGGUCUCAUACAACAAUACAAUUAGAAUGGGCUUACGUUAAAUCCAAUUGGUCGAUGUUAGCACACAUGAUAUGAAAAGCAUGCUACAACAUUUGCUUAUUUACCAUAGGCCGUAUAUCUUUGUUUUUUUAAAUAAUGUUGUAAAUAUGAUAUUUAGACACCAUAUAUUCAAAGUUUGAGUUCAUUGAUCAACCCUAUCAUUUUAACUCACAUCUGGCUUACCAAGUAGACUAGGUGAACAUUUUUCACCUUGAUGACCUUAUGUCAUUAUUUAUGCGACAUUCAAAUUUAAGUUGAUUGAGAUUAUUUAUUUGAUAAUUUUACUUAAAAUUCAAUCUUAUCUCUACUUAUCACUAAGACAAGGAGAAAUUUAUCUAUGUGAAAAGGCUAACAUCAUGUCUACUCAACAUAAUUAUAAAAAAAAAACAAAUAGCUGAAUAAGUAAGGAAUGCUCAUAACAUUCAAUAAUUAAAAUAUGUAUUGAUACAAAUAAACUUUAUUGAUAAUUAAAGAACAUCUGUUUUGUGAACAUGAGAAUAAAAAACAAUAUGAAGUAACUCAAAUUCUGCUCAAGUCUUGAGACCUCGUGUGUAUCAUAAAUACAUCUCCAGUCAAUUGAUUAGUCAAUGAAUCUUCUAAUAUAUCUCUUACAUUCUUGAGUUAGUAUCUGUUUAUUAUGAAAUUUUAAACACUUUAUCUUUUGUUAUUGCUUUCAUAUUGGAGUUGAGUUGAGGUGAGUUUGUCUUCCCAUAUUAUCAGUUUAGUUAGCUAUGUUUCAGUUUCCCCUUACAUGCUUGUACAUUCAAUGUACUGACGUCAUUCGACCUGCAUCUUAUAAUGAUGCAUAUACAAGCUUACAAGAUUAUGAACAAGUGCUUCGUUGAGAUCAUUUGACAUUCUAGUUAGCUUUGAUGAGCCUUCUUGUAUUUCGGAGGACUUCAUCUUUACCUUAAAUUUAGUAUUUUUCAUAUGCCGUGGGUCUUAUCCCGAUAUCCUUCAUAAUACUAGAGGCUUCAUAGAUAGAUAGAGUUGAGAAGUUUUUCAGUUGUUACUUUCUUUGAGUUGUUUUACAAACUAUAAGUAUUUCUAUUGAGUAUUGUUCAGACUUUUUGAGUUAAGUAUUUGAGUUUAACAGAUUUGAUUCAGUUUUAAGUGUAUUAUUGCUUGAGUUAGUCUUCCGCUUGUAGUCCGUCAAGAUAAGGGUUUGUUUGUGGACCAUCAAUGGUUCUCGAGUGUCGGCUAUGUCUAGGGUGUAGGCUCGGAUCGUGACAGUCUGAAUACAAAGCUCUUGAUAUAUAAAUCUUAUGUCUGUUACGUUAAAAAUGGAUUAAUCAAUUUACAAUUCCAUAAAACACGCAAUCACUGCUAAUCAAUCCCUCAUAAUGUGUAUCAACUUCAACAAUUCAAAAUUGUUCAAGCAGAUCGUCCAACAUCCUUUCAACUUUGAUUCAAAAUUUUCACAAAUUUGGAGAAGAUACAUCGUGAAUAUAUCAAUUUUGCUAAGAUAUUCAUGAAUCUAAAAAAAUUUGAAGGUAUAAAUGAUACGGAAGCGAUAGAAUCGUUGUUAGAAAAAUAUUUCAUUUGUGAAUCUAAAAUUAGCAUUGCAACUGAAUUGAGGAAAAAACUAGACAUUAGAUACAUCAUAAAAGAUAAUUUUAAUUCAUGACCAAACACACCUAAAGACACUUAAUACAAAGUUGAUAUUGAAUUCUGAUACAUAACCAUAUGUAUUGUGUUGGCUUUGAACUAGGGUGUUCAGUUAUGUAUUCGAUACAUAACAGUGGGUGUUGUAUGUAUCAGGCAAAAAACAAAAAUAAACAUUAGAUACAUCGUAGAAGAUAAUUCUAAUACAUGACUAAACACACCUAUAUAAAUCUGAUACAUAAAUUCUAAUGCAUAACCAUGUGUCAGCUUUGUAUUCAGUGUGUUUAGUUAUGUAUUUGAUACAUAACAAUGAAUAUUGUAUGUAUCGUGUAUUAAAAUAUAAUGAAAGCUUGCAUAGUUAUGUAUCAGAUACAUAACUAUAAACAAGAUUCAUACUGAUUUAGGUUUGAAAUAAUUGAGGUUAUGUAUCAACAAUAACAUUUGUGUCAAAUACAUUAUACACAAACAAAGUUGUAAUGUAUCUAAUAGUUGAAACAUAAACAUGAUACAUAAGUAAACACACAUGAACCAGUUACAUUAAAAAUUUGAAUCAUGGGUAGAGAAGACCGUAUAGUAAAACCAUCGACUCCUCCCCCCCCCCCCCAAUUUUUUUGAAGGUCAAUACUAAACUAUGGACCAGAAUUCAUAUGUAUCAGAACUUUAGGAUGAAGAAUAUAAAAUAAAAUAAAAAGUCAAAAUCUGAUCAACUGAAAGCAAACAAAGGUGAUGAAGAAAUCCUUUUACUUUUUUAAGAACUUGAGACUGAUGGGAAAAAAUCCGAAAUAACACGGUUGUAAUUCAAAAAUGGUGACUUGGAGGAAAUUGUUGAUACAUGCCAUGAUUUUAGGCAUUAAAUUGGGGAAGUUACGCGUGAAGAGUGAUGCAUCCGAGAAUAAGAGAGAUGGUGAAGAAAAUAGGAAACUUUGUAAUUUUUUCAAAAUGAUACGAAAUUUUAGAAAAUAUGGUAAAAAGGUUGCGUAGUUGGAUAUUUUUACCUUAAUAAUUAUGUUUAUGAUUUUGACUAGUUAGCUAAUUUUCCCAAAUAUAAAAUAAUAACAAUUUCAUAGCCCAAUCCAAACUAAUUCAGCAAAUACUCAUUCUCCCAAAAUGAAUUACAGUCCAUAUCCCCCCUUUAGUUUAGGCCAAAUUUCCUUUCAACCCCUUUAAAUUUAGGCCGAAUCACCCUAACCCUUUUAAAUUUAGGUCCAAUUGGCCCAACCCAAUUUUUUUGUCCUAUUAUUUUGUUCUUUUUUCUCAUUUAUUAUUUUUAUCCUAUCAUUAAUUACUUUUAUUCUUUCUCAUUUAUUAUUUUUAUUAUUUCUUUUAUUAUUUUUAUUCUUUUUAUGUUAUUCUUUAUUAGAGAUAUCAUUUAAUAUUUUUUUUAUUUUUUAUUUUUGUUAGUUUAUCUUCUUUUUAAUUUUUUUCUCUUUCUAUAUUUUUACCUUUUUAAGAAAAUAAAAUAAAUUACCUUUGUUCUUUUCUUAUUUAUUAUUUUAAUUUUAUCUUUUAUUCUUUUUUCAUAUAUUAUUUUUAUUCCUUUUUCCAUAUUAUCCUUUAUUAGAAAUACCAUUUGGUAACAUUUUUAUCUUCUUUUUUUUUCUUUUUUGUAUUAGUUUAUCUUCUUCUUUUUCUUUUUUUUUUUCUUUCUAUAUUUUUACCCUUUUAAGAAAAUAAAAUAAAUUAUUUUUGUUCAUCACUUUUGUUUUUUUUUUCUUAUUUUUUGUUUUUUUAUUUUCUCAUUAAUAUUUUUAUUCUUUUUUUCAUUUUAUCCUUUAUUAGAGAUACAAAUUGAUAAUAUUUUUAUUAUUUGUUUUUUUCUCCGUCUUUUUUUUAAAUUUUUUUUUGUCCUUUCCCCCUUUUUGUUAGUUUAUCAUCUUUUAAUUUUUUGUUCUCUUUCUAUAUUUUACCUUUUUUAAGAAAAUAAAAUAAAUACAAAAAACUACUUUCAUAGUAAUAAAAACAAACAACUAGACUACAAUAAUAACUAAAUAAGAAAAAUACAUAAUUAUGUGAUUUUGGGUCUGUAUAAACUACAUUUGACAUUUAGUGUGGUUUUCUUAAAAAUAAAUAUAGAAUUAUGUGUCAUUUUACUUUUCUUCCCACAAUAUUCAGUAUUUGAUUCUUCUGCUUCCGUCCUAAAUGAUACCAUAUCAGUAUAUGAUAUGUUGUGAUGAAAUCAUUGAGAAAUGAGUUGGUUAUAUAUGAAUAGUUGUCGGAAACCUUAAUAAUACCAUAACAAUAUAUGAAUAUAUGAAAAGAGUACUUAAUGAUACCUUAACAAUAUAUGAAUAUAUGAGAACAAUACUUAAUGAUACAUGUCAGUAUGUUAUAUGUUGUGAUGGUAUCAUUGAGAAAUGAGUUGGUUAUAUAUGAAUAGUUGUCGGAAACCUUAAUAAUACCAUAACAAUAUAUGAAUAUAUGAGAACAAUACUUAAUGAUACAUGUCAGUAUGUUAUAUGUUGUGAUGGUAUCAUUGAGAAAUGAGUUGGUUGUACAUCAACAGUUGUAGGAAACCUUAAUGAUACCAAAUCAGUAUAUGAAUAUAUAAAACAAUCCUUAAUGAUAUCAUAUCAGUAUAUGAUAUGUUGUAAUGGUAUCGUUGAGAAAUGAGUUGGUUGUAGGAAACCUCAAUGAUACCAUAGCAGUAUAUGAAUAUAUGAAAUAGUUCUUAAUGAUACCAUGUUAAUAUAUGAUAUGUUGUGAUGGUAUCAUCGAGAAAUGAGUUAGAUGUACAUGAAUGGUGGUAAGAAACCUUAAUGAUACCCAAUAUAUGAAUAUAUUCUUAUGGUAUCAUUAAGUAAUGAGUAAUUUUGCAAAUGAAUGAAUGAAGUAAACCUUAGUGUUACCACAACAGUAUAUUCAUAUACUAUAACAAUAUUAUACAUGAUCUAAGGUGUGUUCCAAUAUAUUAAAUAGUCAUUCAUUCUACAUAUGUUGUGAUGGUAUCAUUGAGAAAUCAUGAAUUCAUCCCUUGAAGGACUGCUCAUUAGUCUAUGAUACCAUGGUAUUAUAUAUAUAAUGUGUUGGCCUAACCUAUUGGUAGCCCCCUAAAGUUGGCACAAUGUUUCACUUAGACACCUUAACUGAGCGAUAUUCAUUUUAGACACUCCGGGUAGAAUCUCACAGUGCCAUUUUGACACUUUUUACUUACAUGGCAUAAUGAGUGUGAUACACUCAUUGGUAGGCGCAUGAAGUGGUUAUUUAGUUACUUUUUAAUUUUUUAUUUCUUCUUCUCCAUUUUCAACCACCAUUUUUCUCCAAGUUAAAUCUCAUCCAUUGUAAAUGAAGGUUUCAACAAAAAUAAUGGAAUUAUUCAUUAAAUUCUUUGCGCUGGGGGAGGCCGGGGGGUUAUUUGGAGAUAAGAAAAAAUCAACUGGUUGCACAGCGUUCUGCAAAAAGAGGUCGGGUAUUUGGCGGAGAAAACACGGGAGGUGGUUGCAGAAGGCGAUCGGGUUUGGGGUGGGGGGGGGUUAGAGAAGACGAUGGGGUGGGGAUUUGGAGCAGGCGAUUUGGGGUUGUGGGGGUAGUUUAAAUUUUAUUUUAUUUUGUUAUUAUUUGGGGAGUUUAUUUUAUUUUGUAAUUAUUUGGGGAAAAAAUAUUACGUGUCAUUAAUUUAAUGGUCAAUUUUUAUUUUUAUUCAACAUUAAUUAUUUAAAAAUUACUUUUGACAUAAAUGAUAAAUGUCGUGGUUUAAUUCGUCAAUUUACACAUCAUCUGCGAGUGUAAUAUACACACAUUAUAUGUUUUUGUUGAUAUUAAAAAAAGGUAUCAAAAUGACACAGCGGGAUCCUACAUAAGGUGUCUAAAAUGAACAUCGUCCAGUUAAGGUGUCUAAGUGAAAUAUCGUGCCAACUUUAAGGGGUCACCGAUGGAUUAGGCCUUAUGUGUUGGUAUCAUUGAAGAAUGAGUUGGUUGUACAUGAAUGAAUGUAGGAAACCUUAAUGAUACCAUAUGAGUAUAUGUAUAUAUUGUUAUUGUAUCAUCAAUGAAUGAUUAGUAUUGUGAACGAAUGAAGGAAGAAAGGAAAUAUUAGUUUUCCCAAAUUACUUUAAGAGGAACUUUCACAAAUAGCCACUAAAAUCAUUUUAAUUAGGUUUCAUAGUUAUAGUUUGCUAAUUACGAUUCGUAGCUAGUAGCUACAUAUUAGAGGGAGAAGAGAGGUGAGAGAGAUUGGGAGAGGGAGGAGAGAGGCGAGCGAGAGAGGGCAGAGAGUGGAGAGAGGCGAGUUGUAUAUGUAUAUCUGUCAGAUAAUUGUAUAUAUGUAACCGAUGUACAUAUUUAUUUGUAUACCUAGCGAGUGAGAUUGGGAGAGGGAGGAAAGAGGCGAGCGAGAGAAUGCAUAGAAUGGAGAGAGGCAAUUGCAUUAGUAUAUCUGUCAUAUAAUUAUAUAUGUAUAUGUAUAAUUUGUAUUUGUAUUUGUAUAUGUAUAAGCGAGGAGAGAGACGAGAGAGAGGAAGAAAGGAGAGACACACACGUAAUUAUAGCUACAAUUGAGUUGCAAAUCAUAAUUAAUUCAAACUAUAAUUAUAUUAGCUAAUUAAUUAGUAUAUGUUUGAUCAUCCGCGUAAUUUCCCCUUAAUUUAAUCGGGCCAUUAGCCCAAUCUACAAUACUUCUGAAAGUGGGCCUUCUGCCUAUUCAUUAUUGUAGCCCUCAAAAAUUAAAUGGGCUUUAAGCCCAAAUGUUUUAAUGUUUAAUCAGGCCAUUAGCCCAAUUUACAAUACUUUACCUUCUGCCUAUUAAUUAUGAUAGCCUUCAAACAUUAAGUGGGCUUUAAGCCCAAAAUAUUUAUCUUAAAAAAAAUAAAUGCAGUUGCUUAGGGAACCAACAAGUUUUAUGUAUUUUAAAAACUUUUCCCCUUGUGCUGGUUAGAACAAUUUCAAAAUUAAUUCAUUUUUCAUAGAUGAGACUGGUACUUAUUUCUUUGUGAAUUCAUUUAAUAUAACUGCUCAAUGUUUUGCAUUCAACUAGUGUUCUUCCUCAACAAGCAUAUAAGAGAGAUGUGGUUGGUUUGAAGGAAUAGGUAAUCCCUUAGUUCCUUUAAUAUGUUUUCGUUGAUGAGCUUACUUCUGAAUUUUCAGUUUUUGUUCGGAAAGUGAUUGAGCUUCAUGAUAAAUAUUUGGACUAUGUGAAUAAUUGUUUCCAAAACCACACACCUUUUCACAACUAUAGUUAUCUAAUUUAAUGUCCUACUCUAUGCAUUAGGGUAAAAGUAAAUUGCUCUAUAGAUCCCCUUCUCUUCUUUUUCCUCUAGAGCAUCUGCUUUUUCUUCAUAAUACUAGAGUAGGAGAAUGCUGAUAAUAGAUCUCACUUGCAGGUAGUGUAGCUGCUAGUUUAUAUUAGUGAUAAAGACUUGUUUGCAGAAUUCUAUAAGUAGAGUUACCUCUAGUGUGUAUCUCAACCACUACUUGCAUAGUAGCUUCUUCUCUGUUAUUUGAUAAGAGUGCCAAUGAGAGAAGUAUCCUAACAAAGUUGAAGCAGCAGUGUGGGGGACAGUUCACAUCAAAGAUGGAGGGAAUGGUAAGCUAUCUAGAUCAAUUAUGCUGAAUUUGAGGCUAUGUUCUCUGGUGACUUUCUUCUUCUCUUUCUAUAGGUCACAUAUUUGACAUUGGCAAGGGAAAAUCAAGGCAACUUUGAGGAGUAUUUGAGCAAUAAUCCAAUAGCAAAUCCAGGAAUUGACUUGACGGUAACUGUCUUGACUACUGGCUUCUGGCCUAGCUACAAGUCUUUUGAUCUCAACCUCCCAGCAGAAAUGGUAUAUCAUAUCAAUAUGUUAAUUGGCAUUAUGCAGUUGAUUUUAUCUUGGUUUUGACCCUUAUUCCUCUUGCUGAAGUUCUUCUCUUUCGGCAAAGAAUGAUGCAUGUUUUUUUUCUUGAAUCAUUUUUCUUCUCAAACAUCUUGUCAUUGAUUCAUUUUAUGCUGCACAUUGUCAGGUUAAGUGCGUUGAAGUAUUCAAGGAGCUCUAUCAAACAAAAACAAAGCACAUGAAACUUACAUGGAUAUACUCUUUGGGAACUUGCAACAUAAAUGGAAAUUUUAAGCCAAAGACUAUUGAGCUCGUUGUCACUACUUAUCAGGUUGACUGUUGGCUUACUUUUUGAAAUUGGAUAGGCUUAGUUAAUUUAAAACAUUUUUAUUACGUUAUCAAUGAGAAAAUGAGAUUGGCACUUCUUCCUCGUAGGCUUCUGCUCUGCUACUCUUAAUGCAUCAGAUAGAUUGAGUUAUCAGGAAUUCAUGACACAAUUAAACUAUCAGAUGAUGAUGUUGUUCGGCUUCUUCAUUCCCUUUCAAGUGUGAAGUACAAGACUCUCAACAAGGAGUCAAGCACCAAAACAAUUUCUCUGACUGAUGUUUUGAGUUCAACUCAAAGUUCACUGACAAAAUGAGGAGGAUCAAGGUAUUGAUUAAUGAUGAGUAAGGUUAGCCUUUCUACUCUGAAUUGUUGCACUACAUUACUGACCCCAUGAGGAUAUUGCUGUAAUGGUAUGCAGAUACCUCUCCCUCCUGUUGAUGAGAAGAAAACGGUAAUUGAAGACGUUGACAAGGAAAGGCGGUAUGCUACAGAUGCUUCAAGUAGUUGGGGUGGGGGAUUGGGUGGGUAAGAGGAGACAAUAAACUUGGAAUGUCGCAGUGUCACUUAUGCAACUCGUUUUUCAUAUAUUCAUUAGGAAAGUCAUUUUCCUAGAGAAAAUAUUUUUCUAACAUUUUGACCAAUCAAAUAUAGAAAAUGUGAAAAACAUACACAAAUUCUCACUAUUUCCAUUUUUGCCAAGGUAAUUUCUUGGUUUUUCAUUCAGGGUUUUUGGAAAUUUAUCCCUACUAUUUUUGGGUUUUAUGCAUUUUUACCUCAAUUGCUUGAGUACUCUCUUUCUUUUUUGUUUCUUUUAUUGAGAAUGUCGUCUACUUUUACUUCACGACAUUCUCAAAAAAGAAAAAAGAUAGUACUCAAGCAGUUGAGGUAAAUAUGCAUAAAACCCAAAAAUAGUAGCGAUAAAUUUGCAAUAACCUUGAAUGAAAAACCAAGAAAUUACCGUGGCAAAAAUGGAAUAGUUAGAAGUAUAAGGGGGUUUUCGAGGAAACAGGAAAAACACAUAAAAGGGGGAAAAGAUUCACAAAUCACCCUAUUCUCUUCUUGUCAUAAAUGGUUCCACACUGGAUUUACAGGUUGUACUUUUCCCAUUAGUCCAUAAGGAUCGGACACCCAUAUUCCGGGACCAUACAAGCUUGUUACAUUAAAUGCACCAAAACCAAAACAAGCCACCCCUGAGAGAAAUAAAUGAAUUUCAAAGAGGGUUUUCCUGUACAUUCAUCACAAAAUAUUUCUAGAUCCCAAUACAAUACACCCAAUGCCAGAUAGCUGCUAGCUCCGUCUUUUUCCCUCAUCAGGUCUAACUCUCCGAUCACCCUUUUCGGAAAAUUCCUUCGCUCUCCGGUGACAUCACAGGUAUAUUUUCCAUUUAAAUUGUGACCUGCGAUUUGAUGUACAUUGUUCCUACGUAUGUAUAUACCUAUGAUGCAUAGUUGAUGUGAUUGUUUUGGUUUAAUUGGAUCUCCCUUUGCUUCAGAUUGAUCCUGUUACUGAUUUUGUUUCCGGUAGCUAUUAAAAUUGUGUUGUUUUGUAACCUGAAUUAACCGUGGUGCACUUGCGGGAAAAUCCUUGCCGAGGGCCUGUGCACCCCCGGGAUUAGUCGGGGCUCAAAGAGACUCGGACACCCGGUGCAAAUCAAANNNNNNNNNNNNNNNNNNNNNNNNNNNNNNNAAAAAAAAAAAAAAAAAAUAAAAAAAAAAAAAAAAAUUUGUGUUGUUUUGUUUAAUUUCAAAAAAAGAAAUUGUGUUGUUUUGCUGUGGUUGAUUUUGCGAUCUUCAGAGCUGAGAUUGAUUGACUAGUUUUAUGUUGUUUUUUAUUUCUCUAUAGUUGAUUUGAGCACGAGUGUUUCGUCCUUUUGAAAUUAGGUAUAGUGGAAGUUUAGUGUUCAUUACUGGUAGGGUUUGAGUUUAAUUUUUGGUUCAUUCUUUGUUGCAACUAACGACAUCCUUGUAAACUAGAAAUUCAAUAGGAAUAACUGAUUCCAGAACUUUGUUUUAUUUCGUUAACUGCCUGAAACUUUAGAUUUUUCAGCUAUGUUGUUUGGACUCUUCAAAAAUGUCAACAGGUGUGUGUCGGAUCCUCCAAAAAUAGUGUUUUUUGAAGGAUCCGACCAACUUAGCUUUUCAGUGUCUUUGAUGAGUGUAAUUUAAUGGAAGAUUUUUUUCUUAUUCCAGUAGGUGAACAAUGAAUAAAUACAAUACAUAAAGUGCUAAGUGCUAACUAAGGAAAGAAAUUAAGAGUGAUUCCUAUAGAUCUGCAGUGAUCCCUAUAAAUCUGCUGCCCAUAUAUAGCUAUGUAUAUUACUAAGAUUAAGUCUAUAUACAUUCUAUAACACUCCCCCUCAACCUGGAGCAUAUAUGUUGAUCAUGCCCAGCUUGUUACAAAGAUAAUCAACUCGAGUUCCAUUCAACGUCUUUGUGAGCAAAUCAACUACUUGCUCUCUUAUCUUCACUUAGCUAGUGGAAGUCAGUUUUCCUGAAUCUUCUCACGAAUAAAAUGACAGUCAACCUCAAUGUGUUUAGUUCUUUCAUGACACAUCAGAUUUGAGGCAAUAUGCAAGGCAACUUGAUUAUCACACCAAAGUUUUGUUGGUAUGUGAUGUUCCAACCCAAUUUUAGUUAGAAGAUGAUGUAUCCACAUAAUCUCACAUGUAGACUGUGACAUAGCUUUGUACUCAGAUUCUGCACUGGAUUGAGAUACAACACUUUGCUUCUUACUCCUCCAUAAAACUAGGUUCCCUCCAAAGACAUAAUAGCCUGUAGUUGAUCUCCUGUCAAUUUUGGAUCUAGCAUAGUCAGCAUCUGCAAAACACUCAACACGAGUAUGACUGUGAUUGCUAUAUAAAUCCCAAGUCCAGGGGAUCCUUUCAAGUAACAUAAAAUCUGUUCCAAAGCUGCCCAGUGUUUAACUGUAGGCGAGGACAUAAACUGGCUAACAACACUUACUGCAAAAGCAAUGUCUGGACGAGUGACAACAAGGUAGUUUAACUUCCCAACUAACCUCAUGUAUCUCUCAGGAUCAUCAAAGGGGUCGCCGUCAUCUUUCAUAACCUGCACAUUGGGAGCCAUUUGAGUACUGCAAGGUUUAGCUGCCAACUUUCCAGUGUCUGCAAAAAGAUCAAGAAUAUAUUUUCUCUGAGACAAAAAAAUUCCCUUCUUGCUUCUAUUCACCUAUAUACCCAAAAAGUAUUUCAACUGACCCAAAUCUUUCGUAUGAAACCUAGUAUGCCAGAAGGAUUUGAGGGAAGAGAUCCUCGCAUAAUCACUUCCUGUGAUGACAAUGUCAUCAACACACACAACCAGGAUAGUGCCAACUUUUGAUUGUUAGUAGAAAACUGAGUGAUCACAUUUACUCAUUUUCAUCCCUAACUCCAGGACUACCCCACUGAACUUCCCAAACUAAGCUCAGAGACUCUGUUUCAAGCCAUACACAGACUUCUUCAAAUAACAGAUUCUCCCAUACUCCCCCUGAGCAACAAAACCAGGUGGUUGCUCCAUAUAUACUUCCUCUUGAAGAUCACCAUGAAGGAAUGCAUUUUUGAUAUCCAACUGAUGUAAAGGCCAAUUCUCAGAAACAGCUAAAGAAAUGAACAAGCUGACGGAAGUAAGUUUGGCAACUGAAGAGAAAAAGUCUGAAUAAUCCACUCCAUAAGUUUGAGCAUACCCUUUAGCCAUAAGCCUAGCCUUAAGUCUUGCCACAAAACCAUCUAGAUUAACUUUAACUGUGAACACCCACUUACAUCCCAUUAGUUUCUUCGUGCUAGGUAAAUCCACUAAAUCCCACGUGUGAUUUUCCUCUAAGGCGUGUAUUUCCUCAAGCAUCGCAUCAUACCAUCCAGGAUGGUUCAAAGCUUCUUUCACUGUUUUGGGUAUAGAGAUGGAGUCUAAAGAAGGAACCAAGGACCUCGACACAGAGGAUAAGCAAUCAUAGGAAACAAAAGUAACAAUGGAACCGGUGAAGAGCAAUAGAGAGAUCCAAAUUCUCUGAAGGAUCGGGUGAAGAAAGAUUUGAUAACAGAGGAACCGGUGCAGAACAUGUAUCGUCGAUCUCUUGUCUCCUUGAAUAAACUUGAACAAUUGGUGGUCUUGCUGGAGUAGAAGUUGUAGGCCCAAUAGUCAAUUGGUGUUCAAUAGGGGAACUAGGAGAUUGAAGUACAUUAUUUGAUUGUUCUGUCACAACCCGAGCAACCUGAUAGAGUAACCACUCAUCUUCCUCCUCUUGAGUUGUAUAAAUGGGAGGUGCAUGGAAGAAUGGUGGUCUCUGAAAAAUACCACAUCAUUUGACACCAAGUAUUUACCAAGCUUAGUAGAAUAACAUCGAUACCCCUUCUGAAGGCAUGAAUAACUCAAGAAAAUAGACUUCAAUGCCUUAGGAUCCAACUUGGUAACAGAUGGCUGAACAUCUCAAACAUAACACGUGCUUCCAAAUACCUUAGGCUCCACCGAAAAUAGUGACUUGUUUGGAAAAAUAACAUUGUAAGGCACAUUACCAACAAGAACAAUCGAUGGCAUGCGGUUAAUCAAAAAACAAGUUGUAGAGACUGCAUUAGCCCAAAAUUGUUUAGGAACCUUCAUUUGGAACAAAAGUGCUCGACUGUCUCAAGUAGAUGCCUAUUCUUUCUCUCAACAACUCCAUUUUAAGAGGGUGUAUCAACACAUGAAGUUUGAUGGAGAAUACCAUGUUGUCUCAUGUAGGACUGAAAUAAUUCUGACAUAUAUUCUUUAGCAUUAUCACUCCAUAGACUACGCAUUGAAGUAUUGAACUGAGUUUUGACUUCAGCACAAAAGUGAGUAAACACUUCAGAACGACUCUUCAUAAAGUAAAUCCAAGUCAUUCGAGAGAAAUCAUCCACAAAUGUGACAAAAUACUUAUGUCCAGUUUUGGAAACAACAGGACAUGGUCCCAAACAUCAACAUGAACUAACUCAAACUUCUUCCAUUAAAAAAGAAAAAGGUAGUCUUUAUCGACUCCACCCGCUUAUUAAUCUUGGAUUUGUUGAGCUACGAUGGUGUUUAGCAAAUUGACAUGACUCACAAUCUAGUGAAGGAAUAUUCUGAAACUGAGGACAGAGCUUCUUCAACAUAGGCAAAGAAGGAUGCCCUAAUCGACAAUGUGCCUCAAAUGGAGACACGACACAAGAGUAGGCAGCAAAUCGAGGCUCCCAAUAUUCAUCAAGAAUGUAGAAACUAUCAGAUACAUGUCCUUUACCAAUAACUUUAUUUGUCUUCAGAUCACGAAACAAACAAUGACCGACAAAAAUGAGAUAUAAUAGCCUAGGUAUCUGGUAAACUUUCUAACAGACAUCAAAUUAAAGGCUAACUUUGGUAGACCUAAUACAUAUCACAAGGUAAUGGAAGAAGUUAGUUUUACAGUCCCAGAUCCUAUAACAUUACAGAUUGAACCAUCAGCAACUGUCACAGGAGAGAGUGCUCCGUGUGAUUGAAAGCUAGAAUAUAUGUUAGGAUUACCUGUCAUGUGAUUUUCGAAGAGGAUAUAAGACAUGCUUUUCCUGACUCAACAAGGGUAGUAACUGAAAUAGAUUAUUUUUGUAAUUUUUGAUAUUGUGAGAAUUUUGUAAACUCUUUCGCCGAAAUCAAAAUUCUUUUAUCCGAAGACAUAUGAGCCACAAUUUUAGUCAUUCUCUCCAAAUAUUUUAGCAACACAAGAACUCAUCAACAAAAAUAUAACCAGAAGAAUGUAUGUGACCCCACAAAUACAGAUGAACAAAGUCUAAAAAUGGUUUUAUCAACUAAGAAACCAAUUGUCCACCCAAAAUAAAGGAACUGAGUACUUUACCGGUAGACAAGAGCACAUAGUGAACAAUCAAGUAGUUCAGAGAAAGAAAUCCUGAACCGCAACUUAUGAUAAAAAAACACCAAUUAUAUGAAAUGAAGUAGAAGCUAGAAGCCACAAAUCACAAACCAAAUUCAGUGUCGCAGAAUAGAAAUGAACCUGGAACGAACGAACUUUCCAGAUUGUAUUUUAACACCAAAAUAGACCUGAGAAGGGACGAACAAACAUUCCAGAUGGUAUUUUAACACUAGAGCACACUUGACAUUCGCCAGAAAUACGUUUCUAGAUUGUAUUUAACACCAAAAUAGACCUGAGAAUCGCUAGAAAUACGUGCCGAUGCUGGAAAUUCAAAAUCCAAUCAAUUCAGCCAGACACGCACCUUCACGUGCCGGUGCGUGAUGAACAAAAGAACCGUAUGAGCGGUGUGUGGCAACCACUCGCUUCACAACCAGAGGCCGGUGACGACUGGUUUGGCUGGAAAAUAUACUCCGCCUCCUUCUGUGGUGGUGAUAGUAGACUGACCACUUUAAAUCAGUGGAAUAGAAAUCCAAACUUCUUCCGUAACACAACCAAAACGAAACGAGCCUAUAAGCUCUGAUACCAUGUAAUUGAAUGGAAGAUCUUAUUCUUAUUCCAGUAGGUAAACAGUGAAUAAAUACAAUACAUAAGGUGCAGACUAAAGAAAGAAAUUAAGAGUGAUUCCCAUAGAGCUGCAGUGAUCCCUAUAAAUCUACUGCCUAUAUAGCUAUAUUACUAAGAUUAAGUCUAUAUACAUUCUAUAACAAUGAGUAUUUUCUUUUGAUAUUCUCAGUUUUAUUUACUUAUUGAUUUAUAUACAUUAUUGGAAAAUGUUGUAUGCGUUUUUUUUAUGCAACCCAGAAAAGAUUUUAAAAGUACAUAUCUUUUAGGGCAAAGUGUGCAAUUUUUGUAACUCUAGUUUAUCUAGGUCCUAGGAAUCACUUGGUGAAACUUAGUUCUUGUGGAAUUCCUAUCAAGUCAGGGUCUUGGGGAACCAAGUCAGAACCAUGAGGAAUCAAUCAAUUACGUUGAAUGUGCUUAGAGAUGUAUCAUAUGAUACCAGCCGACAUGUCUCAUGCCACCAAAAUGUUGUUACCGUGUGGGUAUUGGUCCAAUAACUGCAGUUUCCUGAAAAGUGCCUCUUUCCAGGGCGAAGGACGUUAAGAGCUUGCAAAAAAAUUGCUGAAUCAAUCCCUAAAUAGUACUUAGAAUAGAAUUUCUUUUCACCGAGUAAUAAGCAUGAAUAAAAAGUAAGCUCACGUGAAUAUUGAGUUAUACCUGUGAGUUAUUUUGUUAUGAAUCAUGAGCUUAGAUGAUUAGUUGGCAAGUAAAUAUCAAUAGCGGAUGAGGUAAUUACUUAGGGUUUUUAUUUUGGCGCAAUGUAGGUAGUCUCUACUGCAUAUUAUUCAACUCUUGUGGAGCUCUCUCGAAGGCUUUUUUUUGUGACAUGUACUUUAACUUUAUGCUUAUCUCAGCACUUCUAAAAUUUUGGAGUUUGGACUUGUUUAGUUACGUAAAUGGUUCAUUUGUUCUUGAUAAUUCAUUAUACUGAAAGUCCUAUACACCCAACUAAAUAUCCAAUUUAGAGUGGUAACGAAUCUUUAGAAGACCAAGAUCACACUGAACCAAUAAAAUACCCACUACCUUUUCCAAUUAGGCAUCUAUAACUGUGGUAAUUCGGAACAUUUCCAGUUAGUGAACUUUUAUUCGUUCCUUUAUUAUUUAUUCUAUUCUUGUGCUCCUUAAUCUUCUCUCCUCUUUGUUUUACUUGAAUUUAAGCCUCCAAUAGUAGUCCUGUUUCCUGUCUUGAUUUUUAGUCAUAUUCUUCUACCCUUUCUAUAGUGAGACCCAGAAAUGGCUCAAGGUACUUGUGCGAUUCUUAGUAUGCAUCGCUCCUUAACAGCCCCCCACUUUGAUGCCUUGAAACCCAAGUAUUCUGGUCCAUAUGUCAAGGAUACAGCCAAGUUUGUAGCCUGUCCAACAUCACACUUUGGUAUUUAAUAAGAUCAUUCUUUCAGUCAUUUGUUCGCUUAUCUCAACAGUAAAGUCAACUAUCAAUGUGAUUUGAUUUUCUGACUGGCUUAUAAAUUGCUUGAUUUUCAUACUAGCUUUUGUUGAGUUUAGUUGGUGAUGUUAUUUAGUUUGGGAACAGGGAGACAGGUGUUUGGAAUUUGUGUAGGGUUGCAUUCUGUUAAAUUGUAAAGAUAUUGAAAUCACAAUGAACCAACAUAGCACAAUCGAUCUGAAACAUGGAUGGGACUUCAUGCAAAGGGGCAUUACAAAAUUGAAGAACAUUCUAGAAGGGCUGCCUGAGCCUCAGUUCAGCUCAGAGGACUAUAUGAUGCUGUAUACGUAUCCUUUUAGACUCCCACACUGUUAGGCAUGUUGAUAACUUGGAUUUGAUUCACCUUUUGUUUCCUUAAUUCUACUAACAGGACAAUUUACAACAUGUGUACUCAGAGGCCCCCACAUGAUUAUUCUCAACAGCUGUAUGACAAAUAUCGUGAACCUUUUGAAGAAUAUUUCACAACAACGGUAAGGGUAGCUGCAGUUUUCAUAAGCAUUUCACUUUAGUAGAGAUUAAACAAGGUACUACAAUAAAACAAGAAAAAAAAGAAUUGAAGAAGUAUUAUUCUUAAUAAUUCUUUGAUGUUUGUAUAUCCAUGUACCAUUCUUGAUUGUUUGCUCUCUAUGUAUCAUUCUGGAAUGUUUGGAACUUAUAAAAAUGAUUUCUGUAAUAAAGAAACAGAAAAUCAUUAGUCUGGUGAGCCCUUUGUUGCUGUUUUAUUUUUUGAUUUUAGCGAUGUAAACAAAGUGGGGUUAGUAUGGGUAGUUUCCGUGGUUCCCUCUGUGAUUUUAUUUUAUGCCCUCUAUUAUUUUAUUUAAUAAGGAUCCAUGUGCAAGUAUCAACAUUUUUAUGGGAUCUGAACGUAAUUCAAGCAUUGCUUUCCCAAGAGGCAUAUUAUCUUUUAGUUUUAUUCCCUCUAUCAUGAGAUUCAAAUUUAGAAAGGCUGCUCUUGCUGCUUCUUCAUCCCAUAGAAUAUUAAGAAAAGGAUACGGGGAAAGUGGAUAGAAGUUUCAAAACACAGCUAAAUUUCAUGGAUCUUUUUGUAUGUUAUUUUAGGCAUGCAAUUUUGCUUAGGAGUUUAAAAUGAUGAAAACUCAAAUUUGGCUUAAAGAUUGUUUACCUAAUUUUUGUUUCUCCAAAUAAUUCUACCUUCUCUAAAUUUGACACUGCAAUUCAAUUUCAAAAUAGGUAUUGCCUUCUUUGAGAGAAAAACAUGACGAGUUCAUGUUGCGAGAGCUGGUAAAACGGUGGUCAAAUCAUAAGAUCAUGGUCAAAUGGUUGUCUAGAUUCUUCCAUUAUCUUGACUGCUAUUUCAUUGCCCGGAGAUCUCUGCCGGGGCUUAAUGAAGUUGGAUUAACUUGCUUCCGUGAUCAGGUAAUUAUGGUUCUCCUUCUCUUUUCAAUCAAAACUUUGUUUCUAUGGUCAUCUAUUAAAACAUCUCCACCUGAUCCCUUGGUCAAAGCACUGAGUUCAGCUCAUGGCUUCUAUAGUGAUUUUUUUUAAUUCUGUUUUCUGGGUUUUGCCUAUUCUAGAAUUCGGUUUUCAGUUUGACAGUAUACUCAACUGCUUCCACGUCCUUUUACGAAAAGAUGUUACCAUUUAGUCCCUGCAUCUCAAUUAUGUGAAGGUGUUUGACUGGGCACACAGUUUAAGAGAAAAAGAAAGAAUUUUGAAACUUGUGGUAUAAAGUAAGCUAUAGAAACUUUGUGAGUAUAAAGUAAAACAAGAAAUGUGAAUUUAAAUUGUUACUUAUUAUGGAUAGAUGUCCCUUUUUUGAGGACUGACUAAAAUAUAAAGAGUAUCACAUAAAUUGAAACAGAGGUAAUAUCUUACUGGGUGACUGUUUUCUAUUUUAGGUCUACCAAGAGUUGAAUGGAAAAGUCAGGGAUGCUGUUAUAUCUUUGGUAUCUCCUUUGUCUUGCUUUGAGUUCUCACUACCAUUUCUUUUUUCCUUUUAAUUGAGCAAUAACAUUCCUCUAACCAGAUUGAUCAAGAGCGUGAGGGAGAGCAAAUUGACAGAGCUCUACUAAAGAAUGUGCUAGAUAUAUUUGUUGAAAUGGGAAUGGGGUCGAUGUAUUAUUAUGAGUACGAUUUUGAAGAUGCAAUGCUCAAGGACACUGCGGCUUAUUAUUCUUGCAAAGCUUCUAACUGGAUCCUCGAAGAUUCAUGUUCAGAUUAUAUGCUAAAAGUUAGUAUACCGCGUAUGCAACCCCUUGAUUCUGCCAUUCUUGCCCUGUUGUUUCUUCUGUCUAUCUUUUUUCUGGUUAAUGUCCAUAUGUUAACCUACAUAAUCAUGUCAAUGUUACUUUAGGCUGAGGAGUGCUUGGAACGAGAGAAGGAUAGGGUCUCUCAUUAUCUCCAUUCAAGCAGCGAGACAAAGUUGCUUGAGGUUCGUUCUAGCUCUUAAUCUUUUUUCUUUACUGGAACUUUAGCCUUCAAGAUGGAGGAUGUUGCUAUCAGUUUUUGUUGUUCACAUCUUCUUUUUUCUGGAUCUAAUCUAUCAACUUUAAAUUAGUUGCAACCUUACUAGUCUCUCCUUUCUACAGAAAGUGCAACAUGAGUUGUUGUCUGUGUAUGGCACUCAACCUCUUGAGAAGGAGCACUCUGGAUGCCAUGCGUUACUAAGAGAUGAUAAGGUAGCUAGCAGCAUCUUAAUGACCACGUUUCGGAUUUUAUAUUUGCAGUAAUUGACACAAUCAUGAUUAUUUAAUUAGGUUGAAAAUUUAUCAAGGAUGUAUAGGUUCUUUUCUAAGAUUCCUCAAGGCUUAGACCCUGUGGCCAAUAUUUUUAAGCAGGUUUGUGAUCUCAUGACAUCAUAUUCUCGAUUGUAUACCAAUAAGUUACUUCACAUAUCCUUCUUUUUAAUCUGAAUGCAGCAUGUUACUGCUGAAGGUGCAGCUUUGGUAAAACAGGCUGAAGAUGCUGCUAGCAACAAAAAGGUUUGUACAAUCUAUCCUUUUCAAAUUCUUUGGUCUUGAGAAAUUUGGUUCUUCCUUAUUUGGCGUUUAUACACUUUGAGUUGACUUGGAACUUGUCAAACUAGAAGUUUUUGCUAUUUUAAUAUGCUAAGUUACUUGUGUUCAAGUGUCUGAUCAACUUAAUUUCAUAUUUUAGCACACCAUUUCUGACAUCAAUACUUUUAAGUUUAAAAGCUAUCUACUCUAGCUCCCAAGUCUUAGGAAAUACAAAUACCCCCUGCCACUCAAGUUUUAGAAAAUACAAACUAACCACUUACUAUAAAUAUUUUAGAAAUUUUAAAAAAAUUACAACAUCUGUUUCUUACCCACCAAAAUCUCUCCUUCCUUGCCAAUUUUCUGUCAUCCAGCUUGUUUUCCCGCAAAAAAUUGAAGCAUUUCACUGGAAAAUUACUCCACAUGACGAAAACCUCCUCAAGAUCAGCCAUUGUAGUUCCCCAUUAUUGUAGAAGCUCGAAAUAUUUCAUCCAUUAUAGAAGAAGCUCAUUUUUCCAGCAGCCUCUUUCCAGUCAUUCUCCAGCGACAUUUUGUUUUUACAUUUCACCAUUUUAGUAGCUCAUCUGACCUGUGAGAGAUCUAUCCCCGUGGUUUUCUUUUUUCUAGUAUUCUACAAUCAUCAAGCAGUGAGCAGUAGCAUCGACCAUUACUGGUUUAUUACAUCGUUUGCUGAAUAUAGUGGUGAUUAUGGUGGUGAAUGGGAGGAGACUUCAAAAUGUUGGAAGUGGAACUCUCUGAGUAAGGUGACAGUGUCCAUUGUCCUGCGUUGCAAUAGUACAUAUGACGACAUGGUUGAGGGAAUUAUUGAAUGCAGGGAAUUAAAUUGUGAACCGAGCAACUUGAUCAUUAGUUAUGGAUGAAUGCUAAGGGAAACAUCCAUCCAUCUUUCAUAACAAAUGAUAGGCACGUGGGGUUGUACAUGCUUGAUGUUGUCCCUGAUGGUUCUAGACUAGUUUUCUGGGUUAAAGUUGUUGAGAGGCAUGAAGAAGAAGAAGGUUCAACACCAUUAGGGUGGCUUGGGUGGGGGGGUUUGUCCCUAGAAAAUGCUUGAUAUAAAUAUUAGAGAAAGGGAAAUCCAUUCAUUAGAAAGCUCGUGCUGCUUCACAAAACAUCAAGAAAAAAGUGAUUGUAAACUCAGUGAAAAAAGUGACACCAAGUUCAGGGAGCUUUCUCAAAAAAUAGCAAUCCCUUGAAAAGGGGAGAUGACUGCUAGAAUAUAUUGUGUAUCAUAUCUUGAGUUGUCAGUUUGUGAGACUAGCAAUUUAUUGCUGAUUAGAGCAUUUUGCUUCAUUUUGUUUUGGGGGUGGGGGGUGGGGGUUCCCACCCAGUGUUCAAUACCCGCAUUGGGGCUCGAGUAAAUCCGGAUUCGCGCCGGAAUGUCUCACAGUGGGGUAAAGCGCUCCGUAAUAAAUGAAACUCGGUAACCAAGGGAACUCGAACGGAGUCCUGAUUAAGGAGUAUGGAGUACAUAGCACUCCACCAUAACCCUUGCUCGUAGCAUAUUGCUAUUCUGCUUAUUUUAAUUGCCAGUUUGUGCUUUUGAUGAGUUUUGUUCAGAGAUUUCUUUUUAACAUCAUCUCCUCUUUUUUAUCAAAAGCAUGAAGUCACAAAGUUUGACUUCAUCUCAGUGAUUGUUUUGUUUCAUUUACUUUAUUUAUCCUUCAGUACAUGAUCAUUGAUAAUUUUGGUGGUUGGGAAUGUUACUUCAAAGAAGUGGUAAUGUUCUUUAAAGCAAAACCCCCCCAUCAAGUGCCUUUUGUUGCAUUUCCUUCUUCUAUGUAUCUUAACUUUUCCCCUUAUGCUGUUUAGAACAAUGCCAGAAUUAAUUCAUUUUAUCUUUUUAGGGAUGAGACUGGUAUUUCUUUGUGAAUGCAUUUAAUAUAAUUGCUCAAUGUCUUGCAUUCUUUCUUAUCAACUAGUGUUCUUCAACAGGCAGAUAAGAGAGAUGUGGUUGGUUUGCAGGAACAGGUAAUCCCUUAGUAAAUCUGUUAUCUGGUCCUUGAAUAUGUUUUCGGCUGUUAACUUACUUCUGAAUUUUCAGGUUUUUGUUGGGAAAGUGAUUGAGCUUCAUGAUAAAUAUUUGGCAUAUGUGAAUAACUGUUUCCAAAACCACACACUUUUUCACAAGGUAUGUGUUGGAGCAAAGGAUAGUUGUCUAAUUUAAUUGUUCUACUCUGUGCAUUAGGUCUGUGCAUCAGGGUAAAAGUAAAUUACUAACAUAUGUCCUCUUUGUCACUUUCUAGGCACUUGAAGAAGCUUUCGAACUUUUCUGCAACAAGGGUGUUGCUGGUAGCUCAAGCACUGAACUUCUUGCCACAUUCUGCGACGUCAUUCUCAAAAAAGGAGAGAGUGAAAAAUUGAGUGAUGAAGCCAUGGAAGAGAUAUUGCAGAAGGUGAGCUCUUGCUCUAUAGAUCCCCUUCUCUUCUUUUUCUCAAGAGCAUCUGCUUUUUCUUCGUACUAAUGGAGCAGGAGAAAGCUGAUAAUAGAUCUCACUUGCAGGUGGUAAAGCUGCUAGCUUAUAUUAGUGAUAAGGACUUGUUUGCAGAGUUCUAUAGGUAGAGUUACCUCUACUGUGUAUCUCAACCACUACUUGAAUAGUUGCUUCUUCUCUGUUACAAGUUUAUGACUUCCGUUUUUUUCCAGGAGAAAACUAGCCCGGCGGUUGUUAUUUGAUAACAGUGCCAAUGAUGAACAUGAGAGAAGUGUCCUAAGAAAGUUGAAGCAGCAGUGUGGGGGACAGUUCACAUCAAAGAUGGAGAGAAUGGUAAGCUAUCCAGAUCAAUUAUGCUGAAUUUGAAGCUAUGUUCUCUGGUGACAUUUUUCUUCUCUUCUUAUAGGUCACAGAUUUGACAUUGGCAAGGGAAAAUCAAGGCAACUUUGAGGAGUAUUUGAGCAAUAAUCCAAUAGCAAAUCCAGGAAUUGACUUGACGGUGACUGUCUUGACUACUGGCUUCUGGCCUAGCUACAAGUCUUUUGAUCUCAACCUCCCAGCAGAAAUGGUAUAUCAUAUCAAUAUGUUAAUUAGCAUUAUGUUGAUUUUAUCUUGGUUUUGACCCUUGUUCCUCUUGCUGAAGUUCUUAUCUUUCGGCAAGGAAUGAUGCAUGUUUUUUUGCUUGAAUCAUUUUUCUUCUCAAACGUCCUUUCAUUGAUUCAUUUUAUGCUGCGCAUUGUCAGGUUAGGUGCGUUGAAGUAUUCAAGGAGUUUUAUCAAACAAAAACGAAGGACAGGAAACUUACGUGGAUAUACUCUUUGGGAACUUGCAACAUAAAUGGAAAUUUUGAGCCGAAGACUGUUGAGCUCGUUGUCACUACUUAUCAGGUUGAUUUUUGGCUUACUUUUUGAAAUCGGAUAGGCUUAGUUGAUUUGAAAUAUUGGUAUUAUGUUAUCAAUGAGAAAACGAGAUUGAGACUUCUUCCUUUUUCGUAGGCUUCUGCUCUGUUGCUCUUUAAUGCAUCAGAUAGAUUGAGUUAUCAGGAAAUCAUGACGCAAUUAAACCUAUCAGAUGAUGAUGUUGUUCGGCUUCUUCAUUCCCUUUCAUGUGCGAAGUACAGGAUUCUCAACAAGGAGCCAAGCACCAAAACAAUUUCUCCGACUGAUAUCUUUGAGUUCAACUCAAAGUUCACUGACAAAAUGAGGAGGAUCAAGGUAUAAUUAAUGAUGAGUAAGGCUAGCCUUUCUGCUAUGAAUUGUUGCACUACAUUACUGACCUUUUAAGGAUAUCGUUGUAAUGGUAUGCAGAUACCUCUCCCUCCUGUCGGUGAGAAGAAAAAGGUAAUUGAAGACGUUGACAGGGAUAGGCGGUAUGCUAUAGAUGCUUCAAUUGUGCGUAUUAUGAGGAGUCGUAAAGUAAUUGCCUACCAGCAACUGGUUGUGGAAUGCAUUCAGCAGUUGGGACAGAUAUUCAAGGUAUCCCCAGGAUAAACUUCUACUUCUCAAUUUUAAAGAUCGUUUUUCCAGUUUAACUGAGCUAAUUACUUUGUUUUGAAUACCCCAUAGCCUGAUGUCAAAGCUAUCAAGAAGAGAGUCGAAGAUUUGAUAAGUAGAGAAUACCUAGAGAGGGACAAAGAUAACCCAAAUUUGUUCAAGUACUUGGCAUGAUUUGUGCUGAUCAUAAUACUUGGAGAAACAGGCCGCCCAAGAUGAACUUCUUGGACCUUUGAUUGCCUUGCAUCAGGAGCUUGAAACAUUUUGUACAAAUGGACAAGAGCUUGAAACUCUCAUAUACUUGAGAUGUGAUUGCCUUAACUUCUUCCAAUCUUAUAUGGCCCUUUCACUUGCUCUAUUCUGUGUUUUGUUGGCUACCUGUUUGAGUAAACGUAAUAUCCUAGUCAACAGCUUACCCUCCCUAGAUUCAGCACAAUGGUAUUUACUUUUAGUACAUGCUCUGCAAUUGUACUUUGUUGGUUCUUUGUAGAUUGUGAUUUGGACCUUGGUGGUCCUUGUGGGGUUAUCUUUUAACCUUGUGCAAGUUUAUUGGAUCUGGGCCCUCAUGUUUCAACAGUUCUCUCUCUUGAAUGAAUCACUUCCUAAUUUUUAGGUCCAUUAUCCCAAACUUUGUAGACGUGAAAAACUUGUAGCUUCGGAAUGUCAUUUAGGUCAGAAUAUAAAUCGUAUUGCUUUGUAGAUUCGAAGAUACCAGGUCGACAUAGUAACACUCAUAAAGUUACUUAAUUAUGUUAUAUAUAAUUACAAAACUAGCUAGUAUUAAUACUAUAAGUUUACAUAAUCUGGGCAAGUUUGUAAUGGUUUUUGAUCCGACACCAAUUAUCCUUGAGCUUAGAGCCAAAUCUUAGGCAGGUGAAAGCAAAUGAGUAUUGGAGUUGACAACCUUUUUAGGUGGCAAAAUGGCUUUUUGCGUAGUAUCCGUAAUUUUUUUACUCUUCAAGUAAGCCUUUACAUGGAAGAAGAAGGUAUCUCAUCUUCACUAGUAGAAUACAAUUUCAUAUCUACGUUUGAGAAUAUAAAAAAGAUUCUGAAUGUUGUGAGGGUGAGAUCAAUAUUUAUUCACUUAGCUUGUCCUUAAUCUCCAAUUUCACAAAUUUAACUUUAACUUUACUACAAACACAUUUUUUGGCCAAACAAAUGUCAUCAAACAUGACAUUUAAUCUUGAAUGACAAUUCAACAUUUGGAGGGUAGAACAAUAAUGAUUAGUUUGAACAAUGAAGGUAUGGUGUCUCCUAUGAUAAUAAGUGAAGCUCAGCUCAUCAAAUUACCAUCUGAAAAACUCGGAAGUAUGUAUUAGGUAGAUAAAUAAAUAAAAAUUCUUCCCUAUAUAGUAUAAUCCAUUCGUUUCAAUUUGUUUGAUCUACUUUCCUUUUUAGUUUGUUUAGAAAAAAAUGACUUUUUCCUUUUUUAGCAACUUUUAUUUCAACUUUCCACAUGACAUGUUUAAGACCACAAGAUUAAAAGAUAAUUUUGAUAUAUUUGACAGAUCUUUAAUAUUACGUCACAAGAUUCAAAAGUCUUUUUUUACUUAAACUCCAUAUCAAGUCAAAAUAAGUCACUCAAUUUGAAACGGAAUGAAGUAUAUGUUAUGAACUAUUAAGAUGGUGGAUCUUAAUGUGCAUAUGCACUAGUAUUUGGUGAAUGUCAAUGUUAACAUACACUAGUGAACUUGACUUUUCAAGUUACUUUGUGACUUACAUUGUAUAUGAAAAUCGAUAGAUACAAUUGAAAGUAUAAGAAAACUCUCUUUUCUUCUCCCUAUUUUUAUUGCUCUCUUGUAGUAGUAUUUAUCUUAUUUUUCUAUGAUCUCCAUGUGUGGCAUGAUAAAAAAUCCUAAAAAAGAUUGAUUGAGACUCCCUUCACGGUUCCACGAAGAUCUCUAGAUAUUUGUCCAGAAUAAGUAUGAUCUUCGAUCUACGUAUCUAAGAGCAGCUCAAACAAAGAAGAGUCUGGUGUGGCCUGAAUUCGAACAUGGCCGUCCAUUUGUUGUUAGGUCCAAAAAUGGCGUCGUGUGAGGGCGUCGCUGUACCCCUUAAUGAAUUGAAUGGUCCUUCGACCUUUGUCUGAUUCUGAUGACCGGCUCAUAUUUCAUGAGACUGGUUCACUAUUACUUUGAAAAAAAUCAUGCCCUCGCCUUAUAGUCUAGAGACAUUAAGCUCCUUUCCUUCGCUAUUAGGAAAGUAAGAAACUUCUAUUAGCGUCGAAUCUUAAGUCGAAUUGAUUGUGUUAUGUGCAACGUCCAUAAAUGAUGAUACAUUAAUAUCCAUUGAUUUAAACUCCUCCCCCUUCAUGACUAUGCAUUUAAUAUUUCAUGUUUUGUGUUUUUUAAUAAUACAUCUUAUUUGUACUUAUAUAGGAAAAUAAUAAGGUCAACUUAAUAAUCCUAAUGGGCCAUAAAAGCAUCCCUUACGGGUUGAUCCGAAUUUUUUACGUCUCUCACUCACACAUAAUGAGAGUGUUUUUCCAAUUUGAGAACAUAUUUUCAUCUCCACAAUUAUUCAUAUAGGAAAUUAGACCGCGCAACCAACAUAUUGUGAGAGCUAAGUGAUAUAUAUCUGUUAGGAAUAUAUAAUCUCUCUUCGAGUAUAAACCUGCAAGUACAUCAUAAAGUAUACAGUACUCCAUGUCAUAUGAAUUAUAUUUGAUACAAUCUCUGAGGUUUUAGGGUAUUGUUUGUAGAAGAAGCAAGAAAAUCUCAGACGGACCACCGUCGCCAAAAUGUUGAAUUUUUUUUUAUUUGGGUCGCCAAAAAAGACAGCACGAGUUCAUCUUUGGAGGAAAAAAGAAGAGAAAGAGAAGCUAGCGAAGAAGUUACGAGCAAAAAAGAACAAGAUGAAGGUGGAUGGUUAGGACAAGAAGAAGAAAGGUGCAAAUGAAUUUCAAGUUGGAAAGAAAAAAUUGAAGACAAGGAUGACUCCAUUAGCCAAAGCUAAAGCUACACAAGCAAUGGAGAUUGAAAAAAAUAAGAUUUUGUUGUAAUCAAUUCAGGUGUAUUUGGUAACUUAAAUUGAAGUUGUUUACGUUUUUCUUCUGCAAUUUAUGAAAAAACAUGAAAUUUGUUCAAAAAAAUAUCAAAGAAUGUGGAUUGGGGUGAGUCUUCGAAUCCAUUGAAAAAAAGAGCAACACCGAAAGAUGAUUCAGAAAUUCUCAAGUCUAAGAAGGACAAAUUCUAUACCAAUUUCAUGUCAAAAGUAAACACUGGUUCAUAUCAUAUUCGUACCAAAAGAAUACCAAUUUCAAAUCAAUUCUAAUUAGUAAUUUUAUUUGUUAUAUAAAUAGUAUACCAAUUGUAUAUACGUUUUUUUUAAUUAUCAAUAUCUGUACCAAUUUUAUAUCAAGAGUGAAUAUAACAACGUCAUACCAUUAUUAUGUAAAUAUUAUUUAAUAGGAACUAACAAUAUACCACUUCAUACUAUUAUGUACUAGUUUUUGAGAACGUGCGUUGUACAUUUGUCUCAUAUAAUUAUUAUCAAACAAUUCUAAUGAUCGACCAUUUCAACAACUUUUUGAUCUUCUUCAUUCUUUAACCUCUGAAUGAAAUUUAACUGUGAAAGGUAGAAAUGGAGGUAGAAUAUUGAAGAGGAGCCAAUUUUUAGCUGCUUCCAACAUUACAAGACAUUAAUUAAGAUAUAGAAACCUGAAUUCAUUAACAAAAUGUUAUAUCACCAAAAUAAUAAUUUUGACAGUGUUUGCUAAGAUUAGAGCCAAUAGAACUUGGGACAGAAUAGCCCUGUAAAAAGAGCUCAAACUAUAAAAACAAAAACCUUUUCUACCACUUCAUUUAGCUAAGAAUCAUCAAAAGAAUGCAAAUAUUUUGGGACGACAUUCACAUGUUCUUAUAAAUGAGUUUUGUGCUUGAAACAAUUUCAUCAAGUUGUUUUGCUUGCUUGGAGACUAACACCCAAGUAGUUUGUAAUGAGACCCGUGAUACCAAACAUCAUGGCCAUUGAGAUCUGCUUAAGAUCAUUUUCCAUACUCCUUAUGUUAGCAAGAGAUUGCACACUGAAUAUAAUAAGAAGCCACGAGCAAAUCUUUUAUCUAAUAACAUGGCACCAAAGACGCCGAAGAUGACGGCUAUGAAGCCAUAGUAAUCUAUAGGAACAUCUUGUGGACCAACCAAUGAAGGCUUGUACGGUUUCAUCGCCAUAUUCGAGUAAAAAUAUUCAAUGAGAUUUGAAAAUUCAAUUGCUCUUUGAGCGACUUAAAUAAGGGACCUUAGGUAAGGGAAGAUGAAAAGAAUCAAAUUAUUAAAGAUUUUUUAGCCAAAAAUUAAUAAGACUCAUCAAUUUCGAACUUAAUUGUUUGACCUUUGAUCUUCAUCAGUUUGCUCACAAACAAGAAAUGAAAAAGCAAUUGAAGAAGUAUCAUGCCUCGAGAAAAGGAAGAGUCUAUUGACUUAAAUCAUAAUUAUGAGUAUUUUUAAUGCAAUAUUAUUAAUGUAGAACAAAUAAUUGCUUUAUAUAUAUAUAUAUAAAUGGUGAAAUGGUAAUUCAACUUUUGACUUGAGUUCUUUCCACUUAUAAUAUAAUAUGAUAUUAUGAUACUUCUAUACCAAUUUCAUGUCAAAUUUAAACACUGAUUCAUACCAGAUUCGUACCAAAAGAAUACCAAUUUCAAGUCAAUUGUAACUAGUAAUUGUGUUUUGUUAUAUAAAUAGUAUACCAAUUGCAUACAAGUUUUUUGCCAAUUUCUAUACCAAUAUCAUACUUAUAAGAGUGACAUUGGUUCAUACAAGAUUCAUAUAAAAAAGAAUACCCAAUUCAAACAAAUUAAUUGUAAACACUCUUUAAUUAUAAACAAAUUUGACCUUUUUAGACGUGAAAAAUUUAGAAGGAUCUCCACUGCUAAUAGAAUGUUAUGCAGUUCUUUUCGCAUAAGAUUAAAAAAUUAUGCCCUUUUUUUUUUUGUUCCAUAUCAUUUUUUACUGUUUUGUUGGUAUACAAUUAGAACGAAAAAUUAUAUACAAUGAUGACUAUUGUUUUGAGAUAAGAGAGAAAAAGACAUAUAUUGAGUAAGAAAAAUAUCUGUAAAAAAAUCUGUUUUGAAAGAUAAUUAACAGGUGAGAGAAAAGGCAGUAACUGUUUUGAAGUAAACUAGGAAAAUAAAUAUUCUUUUUGUUAUGGCUCUUCUUAUUUUAUGCCUAUUAUUAAUUAUCAUUACUAUUUUUAAUUUGUUUGUUAAUUUAUAUUCCGUUUUUUCUAACUUUUUUUUAUUUAACAAAAUGUUAUAUCCCCUAAUUGCUUAAUGUUAAAACUUAAAAAAUAAAAAAUAAUGUCAUAACUGAUAACUAAUAAUAAUUAGUCUUAUAUAUGUCAAUUAUGUUAUAAAAUCAAGCUCAGAAUAAUAUAGUUAUAAAGAGAAGAAGGCAAGAAAUGUAGAUAGAAGAGAGAACUUUUCUUCUUAUUCAAAUGUGUCUUUCAAAUGGUGAGUGAUAUCUCUAUUUAUAGUGUUGAGAUAUCACUCCCAAAAGUCAUCUAACUAGUAGAUACAUAGUUAUCCUAAAUGUUCUUAUCACCUGGAAGCACCCAUACAUGAAUCCAAUUAAUUAUUGGAUAAGUCUAAUGGAUAAUCCACAUGAUACAAUGGAUUUAUAACACUCCCCCUUGGAUGUCCAUAGAUAAUGUGUCUCGUUAAAACUUUACUAGGAAAAACCCAGUGGAAAAAAGCAUAGUGAAGGAAAAAGAGUACACACAUCUCAUAAUACGCUUUGAGUGUUGCCUCGUUAAAAACCUUAUCAAGAAAACUCAACUUGAGACAAGACCAUGGUUAAGGAAACGAGUACAACCGUAUUUCACUCCCCCCGAUGAAAGCCUCACUUGAUAUCUCGAAAACGACGCAUUCCAAUUUUGUAUAUCAACUUCUCAAACGUUGAUGUUGGCAAUGCCUUAGUGAAUAAAUCAGCAAUAUUAUCACUUGAGCGGAUUUUUUGAACUUCUAUCUCACCAUUUUGUUGAAGAUCAUGUGCGAAAAAAAACUUUGGUAAAAUAUGUUUUGUCCGAUCUCCUUUGAUGUAUCCUCCUUCCAAUUGAGUUAUAUAUGCAACAUUAUCUUCGUACAUUGUGGUUGGUAUAUUCUUUUUCAAAAAAAAAUCACACAUUUCCUGAAUAUGGUGGCUCAUUGAUCUCAACCAAGCGCACUCUCAAUUUGCUUCAUGGAUGACUAUUAUUUCUGCAUGAUUUGAAGAAGUGGCUACCAACGGUUGCUUCAAUGAUCGCCAAGAUAUUGCGUGUCUCCACACGUAAACAAAUAAUCUGUUUGAGACCGAGCUUUAUGUGGAUCAGAUAAAUAUUUUGUAUCUGCGUAACCAGUCAGUUCUGACUUGGAUUCAUCGAAAUAGAAUAAACCCAUGUCUAUGGUCCCCCAAAGAUAUCUAAGUAUGUGUUUAACAUCAUUCCAAUGUCUUUUUGUUGGGGAGGAAUUGAAUCUAUCUAGUAAAUUUAUUGCAAAACAGAUAUUUGGUCGAGUAUUGUUAGCAAGAUGCAUUAGUGUCCUGAUUGCACCAAGAUAUGGAGUUUCAUCACCAAUAAGCUCUUCAUCCUUCUUUUGAGAUCAAAAUGAAUUUUUAUUUGUUUCAAGCGAUCUCAUAAUCAUUGGGGUACUCAAUGAAUGUGAUUUAUUCAUGCAAAAUUGCAUCAAACUUUUCUAUGUAUGUUGACUCAUGGACAAAUAUUUCAUUUGUCAAAUUCUUACCAAGACCUUUUCAUUUUUUAUUUUCUUUUCAAACACUCAAUAACUUUUGAAAGCUCCUUAAGAGUGCUAAUGAUGUUCAAGUCAUCAACAUACACAACUAUUAUAACAAAUUCAAAUCCUGAAAAAAUUGCAAGGACAAAUAGAGUCAUUUUUUAAUACCCUUUCUUCCUUGAUUAUUUCAAUCCAUAUAAGGAUUCUCGAAACUUUAUUGAAAAAGUUUCUUUCAAACUUUUAUAUGCUUCAGGCACCGUGAAUGCUUCAAGGAUUUUUAUAUAACCUUCAUUGUCUAGCUACUAGACAUGACAAUUAUUCAUUAUAUGCAUUCAAGUUUUUCAAAUGUUGUUAGAUCAAAACAAACUUCAUUGCAUCCACCAUAGGAGAAAAUAUCUCCAAUUAUAUCAGGAAAUCUGUGAAAAACCUUUAUGCUCCGAGGCACAAACCGUACUUGAUAUCUUACGGUUAUACUAUCACAUAAUAAUUUAUUUGUACCCUACUAACAUUAUACCUUGAUUUAUGGACUAUCAGUAAAAAACGUCACUUUUCUAUGUGAAACAAAAUAUACUUGAAUUAUGCAUUUUAUUUGACCAAUCAUUUAUCAGUCCACACUAUAUGACAUAUUUGAAUUCAAAAUCCGUGUCACAAUUUAUAUCAUUGAGCACUACUUCAUAUCAAAGAUACCGUCGACGGUUAUUUGAUAUAGAUUCCAAUAUGAUAUAACUUAUCGAGAUCUCUUCAUUUUUCAGGUACCUGAACCUUUCCCAAGGUUUUAUAAAGUGUUAUGUCGUGGUGCUCUUUUAUAGCACCUGCCUCAUUAUCAUGAUCAUAUUGAUCAUUUGCUCCUCUCCUUCUUCAAGGAAUUUUACAUUUGGAACCGAUUGGUCUAUUACGCUUCAGGCAUAUCAUAGACUCUGUCCUUCAAGGACUUCUCAUUGAUGCAUUUGCAGCUGAAUUAUAACACUGGGUCAGUAAAUUCAUCUGGCAAUUUAUUUGCAACAUUAUGCAAAUGAAUUAUCCCUUGAACUUCAAGUUCACAUUUUCUUUGAACGAGGAUCUAGAUAAUUCAUAAUUAACCUCGCACAUAAUUUUUAGCUGUCAAUAUCAUCUCUCCCCAUAAUGAUAGAAAAUUUAACAUUCAUAACAUUCAUAAUUUUCAAGUUCACAUUUUCUUUUAACAAGGAUUUAGAUAAUUCAUAAUUAACCUCACACAUAAUUUUCAACUGUCAAUAUCAUCUCUCCCCAUAAUGUUGGAAAAUUUAACAUUCAUCCCAACCUUAUUUGGAAAUUCAUCUUUGUGCGUGGUGGAACAAUUAAAAUCAUAACAGCACAUUCAACGUUUUAGAUGAAAAUUAUUUGGUUCCUGACCUUGAACCAAUUUUUAUAGGGGACCUUUGUUGGCUUGAUGCGUACAAGUGUUGCUACAUGUUAAAUAAAUUCAUCUCAUAUCAAAUUUCUUUUGGGAGAUUUGUUCUCGUAAUCAUUGGUUAGUUGUAAUUGGAGGCAUACAAUUUCUUCUAAACCAACCAGCAUUAUCAAUAUAAUUUCAUAGUUUGGAACUGUGCUCUUAAUUUAACAAUUUGAGCAAACAACCUUACAAACACCAAUUUGUAAGUUGACAACAAAACACAUGUGACCAUCACAUAGAUGCAUCUAUCAUGUGUUGCAAAUGGUCCACAUGGCAGGUGAAUGGGCCCAUAUUCACCUUUUUAUAUGUCUAAAAAAUCUCAAGGAGUACAAUCUCAACCUUAGUUGGUAUAAUGAUAUAAUGAUCAAAUUAUCAGAGAACAAACAAUAUAAGAGAAUUCUUGAAGAAUUUUUUAUUUCUUCAUCAUAUAAGCCAAAUGAUUUCUCAAUUACUUUUGCAUCACAUUUAAACCAGAAUGGUCAACCGAUCAGGCCAACUGAUCUUUAUUUCAAUACACUUAUAAUUUACUUUUGCAUGUGAUUCCAUCAGCAUGCAUAUGUUAGUGUGCAACAAACAAGAGGAAAAAAUGGGUAAUCUUUUACAUAAAUAUUUAUAACCCGUUUUGAUUGUAGUAAUCUGAAGAUAUUAAAACUUUUCAUAAUUUAUAGUUUCAAUAUUUAUUUUCUAUUCAUCCGAAACUUAAAAAGUUUCUUUUGAGACUUACUACAACCCCAAUAUUAUUACUCUGAUAAUAACACAACUCGUUAGAGCUUGCAAUUAAUUUUGUGUACUAUCACAUAUUUCAUGACACCAUCCGUAUGGUGAGCAUCUCCUUCAAGGAGAAAAUUAUAUUAUUACUGUCAUGGUCAAAAUUAUUACAAGCAAGACAUGUUUCUUGCUUUACUUUUGUCGUACCAUAGGUACACAAUCAAUGACAAAUUUGCAUUGCCACACAAUAAUAUUAAUUUGAUCAUGGUCACAACCUUUAUAGACAAGAAUUAUUUCUUUUGCCCUUUCGGUAGUUCACAAACAUACCAUAAUAUUUAUGACCUAUAAACGUACACGACCAUUGGCUAUUCCUGCCAAAUAAAAUUUAUUUAUUCUCUCAAACCUUCCGUAGAGGUGAGUUGUGACAUAUAUCCAAUCCAAAAUAUUUUUAUCAUAUCUUGACUCAUUCACUUUCAGAAUAGUCGAGAAUUCGUGAUUCUUAUCACAAGUCACAUUCUCUUCAAGGAAUGGACCAAUCAUUUGUAUGUGCUUCAUAAAUCUGCAUUAUAAGCUUAUUGUCAUACCUUUCACUACAAGAAAAAUGUGGAUUACAUGGGGAUUUUUCUAGGGAUUGCAUAUGAAAAUUCGCAAGAAACUAAGUUUUCUGCGAAUUUUCCUACCAAAAAAAAUUCGAUGGUAAAACCUUCCUAGAUAAUAUUUCUUGCGAAUUUUAAAAUCCCCAAGUAAUUUACCUAUGGAUUUAUAUUUCGUGGGUAAAUUACUUGGGAAUUUUCUUGCAAAAAAAUAUACCGAUUUUUUUUUUUAAAAGUUAACAAAAAAGAAUUUUUCUAGACAAUAUUAAUUAAUAAUUAGUAUCUCCUAAUUAAUUAUUUUGUUCUGGAACCCGAUAUACUUAGGACACCCCCAUACACAUAGUUACCUACUCAUAAUUGCACUAACUUAAUCCUAGUCCACCACCCAAUGCCCAACCUAUAUGUAAUUACUUUAUUCUACCAAUGCUCUAACUAAUAGCAUUAUAAAUGCUAAAGAUCAUGUGUCUUCCACCGAUGUGGUAAAAAGUACCACUAGCAUUACGAUAAAUUUUGUUGUUUUUCUUCAAUUUGAUUAAUUUUUAAAGCUAAAUUUUAAUUAAAAUUAAUUGAGUAUUAAAAAUACAAUUUAGAUAUUGAUUACACAAAAAGUACUAUAAAGUCAUCUCAUAUUAAUAUGAGAUAAAAAUAUAUCUUAAAAAUGUUGAGUAAAAUUCAUGUGAUUUAGCUUUUCAAAAAUAAAGCAUGACAACUAUAUAUUUCUAUUAUAUAGAAAUGUGAUGAGGAGGACGACCAAGGGUAAUUUCGUCAAUUUACUAAAAAACUUUGUUUAAAUUCUUUGAAUCUCAUUUACAAUAGAAUGUUUUUCUCUUUAAGAUUAAUCAAAUCAAAAUUUAAUUAUUAUAGUAUAUGACCUAUUUUAUUUUUCAAGUUAUCAAUUAACACUUAAUAUUAUUAUUCUUUUGUCUCUAAUAAGAAUCGAAAAAUACAAAUUAAUACAUUAAUCAUGUUUUGAUCAUAUAACUUAUUGGUGAUCAGAAAGAUAAAUUAAUUGAAAUUAAUUAAAAUUUUGAAAAAUUUGACAAUAAAAAAUGCAUAAUUAUAAUACGGAAAAUUGCAUAAUUUGAAACUAUAUGCAAUCUUUUCAUUAAAUUAAUACAAAUAAUAAAACAAUACAUAUUAUAUUAUAACUAUAUAUUCAUUUUACCAAUAAAAAUAAAUAAAUGUUAAAAUUUCUAUUAUCCAUUAAGAUAAAUUAUCCAUAGACUUUACCAAAAAAAUAAAUAAAUAACACUAUCCAUAUAACUUCCUAUAAUUUAAUAUUAGGAAAAGUUUUACCAACGACUCUUUUUCACUUAAAUAAAAUAUUGAGAAAUAAGAAUUAAACCACCCCAAAUAAGGAUAUUCGUGAGAAUGAUCCACAGUAAAAUUAAUUUAAAUUUUGAAAAAAUUACACAAAUAAAUCUUAAAACUAAAUUAAUUAUCUAAAAAUGGCCAACCCAAACUAAUUCCCGAAAUGGUCAAUCGGAUGUGCCCUUUUUGUUAUGAAGUUAACUUUUGUUAAUAUUCUUAAAUCCUCUUUAUUUGAGGUAAAAUAUUCAUUUAUCAGGUAAAAUUACUUUAGAAAAAAUUAUUUGUCUACUACGCUAAAUUGUUCUCCUAAUUUUAAUGAACAUAAAGACAAGACAUAACGUCAAAAUUUUUUUUUCAUCCUUUAUCACUGUGUAAAGAAUGAGAUAAUUCAUUCUAAUUUUCAUCAAGUAGGUCAUUAUUUCUGUUUGUUAAAACAUCUAUAAAACAAAUUUUAAGUAUAUUCAAAAUUAAUCUAUAGAUGGAUCAUCAGACUUUAUUGCUUCAUAUAGUUUAUGAAAAUUGUUAAUAUAUUGACACUCAUAAUUUUAAUCUUUUCUCUUGAAUAAGUUAUAUAUAAAAUAGAAAAAAAUAUCAUUAAUUUAAUUAUUUGAUUCAAAUAUUAUGUUUCACAUGAUGUUAAAAAAUCACGGAAUCAUAUGAUAUUUUAUUGUUCUUUCCUAUCAUGUUUAUUUCAAAAUAUCAUAAUAAUUUUUUCCCCGAAAACUAAUUAAAUUUCUAUUAUAAAUUUAUAUAAAAUUGUAAUAUUGGGCCCGUAACGGGCCUUUCAUUAUCUAGUAUAUAUAUAUAUAUAAAUAAAUCACUACCACCCAACAUAUCAUGAAAAAUUUAUGCCUACACUUUCUAUGAGAUAAUAUCUAUAACGAAGCAUAUUAAAUGUAGACAAAAUUUACAUUAUGCAUACAAAGUUCUUAUAAAUAAAUAAUUGAAAAUAUAAAUACACUUAUAAAUUUAAUGUGCAAGGAAGUUAUAAAUCAAUAAUUGAUAGUAUAUCUUAUUAGGAAAUUUUGUAUUUAUAAUUUUAAUUUAUCUUUUAAUAAUUAUAUUUUAAUAUACUUAAUUUUAUAUUUGGAUAUAAUAUCAUUUAAUAACUUACUAUAGAGAAUUUUUAUUUUUAUUUUUUAAUGCUAGUAAGAAUAUAAUAUACCCAUUGGAUAUACAAGUAAAAAUUAUUUAUUUUUCUUUUCAUAUAAUUCUAUCAACAAGGGGUAAUUAAACUUUUAUGAUAGUUAUUUUUUGUUGGAUAAAUGACUAUCCAUAUAAUUUUAAUUUUUUCUAUCUUUCAAAUAAAAAAACAAAAUAAAAAAAAAUGGUAUUAUUGGUUUUUAGUGAGAUGAAAUAUUAAUUAUAUAUAAGUUAAAAAUAUUUAUCCUAAAAUUUAUGGUAAUGUUCCAACACCGUAUUAAUUUGACAAAUAUUUAUGAUAGUUACUUUUCUAUUGGAUAAACAACUACCCAUAUAAUUUUAAUUCUUUGUAUUUUUCAAAUAAAAAAAACAAAAUAAAAAAUGGUAUCAUUGAUUUUUAGUGAGAUAAAAUAUUAAUUAUAUAAAAAUAUUCAUCCUAAAAUUUAUGAUAAUGUUCUAACACCGUAUUAGAUUAAAAUAUUUAUGAUAAUUAUUUUUCUAUUGGAUAAAUAACUAGCCAUAUAAUUUUAAUUCUUUGUUUCUUUCAAAUAAAAAUUAAAAAAUAAUAACAUUGAUUUUUAGUGAGAUUAAAUAUUAAUUAUAUAUGAGUUAAAAAUAUUCAUCCUAAAAUUUAUGAUAAUGUUCCAACACCUUAUUAAAUUGAUAUUAUUGCAUAAUAAUUUAUUAAACCUAAGAAUAGAAUAAUUAUUUAACAAUAAAUUUCAUUCUAGUGAUCAUUUGUCCUUUUUAUACUAUUAUAUUUUUUUUAAUUUUGGUAAAUAUAUUUUUAAGAAAAUAUUCCCCGAGGAUUCCUAAUUUACAAAAAUUCUUAGAUUUCAAUAAAAAAAAUUCAAUUAAAUUAUAUUAAAAAUAUUCAAGUUUGCAUAUUUCCAAGUAAAUCCCUUAAAAAAUCUCAAAUCAAAUUCACAACAAUAGAAUCCCCAAGUAAAUUCUUCAAGUAAGAAAAUUCCUAAGUAAAUCCCCAACAAAAUUCAUAGAACAUGAAUCUCCAGGUAAUACCACAUAAAAAAUAUUUCUAGAUAAAUUUCCAAGUAAUUAUUUGCAAAUAAAUUUAUCUAGGAAUUUUCUUGCUAGAAGAUAAAAAAAAAUCAUUUUUUUAUUACUUGCGAAUAUACCUAUGAAAAUAAUACUUACAAAUUAUUUGCCGCAAAUAAUUCCCUAGGUAAUAAUUUUGCGAAAAUGGUGCCAAAUUUAUCCACCAAUUUUUCUGGAAGACUAUUUUUCGUAGGUAAAAAAGUCUAUAAUUUAGGAAUUUCAUAUUUCCGCAUGAAAACUCGUAGGAAAUUUCUGCAGAAAUAAUCCCCAAGUAAAAUUCGCCGGUAAUUUACCGUUUUCUAGUAGUGUUUGCAGUUUAUCAUUUUUGCACAACAUGUUGGGAAAGACAAGGCACUAACAAAAAUAUCAGACAGGAUAGUAGCGGAAUAAUACCCAAAUCUAAACUUUCCCUUUUAAUUUGAACUAAGAGGAGACAAACCAAAUCAAACAAUAUGAAGAAUGGACAACAAGUAUAUCAACCAAACUAAAGCAAUAUGAUAAGAACAAGCUAAUCACACAAGACACAACGAUUUACGUGGAAAACCCUUCGAUGUGAAGAGUAAAAAACCACAGGACCUAAAGCUCCACUAUAAACACCAAGAGUUACAAAAUUGUUCUCUAAAAUUGGCCACAAAACAAGCGCCAAACAACGAGCAACAACAAAUCAAGAUUGCACCAAAACUGGAGAAUUAAAGAAGAGAUUUCACCCCAAAACGCGCUACUGUUCACGCCCUCAAACCAGAAGCUACAGACCUCCAAAUCCGAUCUUCACCGUUGAAUUGUAAGAACCAGAUUCUGAGAACUCCCAGUUAAAAUUUGAGCACGAUCCAAUGGUUAACGAAGCGGAAAACUCUGUCUGAAGAGGACUGCCUGAGCAGAAAAUUUCCAGAAGCAAAAACGGAAUUUUUCCCUUUUUCUCUCAAUCUCUAAAACGAAUCUCUCUUGAUUUUUCUCUCUUGUAUUUCUGAAAAUAAGACCAAAUAAGCCUUAUAUAUGCCACAUAAUAUUUUGGGGUUUUAUGGGCUAAAGUGAGCUGGUCCUAAUAAGACUUUUAUUUUAUUCCACAUAGGAAGGGAAAGAAAAGAUCCUAAACCCAACACAACACACCUCAACGUCACUUUGAAAGGUCAAGUGUACACACUUUAUCUUCCUUUCUUUUGAUGGAAAAUUUAUAAACUUAUCAAAUUAUUAGGUCGACAACCUUUCAUACCAUUUUGAUAAUAAAAAUUACCUUCACAUUUUGAAGGACUAUUUGGAGAACCCACAAUGUUCUUCAUUUAGCCAUAGCGAUGACUAUCAUGAUUUCUUUUUUCUCAUGCCCAUAUUCAUUGUACAAUCACAAUAAUCAUUGUCAUCUUUCAGACUUAUCAUGUACUGCUACCACAUUCACACAAGAGAAUGGAGCAAACCAAUUGAGCAAAAUGCAUGACUUCUCAUAAAAAUACAAUUAGUUUGUCAUAGUCAUCAUUAUGGUGCAUUAGAACUUAAAUCCAAUGUCUUAUCCAUAUAAAGCCGUCUUAGGUCAUAAAUCGAUGGGACAUGAACCCAACGUAUUAUCAUCAUGGUGCAUCAAAAUUCAAAUUGAUGUCGUAUCCUCUUGGUGCAAUAGAACUUUAAUCUACCGUCUUACCCUCCAACAUUUUUUUCAUUAUGUGCAUCCGAACUUUAACCUGAUGUCUUACCAUUUUAGUGCGAUGAGACUUGAAUCCAUAGUCUUACCCUGAAUUAAUAAAUAAUAGUCCAAAAUGAAAUGGAAUUAACCUCUUGUGUCCCAUCAUAUCGUUCACGUCACUGCUUACCAGAGACAAACAUAUGCCUCUCCCAAUUUAUUUAUUUUUUCAAGCUAAAAGAAAUUGUUUUCUCCGGUCUACUCCAAAAAAAUGAAAUUAAUCUCAUAGUUUAGAGUAAUGAUUAAUAAAAUAAUAAUAGAAAAUAGAAGCAUAGUUUUCUUCUUAAAUGGCAAAUUAAAACUUUUUUUUUUGAGACGUAUACGCUUAGUGAAUGAAAUAACUGUGCAAACCAUAUAAGCAUACACAAAAUUUAUUAAACUUAGAAAAGGAAAACAAAUAAAAAGGAUGACAAAAAAUCAUUCAUUAAACAAAACAUAACAAAUUAUAAAAUUUUCACUUCAUUAUUGUAGCCUUCAACCAUUAAAGAGCUUUAAGCCCAAAUAUUUUGAUAACAUAUGAGCCGUUGCUUAGGGAACGGAACCAACAAGUGCUUUUUAUCGCAUUUCUUCUUUUAUGUAUUUUAAACUUUUUCCCUUGUGCUGGUUAGAACAAUGUCAAAAUUAAUUAAUUUCACUUUUUUAGGAUGAUUCUCUAAAUGAUGAGACUGGUAUUUCUUUGUGAUCAACUAGUGUUCUUCUUCAACUGGCAGAUAAGAGAGAUGUGGUUGGUUUGCAGGAACAGGUAUAUGUUUUCAGCGGUUAACUUGCUUCUGAAUUUUCAAGUUUUUGUUCGGAAUUUGGGAUAUGUGAAUCUCUUGCUCUAUAGAUCCCCUUCCCUUCGUCUAGAACAUCGCCUUUUUUUUCUUCCUACUAUUGGAGCAGGAGAAAACUGAUAAUAGAUCUCACUUGCAGGUGGUUAAGCUGUUAGCUUAUAUUAGUGAUAAGGACUUGUUUGCAGAAUUCUAUAGGUAGAGUUACCUCUACUCUGUAUCUCAACCACUACUCGAAUAGUAGCUUCUUCUCUGUUAUUUGAUAAAAGUGCCAAUGAUGAACAUGAGAGAAGUAUCCUAACAAAGUUGAAGCAGCAGUGUGGGGACAGUUCACAUCAAAGAUGGAGGGAAUGGUAAGCUAUCCAUAUCAAUUAUGUUGAAUUUGAGGCUAUGUUCUCUGGUGACAUUUUUCUUCUCUUUCUAUAGGUCACAAAUUUGACAUUGUCAAGGGAAAAUCAAGCCAGCUUUGAGGAGUAUUUGAGCAAUUAUCCAAUAGCAAAUCCAGGAAUUGACUUGACGACGACUAUCUUGACUACUGGCUUCUGUCCUAGCUACAAGUUUUUUGAUCUCAACAUCCCGGCAGAAAUGGUGGAGGAUUGGGUGGGUAGGAGGAGACAAUAAACUUAGAAUGUCACUUAUGCAAAUCGGUUUCGCUAUAUUCAUUAGGAAAGUAGUUUUCCAAGUGAAAAGAUUUUCCAAACAUUUGACCAAUCAAAUAUAGAAAAUCUGGAAAACAUAGACUACAUUCUCAAAAAAUGAAAAAAGUAAAGAGUCCUCAAGCACUUGAGGUAAAAUGCAUAAAACCCAAAAUUAGUAGGGAUAAAUUUGCAAUAACCCUGAAUGAAAAUCCAAGAAAUUACAGCGGAAAAAAUGGACAUAAUUAGAAGUAUAAGGGGGUUUUCAAGGAAACAGGAAAACCACAUAAAAGGGAAAAGAGAGAUUCACAUCUCACCGGAUACUCUUCUUGUCAUUAAUGGUUCCUGGCAGCUCCGUCUUGUGCCGUCAUCGGAUCUAGACUCUCCGAUCACUCUUUCGGCGAAUUCCUUUGCUCUCCGGUGACUUCACAGGUAUAUUUUCCGGUCAAAUUGUGAGCUCUGAUUCGAUGUACACUGUUCCCACGUAUGUAUAUAUCUAUGAUACCUAGUUGAUGUGAUUGUUUUGGUUUAAUAGUUUCUUCCUUUGCUUCAUAUUGAUCCUAUUAUUGAUUUUGUUUCCAGUAGCUAUUGAAAUUGUGUUUUUUUGUUGUGGUUGAUUUUGCGUUCUUCAAAGCUGUGAUUGAUGGACUAGUCUUAUGUUGUUUUUUUAUUUCUCUAUAGUUUAUUCUGAGCAUGACUGUUUUGUCCUUUUUGAAGUUAGGUAUAGUGGAGAUUUAGUGUUCAUUAUUGGUAGGGUUUGAGUUUAAUUUUUGGUUCAUUCUAUGUGCAACUGACGACAUUCAUGCAAACUAGAAAUUCAAUACAAACAACUAAUUCCAGAACUUUGUUUUCUUUUGUUAACUGCCUGAAACUUUAGACUUUUCAGCUAUGUUGCUCAGAAUCUUCAAAAAUGUCGACGAGUGCGUGUCGGAUUAGUAAAUUUUUGAAGGAUCCAAGCAACUUAGCUUUUCAGUGUCUUUGAUGUGUAUUUUCUUUUGGUAUUCUCAGUUUUAUUUACUUAUUAAUUUAUAUACGUUUAUUGGAAAAUGUUGUGUAAACAGUUUUUUUUAUGUAACCCUAAAAAGAUUUUUAUUAAGGAAAAGUGUGCAAUUUUGGUAACUCUAGUUUAUCUAGGCACUAGGAAUUACUUGGUGAAACUUAGUUCUUGUGGAAUUCCUAUCAAGUCAGGGUCUUGGGAAACCAAUUCAGAAUCGUUAGGAAUCAAUCAAUUACCUUGAAUGUGCUUAGAGAUGUAUCAAAUGAUACCAGCCGACUAGUCCAAUAACUACAGUUUCCUGAAAAGUGCCCCUUUCCAGGGCAAAGGAAGUUAAGAGCUUGCAAAAGAAUUGCAGAAUCAAUUCCUAAAUAGAACUUAGAGUAGAAUUCCUGUAACAUCCGGCAAUUUGAAAUAGCUAAGAAGAAGCUUAGAAUUUGAAAAUUUUCAAUUUUUGGAAAGGAUUUGAAAAUCUAGAAAAUUUGGCUAAGUAUGGAAAUCAGUGAUUUUUGGCCAACUUUGAGCAGUCAUAACUUCUAGCUCAGGAUUAUUUAGGAGUAGUUCCAGUUAUGGUUGUGAAUCUUGUGGAAUGAUCUUUCCAACGCCACCGAGUUUGCUCAAUUCCGAGUUCGUAUGAGCGAGUUAUGGCCUUUGAAAGUUGGGCAGUUGACAAGGAAAUCCGUCCGGGAAUCAUUAAGGGCAUUUUGGUCUUUUCCCUAGCUAUUUCUUUUGAGGAUGUAUUGUUGUAUAGGGCUGAUCUUUGGAUCAUUUUGUUCCAUUUUUAAGAGAGUGAAGGCUAGGGCUUGAGANNNNNNNNNNNNNNNNNNNNNNNNNNNNNNNNNNNNNNNNNNNNNNNNNNNNNNNNNNNNNNNNNNNNNNNNNNNNNNNNNNNNNNNNNNNNNNNNNNNNNNNNNNNNNNNNNNNNNNNNNNNNNNNNNNNNNNNNNNNNNNNNNNNNNNNNNNNNNNNNNNNNNNNNNNNNNNNNNNNNNNNNNNNNNNNNNNNNNNNNNNNNNNNNNNNNNNNNNNNNNNNNNNNNNNNNNNNNNNNNNNNNNNNNNNNNNNNNNNNNNNNNNNNNNNNNNNNNNNNNNNNNNNNNNNNNNNNNNNNNNNNNNNNNNNNNNNNNNNNNNNNNNNNNNNNNNNNNNNNNNNNNNNNNNNNNNNNNNNNNNNNNNNNNNNNNNNNNNNNNNNNNNNNNNNNNNNNNNNNNNNNNNNNNNNNNNNNNNNNNNNNNNNNNNNNNNNNNNNNNNNNNNNNNNNNNNNNNNNNNNNNNNNNNNNNNNNNNNNNNNNNNNNNNNNNNNNNNNNNNNNNNNNNNNNNNNNNNNNNNNNNNNNNNNNNNNNNNNNNNNNNNNNNNNNNNNNNNNNNNNNNNNNNNNNNNNNNNNNNNNNNNNNNNNNNNNNNNNNNNNNNNNNNNNNNNNNNNNNNNNNNNNNNNNNNNNNNNNNNNNNNNNNNNNNNNNNNNNNNNNNNNNNNNNNNNNNNNNNNNNNNNNNNNNNNNNNNNNNNNNNNNNNNNNNNNNNNNNNNNNNNNNNNNNNNNNNNNNNNNNNNNNNNNNNNNNNNNNNNNNNNNNNNNNNNNNNNNNNNNNNNNNNNNNNNNNNNNNNNNNNNNNNNNNNNNNNNNNNNNNNNNNNNNNNNNNNNNNNNNNNNNNNNNNNNNNNNNNNNNNNNNNNNNNNNNNNNNNNNNNNNNNNNNNNNNNNNNNNNNNNNNNNNNNNNNNNNNNNNNNNNNNNNNNNNNNNNNNNNNNNNNNNNNNNNNNNNNNNNNNNNNNNNNNNNNNNNNNNNNNNNNNNNNNNNNNNNNNNNNNNNNNNNNNNNNNNNNNNNNNNNNNNNNNNNNNNNNNNNNNNNNNNNNNNNNNNNNNNNNNNNNNNNNNNNNNNNNNNNNNNNNNNNNNNNNNNNNNNNNNNNNNNNNNNNNNNNNNNNNNNNNNNNNNNNNNNNNNNNNNNNNNNNNNNNNNNNNNNNNNNNNNNNNNNNNNNNNNNNNNNNNNNNNNNNNNNNNNNNNNNNNNNNNNNNNNNNNNNNNNNNNNNNNNNNNNNNNNNNNNNNNNNNNNNNNNNNNNNNNNNNNNNNNNNNNNNNNNNNNNNNNNNNNNNNNNNNNNNNNNNNNNNNNNNNNNNNNNNNNNNNNNNNNNNNNNNNNNNNNNNNNNNNNNNNNNNNNNNNNNNNNNNNNNNNNNNNNNNNNNNNNNNNNNNNNNNNNNNNNNNNNNNNNNNNNNNNNNNNNNNNNNNNNNNNNNNNNNNNNNNNNNNNNNNNNNNNNNNNNNNNNNNNNNNNNNNNNNNNNNNNNNNNNNNNNNNNNNNNNNNNNNNNNNNNNNNNNNNNNNNNNNNNNNNNNNNNNNNNNNNNNNNNNNNNNNNNNNNNNNNNNNNNNNNNNNNNNNNNNNNNNNNNNNNNNNNNNNNNNNNNNNNNNNNNNNNNNNNNNNNNNNNNNNNNNNNNNNNNNNNNNNNNNNNNNNNNNNNNNNNNNNNNNNNNNNNNNNNNNNNNNNNNNNNNNNNNNNNNNNNNNNNNNNNNNNNNNNNNNNNNNNNNNNNNNNNNNNNNNNNNNNNNNNNNNNNNNNNNNNNNNNNNNNNNNNNNNNNNNNNNNNNNNNNNNNNNNNNNNNNNNNNNNNNNNNNNNNNNNNNNNNNNNNNNNNNNNNNNNNNNNNNNNNNNNNNNNNNNNNNNNNNNNNNNNNNNNNNNNNNNNNNNNNNNNNNNNNNNNNNNNNNNNNNNNNNNNNNNNNNNNNNNNNNNNNNNNNNNNNNNNNNNNNNNNNNNNNNNNNNNNNNNNNNNNNNNNNNNNNNNNNNNNNNNNNNNNNNNNNNNNNNNNNNNNNNNNNNNNNNNNNNNNNNNNNNNNNNNNNNNNNNNNNNNNNNNNNNNNNNNNNNNCUCAUCUAUGUAUAUAUGUAAAUAUUCUAUUUUGAGACUCGAGUUGCCCCUUUGGGCCAUAUUUUAUCAGUUAAGUUGUUUAUGUCUUUGCAUGACAUUGAGUUAUUCUGUUGAGUCAGGUUUCCGCUGAGUUAAGAAAGCCAGGCCAAGGGUUCGCUUGGGGCUAGCAAUGGUCUCCGAGUGCCGGUCCCGCCCAGGGUGUAGGCUCGGGGCGUGACAAUUCCUUUUCACCGAGCAAUAAGCACGAAUAAAAAUUAAAUAGUAAGCUCACAUGACUAUUGAGUUAUACCUGCGAGUUAUUUUGUUAUGAAUCAUGAGCUUAGACGAUUAGUUGGCAAGUAAAAUCAAAUGCGGAUGAGGUAAUUACUUAGGGUUUUUAUUUUGGCUCAAUGUAGGGAGUCUCUACUGCACAUUAUUGUACUCUUGUGGAGCUCUCUCGAAGGCUUCGUUUUUUGUGACAUGUACUUUAACUUUACGCUUAUCUCUGCACUUCUUAAAUUUUGGAGUUUGGACUUGUUUAGUUACAUAAAUGGUUCAUUUGUUCUUGAUAAUUCAUUAUACUAAAAGUCCUAUACACCCAACUAAAUAUUUAAUUCAGAGUGGUAAAGAAUCGUUAGAAGACCAAGAUCAAACAAUAAAAAACCCACUACCUUUUCCAAUUAGGCAUCUAUAACUCUGGUAAUUCAGAAUAUUUCCAGUUAGUGAACUUUGAUUCGUUCCUUUAUUAUUGUAUUCUAUUCUUGUGCUCCUUUAUCUUCUCUCCUCUUUGUAUUACUUGAAUUUAAGCCUCCAAUAUGUAGUCAUAUUCUUCUACCCUUUCUAUAGAGAGACCCAGAAUUGGCUCAAGGUACCUGUGCGAUUCUUAGUAUGUAUCGCUCCUUAACAGUCCCCGCUUUGAAGCCUUGAAACCCAAGUAUUCUGGUCCAUAUUUCAAGGAUAUAGCCAAGUUUGUAGUUUGUCCAACAUAAGACUUUAGUAUUCAAUAAGAGCAUUUUUUCUGUCAUUUGUUUGUUUAUUCUCAACGGUAAAGUCAAAUAUUAAUGUGAUUUGAUUUUUUGACUGGCUUAAAAAUUGCUUGAUUUUCAUACUAGCUUUUAUUGAGUUUAGUUGGUGAUGUUAUUUAGUUUGGGAACAGGUCCACAGGAUUUUGGAAUUUGUGUAGGGUUGCAUUCUGUUAAAUUGUGAAGAUAUUGAAAUCACAAUGAACCAACGUAGCGUAAUCGAUCUGAAACAUGGAUUGGACUCCAUGCAAUGGGGCAUUACAAAGCUGAAGAACAUUCUUGAAGGGUUGCCUGAGCCUCAGUUCAGCUCAGAGGACUAUAUGAUGCUGUAUACGUAUCCUUUUAGACUCCCACACUGUUAGGCAUGUAGAUAACUUGGAUUUGAUGCACCUUUUGUUUCCUUAAGUCUACUAACAGGACAAUUUACAACAUGUGUACUCAGAAUCCCCCACAUAAUUACUCUCAACAGCUAUAUGACAAAUAUCGUGAAGCUUUUGAAGUAUAUAUCACAACAACGGUAAGCGUAGUUGCAAUUUUCAUUUGCAUUUCACUUUAGUAGAAAUUAAACAAGGUACUUCAAUAAACCAAACAAAAAAUAAGAAUUGAAGAAGUACUAUUCUUAAUUAUUCUUUGAUUUUGUUAUAUCCAUGGACCAUUCUUGAUAGUUUGCUCUCUAUUUACCAUUCUGGAAUGUUUGGAACUUAUAGAAAUGAUUUCUUUAAUAAAAAAACAGAAAAUCAUUAGUCAAUUUUAGCCAUGUAAACAAAGAGGGCUUAGUACGGGUAGUUUCCUUGGUGCCUUCUGUGAUUUUAUUUAUGCCCUCUAUGAUUUUAUUUAAUAAGGAUCCAUGUUCAAGUAUCAACAUUUUUUUGGGAUCUGAAUGUAAUUCAGGCAUUGCUUUCCCAAGAGGAAUAUUAUCUUUUAGUUUUAUUCCCACUAUUAUAAGAUUCAAAUUUUGAAAAGGCUGCUCUUCCUGCUUCUUCAUCCCAUUGAAUAUGAAGAAAAGGAUAUGGGGAAAGUGGAGAGAAGUUUAAAAAACACGUCUAAAUUUCAUGGAUGCUUUUGUAUUUUAUUUUAGGAAUGCCAUUUCGCUUAGAGGUUUAAAAUGAUGAAAACUCAAAUUUGGCUUAAAGUUUGUUUACCUAAUUUUUGUUUCUCCAAAUAAUUCUACCUUCUCUAAAUUUCACUGUGCAAUUCAAUUUCAAAAUAGGUAUUGCCUUCUUUGAGAGAAAAACAUGAUGAGUUCAUGUUGCGAGAGCUGGUAAAAAGGUGGUCAAAUCAUAAGGUCAUGAUCAGAUGGUUAUCGAGAUUAUUCCAUUUUCUUGACUGCUAUUUGAUUGCCCGGAAAUCUCUGCCGAACCUUAAUGAAGUUGGACUAACUUGCUUCUGUGAUCAGGUAAUUUACUGUUCUCCUUCUUUUUUCUCUUUCAAUCAAAAUUUUGUUUCUAUGGUUAUCUAUUAAAACAUCUCCACCUGAUCACUUGGUUAAAGCACUGAGCUCAACUCAUGGCUUCUAUAUUGAUUUUUUUUAAUUCUAUUUUCUGGGUUUUGCCUACUCUAGAAUUUGGUUUGCAGUUUGAGAGUAUACUCAACUUCUACCACAUCUUUUUAUGAAAAGAUGCCACUUUUUAGUCCCUCCAUCCUAAUUAUGUGAAGGUGUUUGACUUGACACGAAGUAUAAGAGAAAAAAAAGAAUUUUGAAACUUGUGGUAUAAAGUAAGCUAUAGAAACUUUGUGGCUAUAAAGUAAAACGAGUCUAGAGUUAAAAGGGCAACAAAAUUGAGUUUAAAUUCCAAAACAGGAACAAAAAAUAAGGUUGAAACCAAAAGGGAAACAUUUGGACGGGAGGUCGACGCCGUGAGUUUUGUGGAAGAAGGUGUAGGUUCCCAUGCGCCUUAUAAGACGCAAGGCUACACAGUAUUUGUGAGACGCAGGUCUACCUGUGUAACAACCGAAAAUUUGAAAUAAUUAUGAAGAGGCUUAGAAUUUGAAAUAGUCAUUUUUGGAAAAAUUUAAAAAUCUGGAAAUUUGGCCAAGUAUGGAAAAAGGGUGAGUUUUGGCCAACUUUGAGCAGUCAUAACUUCUAGCUUAGGAUGAUUUAGGUGUAGUUCCAGUUAUGGUUGCAUAGCUCAUGGAAUGUUCUUUCCAACGCCACCGAGUUUGCUCGAUUCCGAGUUCGUAUGAGUAAGUUAUCCCCUUUGAAAGUCAAACAGUUGGCAGGGAAUCCGUCCGGAAAUUUUAAGGGCAUUUUGGUCUUUUCCCUAGCCAUUUCUUUUGAGGUUAUAUUGUUGUGUUAGGCUUAUUUUGGAUCAUUUUGUCCCAUUUUUAAAAAAGAGUGAGAGCUAGGGCUUGAGAGUAAAGAGGAGAAGAAGAGGAGAAAGAGAAGAAGGAGAAAGGGUAUCAAGCAAGUUCCGUCGUGGAUAUCGUCGGGGGUGAUCCCCACUAGGUAUGUGAGUCCAUAGGGUUGGGUUGGCUCUUUCCCCCACCCUCCAAACUCGUUUUACUUUGAAAGAAAAGAUUAGUUGUGUUGUUGAAGUUGUUGGAUGUGUUGUUGAUCUUGUUGAUUUGUGUUGUUGGAGUUCCUUGUUGAUUUGGGGACAUGAUUUGGUUGUGUUUUGAGUUGAAUCUCUUGUAUGUUGAGGGAUCUUAUGAUCCUUAGUGGUUGGGGUUGAAACCUUUGAAGUUAGGGUGGUUUAGAGUUGGAAAAAAAAGAGGGUGAAAAGUCGAGUUUCUGGGCAAGGGGUUGGCGCGUCGUGCCUGCCAGGGGUUCUGAAGUUUCCCCCUUGGGGCGGCGCGCCUCUCAAUACGCCAGCAGGCCUCCUCUGAAGUUUUUGGUCUGGCGCUCCGCGCCUCUCAGAGCGCCAGGUUUUCCCAUUCAUUCCCCACUUUCUUAUGCAUGUUCUUAGGUAUUGUACCUAUGUUUCCUAGUUGUUUCCAACACUCCAAAGUACGUCUAAACGUCAAAAACUCAUCUAUAGCAUGUGAUCAAACACCUUGAAUUCAUAAUUCAAUUCAAGGAGAGUUAGUUAAGAGUUAAGCUUAGAAGUUAAGCAAGUCAAGCAAGUCUUCAAAGUUGUUCAAGAGUCUUUAUUGAAUGUUUUAACUUCAUUUUAAGACUCAAGUUUCAAGUCAAGAAAAGAGCUUAGAGUUUCAAGUUAAGUCAAGAGUUUAAGUUGAGUUCAUUUCUCAAAAGUUAUUAGGGAACUAUGUAUUCCCAAAGAAGUUUCUAAAUGUUUUUACAUUUGAGUAAGAAANNNNNNNNNNNNNNNNNNNNNNNNNNNNNNNNNNNNNNNNNNNNNNNNNNNNNNNNNNNNNNNNNNNNNNNNNNNNNNNNNNNNNNNNNNNNNNNNNNNNNNNNNNNNNNNNNNNNNNNNNNNNNNNNNNNNNNNNNNNNNNNNNNNNNNNNNNNNNNNNNNNNNNNNNNNNNNNNNNNNNNNNNNNNNNNNNNNNNNNNNNNNNNNNNNNNNNNNNNNNNNNNNNNNNNNNNNNNNNNNNNNNNNNNNNNNNNNNNNNNNNNNNNNNNNNNNNNNNNNNNNNNNNNNNNNNNNNNNNNNNNNNNNNNNNNNNNNNNNNNNNNNNNNNNNNNNNNNNNNNNNNNNNNNNNNNNNNNNNNNNNNNNNNNNNNNNNNNNNNNNNNNNNNNNNNNNNNNNNNNNNNNNUUUUGAAUGUCAUGUUUUAAUAGUUUUACAAGCUUUAUAUAUUGCAUGUGUCUUAUUGCUUUAUCUAUUGAGUUCAAUUAUCCAUAAGUUAAACAGAGCCAAUGUAAGUGUUCUCUUGUACUCCUUUCAAGCUUAAGUUGUGGUUUAGCUUUCCAGCUCGCAUACUCGUACAUUCAAUGUACUGAUGCCAGUUGGCUUGCAUCUUAUGAUGAUGCAGACACAGGUAUCCAGGGUCAGCAUCCUGCACGCCGUUGAUCCAGUUGAGCACUCUAGAGUCAGUGGUGAGCCUCCUUGCUUUCCGGAGGACUCGGUUGUUUUGAUCUUUAGUUUUGUUUUAAUUAGGGUGUUGUGGGGUCUGUCCCAACAUCCAUCUCAGUAUUGUAGAGGCUUCAUAGACAGUCAGUCAGUUAGUAUUGAGUCUCUCAUUUAUGUAUAUAUGUAAAUAUUCUAUUUUGAGACUCGAGUUGCCUUUUGGCAUGUUAUGCAUCAGUUAGUUGUUUUUAUAACCUUUCAUUGCAUUGAGUGGUGCUGUUGAGUUAAGUUUCCGCUGAGUUAAGAAAGCUAGGCCAAGGGUUCACUCGGGGCCAGCGAUGGUCUCCGAGUGCCGGUCCCGCCCAGGGUAUAGGCUCGGGGCGUGACAGCCUGCGCCUUGUAAGGUGCAUGGAGCCUGCGCCUUUCUCAUGAUGCAAUAUAUUUAACAAAAUCAAAUUAGAUUAGGUGUUUACUUGGCAAUUGACAUGACUUGAUUACCUUAAAAAUGAUGAUAUGAAAACUUCUAGAACCAAUAAAAAGAUAAAGAAUAUUACUCUCAUAAUGUUUUAUUUUCAUUCAUUCAUUUUAACAUUUGGAAAGAAAAUUAUUUUUUCAUGGUUACUCUUAACAUUAGUUAUUAAUUUUUUAAAAUAUUAAUAAUAGUUAGUAUAAUAAUAAAAUAUACAAUUCAUUUUUUUAAAGUUAAUUACGAAUACGUAAAAGUAGUGGCGUACACUAUUUGGAUUAAACGGAAAAACCAAACCAAAUUGAACCGAAUACUAAUUUGGAUUGGUUUUUUUGGUUUUAGAUUAAUAAUUUAUUUUGUUUGAUUUUUUAAUUUGGUUUCGGAUUUAGAAAAAUAUAAACCCAAAAUCCAAAAAAUCAAAAUAUAUAUAUAUAUAAAAUCGAGAGUACUCAUUAUGAUGCAAGAAAAUAUCUCAAAAGUGUUUGAAAACUGAAAUUAAUUGGACCUGGAAAAGCCCCCAUUCUCUUGGAAGCCCAAUUGCCUAAGAAAGACCCAAUUCUGUUGGAAAAGGAACCUUUUGUUGACAACCUCUUUUUGACAGAGAGUAGUUCCUUUUCGAGCUCGAGAAUAUUAGAGAUGGAGAUGGGGUUUGGAGUGAGAACCGAAGCAUCUUUUGCUAAGGAUGAUGUGGCAACUUUCGAUGGAUCAGAAGUAUUGGGGGAUGAAGAUAACAACAUGCCUAUGGUUAUCUAUGAUACCAAGGAGGUAGGAAUUAAUUCAGUAGAAACUGAUAAGAGAGAACUUCAUCAGGGCAGCUGCUCUUCUGAGGAAAUUACAUUAUUUGAAGAUCCUCUUCUUCUUCAAAGUAAUGAUAGUCUCUCAGAACAAGAAAUUGAAGACAAAGCUUCACUUUGGGUACAAUCCAAUGUACUUAAACUCACCCAACUCUUUAGGGUUUCUUUUGAAGGAUGUGAUAAGGUGGCUUUUGAUCUAUUUUUGAGAAUUGAUCAAAAGAAGGGGGAAUUGAGGCAGAAGAAAGUGGAGACAACACCAAUCAAAGCAAAGAACACAAUCCCAAAGAAGAUGAAACGAGGUCCUCGGUAACGCGACAUAAAGACUCCUUAUUCUUAUUUAGUAUUUCGAAUGAAUUCUUAUUUCUAUUUAUUUUUUAUUGAAUUUUAUUUUACAGAAUAAACCUAAACUAAAAGAAAUAUGGAAUUCCAUGUUAAGUUUAAAGAAGGGGAGUCAAGAAACAGGGGGAGAAUAACAAACACAAAUCUCCAAUGAAAGUCAAAAUCCCUUCUUGGAAUGUAAGGGGGGUAAAUGGAGAAGAUAAAAGGGGGAUAGUCAGGAGAUUAAUUCAACAUUGGGGGGCUGAUGUUUAUGUUCUGGUUGAGACAAAAUGGGAGGACCUGAGGUGAAUGUAUUCAAACAAUUAUGGCAAAAUAGAUGGAUGAGGGAAUUUCAUUUGGAUUCUAUAGGCAGAAGCGGUGGUAUCAUAGUAAUGUGGGAUAAGAGGGUGUGGAAAGGAGAGCUGGUGAUAGCAGCAAAUCAAAUGGUAACCUGCAAGUUUGAAGGCAUUAAUUAGGCAUUCUCAUGGUUUCUCUAAGCUAUGUAUGCUUCCUUUGAUCCAAUGAUUAGAAGAGAACUUUGGCAAGAAUUCAUCAACAUCAAAGAACUGUGUAAUGGGCCUUGGGUAGCUUGUGGAGAUUUUAAUGCCACAAGAUAUCCAAACAAAAGAUCAGAAGGGCACAAACUUACCACUCUAAUGACUGAAUUUUCUGAAUGGAUCAAUGAGAUGGAGUUCAUCGAUCCUCCUUUAUUUGGGGGGUCUUUCACAUGGAGAAAGGGGGACAACCACAUGUCUGCCUCCAGAAUUGAUAGGUUUUUAUUUUCCUAGUGGGAUGAGACCUUCACACGAAUUAAACAGAACAUGCUUCCCAGAAUAGGCUCUGACCACAAUCCAAUUAUGCUUGAAUGCAGAGAUUUAAAUUUGAAGAAGUUUACUUCAAGUUUGAACAAUAGUGGUUAAGGGUAGAGGGUUUCUCAGACAAGGUUAAAGAAUCGUGAGCAUCUUUCAAUAUUACUGGUACGGGUUCUUAUGUCCUAGCUUCCAAGUUGAUGAUGCUAAAGGAGAAGCUAAACGAAUGGAAGCUCGAGAAUAGGAAUCAGAACAAAGAGGAAAUUUUGAAUCAGCUGUCAAUUCUAGAAAAGACUCAGGAGUUGAGAUUACUAUCAGUGGAUAAGUUACUUCAGAAAGUACAUCUUUCAAUGGAGUUUGAAGAUGCUGGAAAAAAAUGAGGAAAUAGCUUGGAGGCAGAGGUCUAGAGUACAUUGGCUCAAACAUGGAGACAAAAAUACCAAGUAUUUCCACAGGAUGGCAGUGUUAUGAAUGGCGAGCGCCAUUCGCCAAAGGCGAUAUGGCGAGGCGAGGCGAGGCAUUCUUGCCAUUCUACACUGAGGCGCGGCGAUAUCAAAAAGGCGAUCUAAGGCAACCUAAGGCGACCAGAAGGCGACGUAAAUGGUGGAGCCAUUUUGAUUUUUUAAUUUUUAAAAAGAUUUGACUUAAUAAUAUUAGUCAAAAUUAGGGUUUUUUUUCUAUUUUCAAACUUUCAGUCGCGUUGCUGCUCCUUGCGAUUUCUUCAGCCUCACGUCUCUUCUCCUUGCGAUCUCUUCAGCCCUCGCGUCUCUUCUCUUUGCGAUCUCUUCAGCCCGAGUUGCUGCCAGGUACCUCUUUUUUUUCUUCUUCUUUUCAGUUCGUCUUCUUCUUCUUGAGUUCUCUUCUUCAGUUCUGCCAGGACCCUUGAUAAUUCAAAGCCAAAUAAUUUGAAUAAUGUCAAACCAAGAAGGCAAGAACUAGAAAUUAUAAUUCUUAAGAGUACAAAAUUAAAAACUAUCAUAUUUUAUGCUACACAGAAAUCCUAAUGCCAAAAUUGAUGGUCAUUGAAUGUGCUAAAAUCUCUUAAAAACUAAAAGCAAAUAAGAUAAGGGUCAUUGAAUGUUCUUCAGUUCUCUUCUUCAGUUCUUUUUCACAUUUCUUCUUCUCUUCUUGUUUCGUUUCUUCUCUUCUUUUUUUCAGUCUCCUUCAUUUUUUUUUGUUCUUUCUUUUUGAGAUACUGAGAUACAGUAGCUUACUGCCUUCACUGCUCUGUUUUUUUCCUUUGUUUUAUUGUUCACAGUUCACUGCUCUUUUUUUUCCCCUCUGUUUUGUUGUUCACAGUUCACUGUCACUGCUUAAGUGCUUACUGCCUAUAAUUUUAAUAAAUAAAUAAAUUAAUUCUUCUAUAAUUAUUUAUUCAUUUGUCCAUAAACAGUGAAUUGACUGAAUUCAAUAGCGGAUGCUAGCAAAAAGAGGGACAUUGGAUGGAAUUAUGGUACUCAAGGAGCAACAAAAGAUUCGGUUAAUUGUAACUUUUGUGGGAGUACUUUUAAUGGUGGAAUAACUCGACACAAGCAACAUUUAGUGGGUGGUUUCAAGAAUGUUAAACAAUGUACAACUUGUCCGUCGGCGAUUAGAGAAGUAAGGGCUUAUAUGCAAAAUAAAAUCGCUAAUAAUCUCAAAUUUCAAGUGAGACAGCCGGAAGAGUAUAUUGAUAUUGAUGAUCUUGAUGAUAUGGAUGAAUAUGCGGAAAUGAUGCCUCCCUCCAAAACUCCAAAGAUAUCUUCUAGUGGAGGUGCAUCAUCCACUGCGCGGAAUGUGUCGAAAGGCCCUAUGAAUCUCUAUUUUAGCAAAAAUCAACACAAAAAAGAGGCUUUGAAAAAGGAGGAAUUGAUGAAACAAAGAAAAUUCUAAGAGAGUGUGCGGUAAGUGCUUUCGCGAUAUGGAUGUAUGAUGCGGGGCUCUCUUUUAAUUGUGUCAAUCACAAGUCAUUUGAUAAAUUUAUUGAGACAGUAGGACAACAUGGCCCCGGAAUGAAGCCUUCUACAUUCCAUGAAGUUAGAGUUACUCACUUAAAAAAAGAGGUGGAGAAAGUGGAAAAAAUUGUUGAUGAGCAUAAAGUGCAAUGGAUAAAGUUUGGAUGUUCCAUUAUGAUGGACAAAUGGACGGCACGAAAUGGUAAAAUGAUCAUCAAUAUUUUGGUGAAUUCUCCAAUCAGUAGUGUAUUUCUUGGUUCUGUUGAUGCUAGCAAUGAAUCUACCGAUUCCACCAAAAUGUACAAAUUGUUUGAAAGCACUAUUGAAAGAAUUGGAUCGGAAAACGUUGUACAAAUUGUCACUGAUAAUGCUAGUGAGAAUGUUAAAGCUGGAAGCAUGAUGAUGGGUGCGUACCCACACAUUUAUUGGACUCCAUGUGCCGCUCAUUGCAUCAACUUGAUGUUUGGUGACAUAUUCAAGGUUAAGCCAUAUGCUUCCGGUAAUAUCACUCUCCUAUCCUCUAACUUUCUUUAUAGUCAAUAUUUAAUACUUAUUAGCUACUAAUUACUAUAAUCUUACUUUAACAGUUUUUAAGAAGGCCAUCAUAAUCCAUUCUUACAUUAGUCAAAGGCCAUUGUUGUUAAACUUGAUGUGAAAAUUCACCAAGGAAAGAAAUUUGGUGAAACCGGCCAAGACAAGAUUUGCAACAACCUUCUUAACUUUGAGAGCUAUGUACAGACAAAGAAAAAACUUGAGAACUUUAGUCCUCUCAACCGAAUGAACUUCAAGUAAAUUUGCAAAGGAAACUUUGGGGAAAGAAGUUGUCAAUCUUAUUAUUUAUGCCCACUUUUGGGAUGAUGCUGUUUGAGCACUUACAAUUUGUGGCCCUUUGACAAAAGUGCUUCGUUUGGUGGAUGGGGAGAAAAAACCGCCAAUGGGCUAUAUUUAUGAAGCAAUGGAUAGAGCCAAAGAAACUAUUGAACGGGGUUUUCGUGGAAUUAAGAAGCAAUAUGAGAAAGUGUUUGAAAUUAUUGAUGCAAGGUGGUCAGACCAACUCCAUCGGCCUUUGCAUGCUGCAGGCCAUGUUUUGAACCCAGGAUUGUAUUAUAAAGCUCAAGAAGAGGGAACUUUACUACAGAGUCUGUGGACUGAGUAUUAUGCAUGUGUUGAGAAAAUGAUCCCCGAUACAGCAAUACAAGAUUUACUAGUCGCUGAGCUUCCUAGGUACAAAAUGGCGGAUGGACUAUUUGGUUGUGGUCCGGCUAAAAGAGCUAGAGACACAAGGUCACCAGGUAAGUGAGUUGAUUUAGCUCUUACUUAAAUUAUUCGACUUAUUUAUACUCAUUAAGCUUUAAAUUAUUUUAUUAUUAGUGGAAUGGUGGUCACUAUUUGGUAGUGAAACACCAAACUUGCAAAAGUUUGCCAUGAAAGUAUUAAGCCUAACUUGUAGCUCAUCCGGAUGUGAGCGAAAUUGGAGUGUGUUUGAACACGUAAGUAAAAAAAUUAUAUCCUAAUUUCCAUAUUAUAUUAUUAUCAAUAUCCAUUAGUUAAUAUCUAUAGCUUAUGCGCAGAUUCAUUCCAAAAAGAGGAAUAGGCUUGCACUAUCGCGUCUCAAUGAUCUAGUGUACAUUAAGUACAAUAGAACAUUAAAACGUCGUUAUGAUGCUCGUGAUCUCAUUGAUCCAAUUCGCUUGGAUAACAUUGAUGAUUCAAAUGAAUGGUUAGUUGGAUGCCCCGAAGAUCAAGAAGAUGAACUAGUAUAUGAGGAUGAUGAUCUUACUUGGGGUAGUGUUGCUAUGGCAAUUGGAGCUGAUGAGAGUAUCUAUCAUCUUAGGGGACUUUCUUCAAGAUCAAGAGCACUUGACAAGGGCAAAGGAGUAGAAACUACAUCUACAAGUUCAACUUCAAGUAGGACUCGAACACUAAUUGAUGAAGACUACGAGGAGGAAGAAGAUGAGGAGCAAUAUAAUGAUGUAGAGGAUGUUGAUCUUCAAGAGUUGGAUAGUUUUGAAGAAGAAUAGACUUUUAGAGUUCUAGUAUUAUCUUUUGAAUUAUUGGGUCUUUAAAGUUCUAGACUUUUAGUAUCUACUUUUAGUUUUUGAAUUGAAAUAUUUGCUAAUAUAUCUUAUUGCUCCACAAUUAAAGCUUGGAAAGAGUACACGAGGACACUUACCUUGGCUCUGUUCAACUCAUGAAUAACUGAACUCAAUAUAUAAAGCAAUAAGACACAUGCAAUAUAUAAAGCUUGUAAAACUCUUAAAACAUGACGUACAAAUCAUAUUUAUAAUAUCAUGAAAAUACCAUGCUUCCUCUCAAGGUCUACUUGUGCGAUGUAUGAAUAAAGUCCCCCCAUACCCCAUCCAUACUAAGCAGAACCCUCGAGGAACCAUGCUCUUUCUACUGCGGGAGCUUCUCUAAUCGACAAACCACCACUAUGAAUCUGAGUGGUGAUACAACGUUUUACCUUACGUUACCCGAGGACCAUCUUAUACAUUGCCGUGAUAUAGGAAGUUAACUUUACUAAGUGGAUCCACUAGCUUAACUUCACUUGACUUCUAACUUCACUUGACUUCUAACUCUUCUUGAAUUGAAUUAUGAAUUCAAGAUGUUUGAUCACAUGUUACGGAUGAGUUAGGGAGGCUUAAAUGUACCUUAGAGUGUUGGGAACAACCAUAAAACAUAGGUACAAUACCAAGGAACAUGCAUGGGAAGGUAUGAAAUGAAAAGGGACACUUGGUGUCCUUGGUGCUCUGCAAGGCGCGGAGCGCCAACCCCAAAACUUCAGAGGGGGCCUACUGGCGCUCUGAGUGGCGCGCCGCCCCAAGGGGGAAACUUCAGAAUCCCUUUUGGGGCGCGCUGGCAGGCGCGACGCGCCAACCGUCUUGCCCAGAAACUCGACUUUUCUCCCUCUUUUUUUCCAACUCUAAACCACCCCAACUCCAAAGGUUUCAACCCCAACCACUAAGGAUCAUCAAAUCCCUCAACAUACAAUAGAAUACAACUCAAAAACCAACCGGAAACAUGUCCCAAAUCAUAAGGGACUUCAACAAUACCAACAACAACAUCAACAACACAACCAACAACUACAAACAACACAACCAAUCUUUUCUAAAAAUAAAAGGGGUUUGAUGUGUGGGGGAAAGGAUCAACCCAACACUAACUACUCACAUACCUAGUAGGGAUCACCCCCGACGAUUUCCACGACGAUCUUUGACGGAAACUCCUUGAUCUCCUCUUCUUCUUCUCCUCUUUCUCUCUUCUUCUCUUCUUCACUCAAGAACCCUAACUCUAACUCUUUUAAAAUGGAACUAAAAUGAUCCACAAUAAGCCUAACACAACAAUAUAACCUCAAGAGAAAUGGCUAGGGAAAAGACCAAAAUGCCCUUACAAUUUCCGGACGGAUUCCCUGCCAACUUCCCAACUUUCAAAGGGCAUAACUCACUCAUACGAGCUCGGAAUCAAGCAAACUCGGUGGCGUUGGAAAGACUAUUCCACGAGCUAUGCAACCAUAACUGGAACUACUCCUAACUCAUCCUGAGCUAGAAGUUAUGACUGCUCAAAGUUGGCCAAAAACUCACCUUUUCCAUACUUGGCCAAUUUCAAAAUUUUCAAAUUCUUCCCAAAAAUGAAAAUUUUCAAAUUCUAAGCCUCUUCUUAGUUAUUUCAAUUUGCCGGAUGUUACAGUAUCUAUCAUCUUAGGGGACUUUCUUCAAGAUCAAGAGCACUUGACAAGGGCAAAGGAGUAGAAACUACAUCUACAAGUUCAACUUCAAGUAGGACUCGGACACUAAUUGAUGAAGACUACGAGUAGGAAGAAGAUGAGGAGCAAUAUAAUGAUGUAGAGGAUGUUGAUCUUCAAGAGUUGGAUAGUUUUGAAGAAGAAUUAGACUUUUUAGAGUUCUAGUAUUAUCUUUUGAAUUAUUGGGUCUUUAAAGUUCUAGACUUUUAGUACCUACUUUUAGUUUUUGAAUUGAAAUAUUUGCUAAUAUAUCUUAUUGCUAUUGAGAUUUUGUAUAUUUAUAUAUGCAAUUAAAUAUUUUAAUUUUUUGGUAUUAAUUGGCGCCUCGAUUCAAAAAGGCGAGCACCUUGCCGCUCGCCUCGCCGCGUGGCGAUGCAGGCCCUUGUCGCCUUUUGUCGCCUCUCGCCGUCCAAAACACUGGGAUGGCUACAACCUGUAAAAGAUUUAACACUAUUGACAAGUUGAUGGUGGAAGGGGUUACAGUAUCAAAUUCAGAAGCAAUUAAAGGAUACAUAAUCAGUUACUACCAAAAUCUUUACAGUGAAAUAGAACAAUGGAGGCUAGAUUUUAAUCUACAGGGAGCGGAAAGCAUUACACAAGAGGAAAAUGAAUGAUUGCAGUGGCAAUUUGAGGAAGAUGAAGUUUUUAAUUGCAUAAAAUCAUGUGUCAGUGAUAAGGCCCCAGGACCAGAUGGCUUCCCAAUGAGUUUUUUCCAAAACUUCUGGGAGAUACUGAAGACAGACUUCAUGAAUGCAGUGAGACAAUUUCAUGAAAGACAUGAAAUAGAGAAGAGCCUCAAUGCCACCUAUGUGGCUCUAAUCCCAAAGAAGACAUGAGCUAUGGAACUUAGGGAUUUCAGACCCAUAAGUCUCAUUAGUGGUGUGUACAAGGUUUUUGGUAAGCUGUUGGCCGAGAGAUUAAAGAAAGUGAUAAGAAGUUAGUGAACAAUCACCAAAUGACCUUCAUUCAAGGUAGGCAACUUAUGGAUGUGGCGUUAAUAGCUAGUGAGUGUGUGGACUCAAGGAUUAAAGGAGAGAUCCCAGGAAUAAUGUGCAAGCUUGAUAUAGAAAAGGCAUAUGAUCACGUCAAUUAGGAGUUUCUACUUAAUAUUCUGAAGCAGAUGGGAUUUUGAGACAAAUGGCUUAAAUGGAUAGGUUUUUGCAUCAAAAUUGUCAGGCUCUCCAUAAUUGUUAACGGAGAACCUGCUGGUUUCUUUCCUUUGAAGAGAGUACUAUGACACGGAGAUCCUCUCUCCCCUUUCCUAUAUAUCUUAGCUAUGGAGGGUCUUAACAGUAGGAUUAGAAUGGCCAAUCAGAACAACUGGAUAAAGGGUUUCAACAUAGGUAACCAGUCAGGGGUUGAUUUGCAAAUAUGUCACCUUUUAUAUGCAGAUGACACAGUAAUAUUUUGCGAUGCAAAGGCAGAACAAGUUAGUUACAUUAGAGUUGUUUUAGUGAUUUUUGAGACUAUUUUCGGGCUAGCCGUGAACUGGAGGAAAGCAGUAUCUUCCAAAUCAAGGAAGUGGUGAAUAUACAGAUGUUGGCAAGCAUCUUGCAAUGCAAGAUAGAGCACUUACCAACUACUUACCUGGGAAUGCCUUUGGGGAAUAAUCAUAAGGAGCUUGAGAUUUGGGAUGGAAUCAUUGAGAAGACAGAGAAGAUGUUGGCUAAUUGAAAGGCAAAUUAUCUAUCUCUGGGAGGAAGAGUCACUCUGAUCAAUUCGGUUCUGGAAGCAUUGCCUACAUAUGUUAUGUCACUUUUUCCUUUACUAGCAAAGGUAGAAGAGAGGUUAGAUAAAUUGAGACGUGAUUUUCUAUGGUCGGGAAAUAAAGAAGGGAAAAAAAUACACUUAGUUAAAUGGCAAACAACCUUACUAAGCAAGAAGACAAGAGGUCUUGGUAUAAAAAACUUGAGGGUCCAGAACAAAAGUCUACUUUCUAAAUGGCUUUGGAGAUUUGUGGUUGAAGAUCACGCAUUAUGGAGAAGAGUAAUUCUCAACAAGUAUGGGCAGAACCAGGAGUAGGUGUCUAAUGUAGUAGAUAGCACGUAUGGAGUAUCAGUAUGGAGAUCAAUCAAAAAUUUAUGGUCUAGUCUGAAGGAGAAUUUGGUGUUCAAAGUGGGAGAGGGUAACAAAAUAUUUUUUGGAAGGACAAGUGGAUUGGACAAGAGUGUAUAAACUCGGUCUUCCCAGAUCUCUUUUCAUUUUGUACCAAUCCUGAUGCUAAAAUUGAUGAGAUUUGGUCUCCUCAGGGAUGGAACCUUACUUUCAGGAGAAAUCUAAAUUUUUGGGAAGUGGAUAAAAUUGUUGAACUGCUACUCAAAUUGGGUGAAUUCACAGGCCUUAGAUAGUAUAAGAUGGAAACACGACUCUGAUGGCAAGUUAUCUGGGAGUAGACUGUAUAAGAGAGAGAUUAUGACUCAGUCAGGGGGAAUUCUUGGUCCAUGGAAACAAAUAUGGAAGGGCAACACUCCAACCAAGGCGAAAUGCUUCACCUAGUUGGUCUCCAGAAGGGAAUGUCUCACUCAAGUAAAACUCAAGAAAAGAGGCUUCCAGAUUGUCUCUUGACGUUUUUUUUGUCAUGAGAAGGAAGAAACUAACAACCACUUAUUCCUACACUGUAGGAUUACUCUUCAGGUAUGGCACAUGGUUCUCAGCAUUUCUCAAGAGCCCUGGGUGAUGCCAGAACAUACCGUUGAUCUUUUGAGCUGUUGGAUGAGGAGGGGGGGGGGAGCAAGACCCAAAAAAGAUGGUGGUCUAUAGUACCUAUCUGUGUCUGGUGGGCUAUUUGGAGAGAGAAACCUCAGGUGUCAUGAGAAUAUCACUAACACUAUUCAGAAAGUUAAAGAAAGUUGCAUUAACUUGUUGUUUUUUGGUGUAAAGAAUAAGGUAUAGAAGAAGUAGAACAGUUGGUAGAUUUCCUAGGAUCUAUGUAAUUAUGGAUAUAUCUUGUAACUUUUUGGAGGUAGCCAGCAUACCCUUAAUGCUGAAGAAUACAACUUUACCUUUAUCAAAAAAAAAAAAAACCAAACUAACAAAAUUGUAGGUUGUGUAGUUUCCCAUUAUCAUCUUUUUACAAAUAAUAGAAAGGUCCCCAAAAAAAGUUAAUGGUCCUGUUCAUUUAUGGGCGCCUUUUUUUUUUCUUUUUCUGAUGAAGUGCCUUACAAGGAGGCACACCUGCGUUUUACAAGUACUGUGUCGCCUUGCGCCUUGUAAGGCGCAUGGGAAUCUGCACCUUCCUCCACAAACUUACGGCGUCACCCUUCUGUCCAAAUGUUUCCCUUUUGGUUUCAACCUUAUUUUUUAUUGCCCUUUUGGAAUUUUAACUCAAUUUUGUUGCCCUUUUGGCUCCGGACUCAAUGUAAAACAAGAAAUGUGAAGUUAAAUUGUUUCUAAAUUUGGAAAGAUGUCCCUUUUUUGGGGACUGACUAAAAUAGAAAGAGUAUCACAUAAAAUGGGACAGAGGUAAUAUCUUACUGGCAACUGUUUUCUAUUUCAGGUCUAUCAAGAGUUGAAUGGAAAAUUCAGGGAUGCUGUUAUAUCUCUGGUAUCCCUUUUGUCUUGCUUUGAGUUCUCACUACCAUUUCUUUUUUCCUUUUAAUUGACCAAUAACAUUCUUCUAACCAGAUUGAUCAAGAGCACGAGGGAGAGCAAAUUGACAGAGCUUUACUAAAGAAUGUGCUAGAUAUAUUUGUUGAAAUUGGAAUGGGGUCAAUGGAUAAAUAUGAGAACGAUUUUGAAGAUGCAAUGCUCAAGGACACUGCGGCUUAUUAUUCUUUGCUAAGCUUCUAACUGGAUCCUCGAAGAUUCAUAUCCAGAUUAUAUGUUGAAAGUUAGUAUACCGCGUAUGCAACCCCUUGAUUCUGCCAUUCUUGCCCUGUUGUUUCUUCUGUCUGUCCUUUUUCUGGUUAACGUCCAUAUGUUAACCUACAUAAUCAUGUCAAUGUUACUUUAGGCUGAGAAGUGCUUGAAACGCGAGAAGGAUAGGGUCUCUCAUUAUCUCCAUUCAAGCAGCGUGACAAAGUUGCUUGAGGUUCGUUCUAGCUCUUAAUCUUAUUUCUUUACUGGAAAUUUAGCCUUCAAGAUGUAGGAUGUUGCUAUCAGUUUUUGUUGUUCACAUCUUCUUUUUUCUGGAUCUAGCCUAUCAACUUCAAAUUCGCUGCAACUUUACUAUUCUCACCUUUCUACAGAAAGUGCUACAUGAGUUGUUGGCUGUGUAUGCCACUCAAUCUCUUGAGAAGCUGCACUCUGGUUGCCAUGCGUUACUAAGAGAUGAUAAGGUAGUUAGCAGCAUCUUAAUGACCACGUUUCUGAUUUUACGUUUUGCAGUAAUUGACACAAUCAUGAUUAUUUUCUUAGGUUGAAGAUUUAUCAAGGAUGUAUAGGCUCUUUUCUAAGAUUCCUCGAGGCUUAGACCCCGUGGCCAAUAUUUUUAAGCAGGUUUGUGAUCUCAUGACAUCAUAUUCUCAAUUGUCUACCGAUCAGUUACUUCAUAUAUCCUUCUUUUUAAUCUGAAUGCAGCAUGUUACAGCUGAAGGUACAGCUUUGGUAAAACAGGCUGAAGAUGGUGCUAGAAACAAAAAGGUGUGUACAAUCUAUGCUUUUCUCAAAUUCUUUGGUCUUGAGAAAUUUGGUUCUUCCUUAUUUGGCGUUUAUACAGUUUGAGUUGACUUGGAACUCAUCAAACUAGAAGUUUUUGCUAUUUUAAUAUGCGAAGCUACUUGUAUUCAAGUGUCUGAUCAACUUAAUUUCAUAUUUUAACACACCAUUUCUAACAUCAAUACUUUAAGUUUAAAAGCUAUCUGCACAAAAUACCCCCUACCACCCAACUUUUAGAAAAUACAAACUAACCACUUACUAUAAUUAUUUAUAUCCCUAUUUAGAAAUUAAAAAAAAUUCACAAAAUCUGUUUCUCUCCUUCCAAAACCUCUCCCUCCUUGCCGAUUUUCUGUCCUCCAGCUUCUGAAUCACAUCUAAAAAAAAAUUCACAAAAACAGCAAAUCCCUUGAAAGGGGGAGAUUACUGCUAAAAUGUAUUGUGUAUCACAUCUUGAGUUGUCAGUUUGUGAGACUAGCUAUUUGUUGCUGAUUAGAGCAUUUUGCUUCUUUUUUUUGGGGGGGGGGGGGGUUCUGCCCGGUGUUCAGUACCUGCAUUGGGGCUCGAGUAAAUCCGGAUUCACGCCGGGAUGUCUCACAUUGAGAGUAAGACGCUACGUAAUAAAUGAGACUCGGUAACCAAGGGAACUCGAACCGGAGACCUGAUGAAGGAGUAAGGAGUACAUAGGCACUCCACCAUAACCCUUGUUCCUAGCAUAUUGCUAUUCUGCUUAUUUUAGUUGCAAGUUUGUGCUUUUGAUGUGUUUUGUUCAGAGAUUUCUUUUUAACAUCAUAUCUUCUAUUUUCUGUCAAAAGCAUGAAGUCACAAAGUUUGACUUCAUCUCAGUGAUUGUUUUGUUUCAUUUACUUUAUUUGUCCUUCAGUACAUGAUCAUUGAGAGUUUGGUGGUUGGGAAUGUUACUGCAAAGAGAUGGUAAACGUUUCUUUAAAGCGAAACCGCCAUCAAAUUCUGUACUUAUCUUGAAGAAAGAACAUGAGCAGUUUCUUAGGGAACCAACAAGAGCCUUUCCUUCUUUUAUGUAUCUUAACUUUUCCCCUUCUGCUGAUUUUUACAAUGUCAAAAUUAAUUCAUUUUAUCUUUUUAGGGAUGAGACUGGUAUUUCUUUGUGAAUGCAUUUAAUAUAAUUGCUCAAUGUCUUUCAUUCUUUCUUAUCAACUAGUGUUCUUCAACAGGCAGGUAAGAGAGAUGUGUUUGCAGGAACAUGUAAUCCCUUAGUAAAUCUGUUAUGUGAUCCUUGAAUAUGUUUUCGGCGGUUAACUUACAUCUGAAUUUUCAGGUUUUUGUUCGGAAAGUGAUUGAGCUUCAUGAUAAAUAUUUGGCAUAUGUGAAUAACUGUUUCCAAAACAGCACACUUUUUCACAAGGUAUGUGUUGAAGCAAAGGAUAGUUGUCUAAUUUAAUUGUUCUACUCUGUGCAUUAGGUCUGUGCAUCAGGGUAAAAGUAAUUGCUAAUAUCUGUCCUCUUUGUCACUUUCUAGGCACUUAAAGAAGCUUUCGAACUUUUCUGCAACAAGGGUGUUACUGGUAGCUCAAGCACUGAACUUCUUGCCACAUUCUGCGACGACAUUCUCAAAAAAGGCGGGAGUGAAAAAUUUAGUGAUGAUGCCAUUGAAGAGAUGUUGGAGAAGGUGAGCUCUUGCUCUAUAGAUCCCCUUCUCUUCUUUUCCUCUAGAGCAUCUGCUUUUUCUUCAUACUACUGGAGCAUGAGAAAGCUGAUAAUAGAUCUCACUUGCAGGUGGUAAAGCUAUUAGCUUAUAUUAGUGAUAAGGACUUAUUUGCAGAACUCUAUAGGUAGAGUUACCUCUACUGUGUAUCUCAACCACUACUUGAAUAAUUGCUUCUUCUCUGUUACAAGUUUAUGACUUCCUUUUUUUUUUCCAGGAAAAAGCUAGCCCGGCGGUUGUUAUUUGAUAACAGUGCCAAUGACGAACAUGAGAGAAGUGUCCUAAGAAAGUUGAAGCAGCAGUAUGGGGGGCAGUUCACAUCAAAGAUGGAGAGAAUGGUAAGCUAUUCAGAUCAAUUUAUGCUGAAUUUUAGGCUAUGUUCUCUGGUGACAUUCUUCUUCUCUUCUUAUAGGUCACAGAUUUGACAUUGGCAAGGGAAAAUCAAGCCAGCUUUGAGAAGUAUUUGAGCAAUAAUCCAAUAGCAAAUCCAGGAAUUGACUUGACGGUGACUGCCUUGACUACUGGCUUCUGGCCUAGCUACAAGUCUUUUGAUCUCAACCUCCCAGCAGAAAUGGUAUAUCAUAUCAAUAUGUUAAUUGGCAUUAUGUUGAUUUUAUCUUGGUUUUGACCCUUGUUCCUCUUGCUGAAGUUCUCUUUCGGGAAGGAAUGAUGCAUGUUUAUUUUUCUUGAAUCAUUUUUCUUCUCAAACGUCCUGUCAUUGAUUCAUUUUAUGCUGCGCAUUGUCAGGUUAGGCGCGUUGAAGUAUUCAAAGUGUUUUAUCAAACAAAAACGAAGCACAGGAAACUUACGUGGCUAUACUCUUUGGGAACUUGCAACAUAAAUGGAAAUUUUGAGCAGAAGACUAUUGAGCUAGUGGUCACUACUUAUCAGGUUGAUUGUUGGCUUACUUUUUGAAAUCAGAUAGGCUUAGUUAAUUUGAAAUAUUUCUGUUACGUUAUCAAUGAGAAAACAAGAUUGAGACUUCUUCCUUUUCGUAGGCUUCUGCUCUGCUGCUCUUCAAUGCAUCGGAUAGAUUGAGUUAUCAGGAAAUCAUGACGCAAUUAAAUUUAUCAGAUGAUGAUGUUGUUCGGCAGCUUCUUCAUUCCCUUACAUGUGCGAAGUACAAGAUUCUCAACAAGGAGCCAAGCACCAAAACAAUUUUUCCGACUGAUGUCUUUGAGUUCAACUCAAAGUUCACUGACAAAAUGAGGAGGAUCAAGGUAUAAUUAAUGAUGAGUAAGGUUAGCCUUUCUACUAUGAAUUGUUGGUCUACACUACUGACCCUGUGAGGAUAUUGCUGUAAUGGUAUGCAGAUACCUCUCCCUCCUGUUGAUGAGAAGAAAAAGAUAAUUGAAGACGUUGACAAGGAUAGGCGGUAUGCUAUAGAUGCUUCAAUUGUGCGUAUUAUGAAGAGUCAUAAAGUAUUGGCCCACCAGCAACUGGUUGUGGAAUGCGUUCAGCAGUUGGGACGGAUAUUCAAAGUAUCCCAGGGAUAAAUUUCUACUUCUCAAUUUUAAUGUUCGUUAUUCAAGUUCAACCGAGCUAAUAACUUUGUUUUGAAUACUCCAUAGCCUGAUGUCAAAGCUAUCAAGAAGAGAAUCGAAGAUUUGAUAAGUAGAGAAUACCUAGAGAGGGACAAAGAUGACCCAAAUUUUUACAAGUACUUGGCAUGAUUUGUGCUGAUCAUAGUAUUUGGAGAAACAUGUCGCCCAAGAUGAACUUCCUGGAACUUUGAUUGCCUUGCAUCAGGAGCUUGAAACAUUUUGUACAAAUGGAUAAGAUCUCAGGAAAAAGUAGAAUUGCCUCUCAGAUAUUUGAGAUGCGAUUGCCUUAACUUAUUCCAAUCUUAUUAGCCCUUUCACUUGCUCUAUUAUGUAUUUUGUCUGCUAACUGUUCGAGUUCGAGUGAACAAUGGUAUUUACUUUUAGUCCCCCCCCCCCCCCCCCCCCCACCACCCCAAAAAAANNNNNNNNNCACCCCACCCACCCCACAAAAAAAAGAGAAUGUAAGAUCGAUAUUAAUUCAUAUGUCCUUAAUCUCCAAUUUCACAAAUUUAACUAUUACUACAAACACAUUUUUUGGCUAAACAAAUGUCAUCAAACAUGUCAUUUAUUCUUGAAUGACAAUUCAAAAUUUGGACAGUAGAACGAUAAUGAUUAGUAUGACCUAUGAAGGUAUGGUGUCUCCUGUAAUAAUAUGUGGAGCUCAACUCAUCAAAUUACCAUCUGAAAAAACUCUAAAGUAUGUAUUAGGAAGAUAAAUAAAUAAAAAUUCUUCUCUAUAUAAUAUAAUUCUUCCGUUUCAAUUUGUUUGAUCUACUUUCCUUUUUAGUCUGAUUAGAAAAGAAUGACAUUUUUCCUUUUUUAGAAACUUUUAUUUCAACUUUCUACAUGACAUGUUUAAAUUUAUAAUUUACUAUUAUAUGAGCAAAUUUCAAUUUUAUUAAUCUGAGAGUAAAUUUCGGAUUUAUUUCUUUUCAAUUACUCUACCUCAUUUGGAGGUGACAUGAUCCCAUUACGAUAAAAUGCACAUAUAUACUAGUAAGCUUUAUUUUGCACUAUCACAUUCACUAUUGGGUGUAUUCAACCCCAAUCGAUAGGCAAUAAUCAUUUAAUACUUGGGAUUAAAACUCUAUAGAGUUAUCAAGGCGAAUGAACUUAAUCUGAUUAUCACGAAACUAUGUUCAUAAGCAUAUUAUUAUGCCAAUAAUUUUGCAAAUGCCAAAUUGAGGCAGACAUAAAACCAUUUAGAAGAAACAUUUGUUAGGACCAUGAAGUAUCUAAACGACCUACUAAGUGGGUGAAUAGGUCCAUAAAUAUCCACAUGUAUACAUUCCAAGAACGCGGGAAAUUCAAUCUCAACUUUCUGAUGAUUUCACCAUUAACUUGCCUUGAUAACAAGUAGUACAAGAAAAUUCACUAUUUAAAAGAAUCUUUAGGUUCUUUAAUGGAAGUCCAUUUGAAUUUUUCAUAAUUCGUCUCAUCAUUAUAGACUCAGGAUGUCCCGGACGAUCUGAGAAUUGAAAUUAGUAAUCUUUUGAUUUACUAUAGAAUGUGUCUUAAUUACACUAAUUUUUGUCCAAUAUAAAUCAGAAAAUAAAACAGAGAACUUUUCUAUAACACAUGUCUACCCAGAGACAUUCUUGUUCAUAUCAUGUCUAUGACCAAGAUCACGACCUUUUCCACCCCUAGCAUGGUGGACAUACACCUAAUCUACUUCAGAGAAUGAAUAUGUAUUUUUUGGCAUUUAUCAAAAGUUCUCAUUCUUCAUGAAUGGAACACAAUCAUUUAAGUAUAUCAAAUUAUGAGAACUUAGUAACUCAUUUCAUAUUCAUGUGCAUUGUUUAAUCACUCGUCUUCUUUCAUACAUAUUAAGGACUGCUACCACAUUCACUUUAAGAGAAUGAAGCGGUUUUAAUGGGAUAUGUUUCAUGACUAAUUUUCAUCAAAAACACAUUAUUUUGUCUUAGCCGUCAUUAUUUCAUCAUUACAGUGCAUUGAGCCUCAAACCCAACGUUUUAUCUAUAUAAAGGCGUUUUAGGUCAUAAAUCUAUGGGACUUAAGCCCAACAUCUUAUAAUCACGGUGCACUUGGACAUAAAUUUGAUGUCUUACCCUCUUGGUGCGAUCAAACAUGAAUUUAUUGUAUUACCCUCUUGAUGCGAUUGGACUUGAAUCCAUCGUCUUAUCCUUUUAAUGCGAUUGAACUUGAAUCCAUCUUCUUACUCUCGAUCAAUUACAUUUUGUACCUCUAAGAAUUUCAUAUAGAAUAUAAAAUUAAAUUAAGAACAAGAUUAAUUAGAAACAAGCAAUGAUGACCACAUAUAGGCUAUUCCUUAUACAGAUAUGUAUUAGUCUGCAUCUUGUUUCAAGAUUUACUUUUCAAAAGUGUUCGGUCAGAAUACUUUAAAGACACAUAUGCUUAAUAAAUCUUAUCAUACCUUAGGGAUGAUUUUGUAGCAGACAAAAUACAAUCGACAGUUUUACCUUACUAUCUAAUUUCUCUAUUGAUUAGAGUCAUGUGCUGAUAACGUAUUAUAUAUGAAACUAUAUAAAAUAAUGAGAAGAAGAAGGGAGAAGAGAGAUGACUUUUUAUCUCUCUAAAAUGAAGGCAAUCCCUCUAUUUAUAUGAUAUGGAAGUGAGGCUUCCUAAAUUUUGUAUGAAAGAUAAACAUUCACUAUAUUUAUAACACAAAUCAUGAUUUGAUUCAAAUAUGAUUUUUGGAGAAUUUAAAUUUUAUCUCAUUGUAUGAAAUUAUGAGAUUAAAUCAAUUGAAAUCGCACGACCAAAAGCUGAUUUUCCAUAUCAAUUUGCAUAUCCAAACGCUACUUAAUUAUUCUAUUCUGUGCGUUAGGUCUAUGCAUUAGGGUAAAAGUAAAUUGCUAAUAUGUGUCCCCUUUGUCACUUUCUAGGCACUUAAAAGAAGCUUUCGAACUUUUCUACAUUGCUGGUAGCUCAAUGGCUUCUUGCCACAUUCUGUGACAACAUUCUAAAAAAAGGCGGGAAUGAGAAAUUGAGUGAUGAAGCCAUUGAAGAGACGUUGGAGAAGGUGAGGUCUUGCUCUAUAGAUGCCUUCCCCUUCUUUUCCUCUAGAGACACUGCUUUUUCUUCGUACUACUCGAGCAACAGAAAGCUGAUAAUAGAUCUCACUUGCAGGUGAUAAAGCUGUUAGCUUAUAUUAGUGAUAAGGACUUGUUUGCAGAAUUCUAUAGGUAGAGUUACCUCUACGUUGUAUCUCAACCACUACUUGAAUAGUAGCUUCUUCUCCGUUACAAGUUUAUGACUUCCUUUUUUUUACCAGGAAAAGGCUAGCCCGACAGUUGUUAUUUAAUAAGAGUGCCAAUGAUGAACAUGAGAGAAUUUACCUAACAAAGUUGAAGCAGCAGUGUGGGGGAAGUUCACAUCAAAGAUGGAGGGAAUUGUAAGUUAUCCAGAUCAAUUAUACUGAAUUUAAGGCUAUGUUCUCUGGUGACAUUCUUCUUCUCUUCCUAUAGGUCACAGAUUUAACAUUGGCGAGGGAAAAUCAAGCCAGCUUUGAAGAGUAAGAGUAUUUGAGCAAUAAUCCAAUAGCAAAUCUAGGAAUUGACUUGGCGCGCGGUGAGUGUCUUGACUACUGGCUACUGGCCUAGCUACAAGUCUUUUGAUCUCAACCUCCCAGCAGAAAUGGUAUAUUAUAUCAAUAUUUUAAUUCAUUUUUCUUCUCAAACGUCCUGUCAUUGAUUCAUUUUAUGUUGCGCAUUGUCAGGUUAGGUGCGUUGAAGUAUUCAAGGAGUUUUAUCAAACAAAAGGAAGCACAGGAAACUUACAUGGAUAUACUCUUUGGGAACUUGCAACAUAAAUGGAAAAUUUGAGCCAAAGAUUAUUGAGCUCGUUUUCACUACUUAUCAGGUUGAUUGUUGGCUUACUUUUUAAAAUCGGAUUGGCUUAGUUUAUUUGAAACAUUUUUAUUACGUUAUCAAUGAGAAAACGAGAUUGAGACUUCUUCCUUUUCGUAGGCUUCAGCUCUGCUGCUCUUUAAUGCAUCAGAUAGAUUGAGUUAUUAGGAAAUCAUGACACAAAUAAACCUAUCAAUGAUGAUGUUGUUCGGCUUCUUCAUUCCCUUUCAUGUGCAAAGUACAAGAUUCUCAACAAGGAGCCACACACCAAAAUAAUUUCUUUGGCUGAUGUCUUUGAGUUCAACUCAAAGUUCAUUGACCAAAUGAGGAGGAUCAAGGUACAAUUAAUGAUGAGUAAGGUUAGCCAUUCUACUUUGAAUUGUUACACUACAUUACUGACCCCGUGAGGAUAUUGCUGUAAUGGUAUGCAGAUACCUAUCCCUCCUGUUGAUGAGAAGAAAAAGGUAAUUGAAGACGUUGACAAGGAUAUGCAAUAUGCUAUAGAUGCUUCAAGUAGUCGGGGUGGGGGAUUGGGUGGCUAACAAGAGACAAUAAACUUGAAAUGUCACUUAUGCAACUCAUUUUCCCUAUAUUCAUUAGGAAAGUCAUUUUCUCAGAGAAAAUAUUUUUCAAGAUCAAAUAUAGAAAAAUUGGAAAAUAUAAACUACAUAAUCAAAAAAGAAAAAGAAAAGACAACACACUUGAGGUAAAAAUGCAUAAAACCCAAAAAUAAUAGGGAUUGAUUUGCAAUAACCCUGAAUGAAAAACCAAGAAUUUGCCGCGGCAAAAAUGGAAAUAGUUAGAAGUAUAAGGGUUUUUUUGAGGAAAUAGGAAAAACACAUAAAAAGGGAAAGAGAGAUCCACAUCUGUCCCAAUUCUCUUCUUCUCAUCAAUGGUUCCUGGCAGCUCCGUGUUGUUCCCUCAUCGGGUCUAGACUCUCCGAUCACUCUUUCAGCAAAUUCCUUCGCUCUCCGGUGACAUCACAGGUAUAUUUUCUGGUUAAAUUGUGAGAUCCGAUUCGAUGUAAACUGUUCCACGUAUGUAUAUACCUAUGAUGCAUAAUUGAUGUGCUGGUUUUGGUUUAAUUGCUUCUUCCUUUGCUUUGGAUUGAUCCUGUUGUUGAUUUUGUUUCCAGUAGUAUUGAAACUAUGCUGUUUUGUUGUGGUUGAUUUUGCGAUCUUCAGAGCUGUGAUUGAUGGACUAGUUUAUGUUGUUUUUUUAUUUCUCUAUAGUUGAUUUUGAGCAUGAGUGUUUUGUCCUUUUGAAGUUAGGUAUAGUGGGGGUUUAAUGUUCAUUACUGGUAGGGUUUGAGUUUAAUUUUUGAUUCAUUCUUUGUUGCAACUGACGGCAUUCAUGUGAACUAGAAAUUCAAUAUGAACUACUGAUUCCAGAACUUUGUUUUAUGUCAUUAACUGCCUGAAACUUUAGACUUUUCAGCUAUGCUGCUCGGACUCUUCAAAAUUGUCGACGGUUGUGCCUCGGAUCCUCCAAAAAUAGUGUAUUUUUGAAGGAUCCGAGCAACUUAGCUUUUUAGUGUCUUUGAACUGUAUUUUCUUUUGGCAUUCUCAGUUUUAUUUACUUAUUAAUUUAUAUACGUUUAUUGUUUUUUUUUUAAAUAUAAAAAUCCUCGAUAGAAAUAAGUACAAGCAAGGGGGGCAAUGCCUUACCUUGUCAAUCCUAAUGAGGCAACGAACCUCUACUAAUUAACAAGCAUGACAAAAUAAGAGCUAGAGAGAACUAGGUAUUCUAUGAUCAUCACGUAAUUUGUAAUACACUCUAUGAUGAUAUUACAAAUGAGAAUACUUGAAAAAUGCACAAAUAUAAAAUCCAAGAAGAAAGUUGAGUUAUCAACCUCAAACUUACUUUUACAAAUGCGUGAAUUAAAAAUAAUAGAUAAGUAACCUGAAGUAUUUUCAUCUUGUCUUCUUCAAAUCUGUCCAACAAAACUUGAUAGUUCAUCAUUUCUUCUUGGAUGUAUUGGAUCUUGUUGAAGCUAUUGACACUGUCGUAUGAUUCUGCUUUGCCUGUCGCAUCGGUAGGUGCCUUGGAACAAACUCUCUUGUCACUUUACCAUCCCAACUGUGCUGCCUCCCAUGUGUCUUCUUUUUGUUUUCGUUGCUUCCACUUCUUUGAUGCCGAGGUGAGAUAUCCCCAUCCCUAGCCACUUUAUCAAAACAUACAUCCAACAUAUUUUCUUCCUCAUCCUCAUUAAAAGAAUCAUCGCCCAAAUCACUAUCAUAACCCCUAGUUGGACUAAAUUCUGAUGCUAAGGCCUCUUGUUCAUUCUUCUUUGCAAUUAUACUUUUAGGUACAAAUUUCCAAAGCUUAUGGACUUAAUUUUCUAUUCAAAAGAAGUGGUGAAACAUGCUCUUCUUCAUCACCAAAUCAGCCCACGUAGGAGUACUCAUCUCCCUUUGUUUUUCUUUCGAGUCCUCAUGAGCUGAGGUGUUCGAUGUGACCAUGGGUGACUUGAUCGCUGAAUUGGGUUUGAGCAACAUGGCAGCCUCACUUUCUUGAAUAAUCUUAGCUACUUCAGGAUUAGAGAUAUAUAAUGUAGGACUCAUAACUCUGUCAUUUUUUUUGGUCUGCAUGCUACAUACUCAAGUUGGCAUGCUAGCUGAUUGUAUAUUAUUAUCAAAAUCAACUUGAACCAAAGUUUGCUCCUUCAUGGGAUUAGAAUCAACUAACUCUAAUUCUUUCUCCACCUCGAGUGCUUCAAAUGGAUUUGUACAAACGAUGUCCUUCGGUUCAUUAGAUUGCACUACUACAUUAGUAGUUAGCUGCUGCUUAUUUUCAAGGCAUGGAGAUAUACUUCGACUUGCCGAGGAACCAAUACACAUAGAAAUUGAUUUUUUUUGUGCAAUUGUGUUCCAAUUCCCAGUUGCAUUCUCAUCACGACUAGAAAUUUCAACUUGCAAAUCGAUAGGUUCCAAAGGUUGCAAAUCACCACAUCAGAUUUUGGCGUCUGUAUAGCAUCGUGAAGUUUCUCAGGAGUAUGCUUAUCACCUUGCCUCAUACUUGAAUUUUCAGCAACAACUUCAUUCUCUUUUAUCUCGUUAAUUUUUUGCGCAAAUUGUGCAUCGUUGGAUUGAUUUGUAUCCACAACGAGUUGCUCUUCAACUUCAACAUGAUCAGCUGAAUUACAACUUUGUUGGUUGGGAGAAGUAUUUUUUUGCCGUGAAAACUCAUCAGUUUGAGGAAUUAAGGAUAACAUUCAAUUCCUAGAAGAGUAGUCGUCUAACACUGCUUUGCCCAGACGCUGGCCAGAAUUUUGGUGCACCAAAUUUUGAUGUUUAACACCACUCUUUUCAGCCCCUAUCUCUAAAUCUUUAAUUGUUCCUUCGUCAUCCUUUUCACCAACUUCCAGCCUAUUUGAAUCAGCUUUUUUAGCAUUGAGAUGAACACGAAGAUGACCUUGAAAUUUUUCUCCUUCAAUAUGAUUUUCACUGACCGUGGCAUCAACUUGACCAUCAGUGAGAGUUCGACAAUCAACUUCUCUAUGCCCCUGAUGUUUACAUCUCUUACAAUAAUAUGGUAAAUAAUAAUACCUGAUUUUUUGCCAUACUUUUGUAAUCUCGUCUAUGAAUUUUUGAAUUGAACUCUAAUUCUUUUUGGAAGCGUCCUUAACAGAUCCACUCAACUUUUACCCUUGCAGUACUAGGUCGUGUUUUAUCAUUGGUCGCUUGAUCCACAUCAAGAGGUUGUCCAACUACUGAAGCCAUUGAAAAUAGAGCAUUACGAGCAAAAUAUUGACAGGGUAAACUUGGGAAAGAAAUCCAUGCCAUUGCAAUGGAGGUUUCUUCCAUAGGACUAAAAGAAGGAGUCCACUUUUGGAUUCUGAACGGUAUAACAGUACCGGCAAACUUAAUCGACCUACUAGUUUUAGAAAAGAUUGCAAUAUAAUCUUCCUUCAAAGUGAACCGCAACAGCACAUGUCGACUUUCUAAUAACCCAAUGUUACAUUCACCCUUAAAUCUUAAUUGUUGAGGCAAUAUUUUCCGUAAAUCUGGAAGUUCAGGCCUUCCAUGUGAGAAUUUGGCUAUGAGAGCGUAUUUUAGAUUCUCCUCCGUGAUAAACGUUUCAAGGUCUUUGGAGUCAAAAACCACCAUGGGUUCUCCAUGUAAAAGACUGACUGGUUUGAGAGAUUUCUCAGUAUAUUGUUUGAUUCUCGCUGAUUGACUAAGCAUAUGUGCGACCUGUAUUAGGGUUGGCGUUUUUCUCUCCCACAACCAUAGGCUGGGGAGAGGGCGAAGCAGCCAUGGCUGCUAUUCACGCCAUAUUUCGAUUGAGAGAGAGAGAGAGAAGAGAACUUUUGGGUUUAGGGUUCCCCGAUUUUAUUGUUUUAUAUACGUUUAUUGGAAAAUGUUGUUUACGGUUUUCUUUUUUUGAUGGAACACUGAAAAAAAUUUAAAAGUUCAUUUAUUUUAGAGCCAAGUGUGCAACUUUGGUAAGUCUAGUUUAUCUAGGUCUUAGGAAUAACAUGGUGAAACUUAGUUCUUGAAGAAUUCUUAUCAAGUCUUCGGGAACCAAGUCAGAAUCGUUAGGAAUCAAUCAAUUAAGUUGAAUGUGCUUAGAGAUGUAUCAUAUGAUACCAGUUGACAUGUCUCAUGUCACAACAAAAAUGAUGUUACCAUGUGGGUACUAGUCCAAUAACUACAGUUUCCUGAAAAGUGCCCUUUUCCAGGGCAAAGGAUGUUAAGACCUUGCAAAACUAUUGCUGAAUCAAUCCCUAAAUAGAACUUAGAGUAGAAUUCGUUUUCACCGAGCAAUAAGCAUGAAUACAAAGUAAGCUCACAUGAAUAUUAAUGUUCAAAAAAAAAAAAGUAAGCUCACAUGAAUAUUGUGUUAUACCUGUGAGUUAUUUUUCUAUGACUCAUGAGCUUAGAUGAUUUGUUGGCAAGUAAAUAUCAAUAGCGGAUGAGGUAAUUACUUAGGGUUUCUAUUUCGGCUCGAUGUAGGUAGUCUCUGCUGCACAUUAUUGUUCUCUUGUGGAACUCUCUCUAAGGCUUUUUUUUGUGACAUGUACUUUUACUUUAAGCUUAUCUCAGCACUUCUAAAAUUUUGGAGUUUGGACUUGCUUAGUUACAUAAAUGGUUCAUUUGUUCUUCAUAAUUCAUUAUACUGAAAGUCCUUUACACCCAACUAAAUAUCUAAUUCAGAGUGGUAUAGAAUCUUUAGAAGACCAAGAUCAUACUGAACCAAUAAAAACCCACUACCUUUUCCAAUUAGGCAUCUAUAACUAUGGUAAUUCGGGAUAUUUCUAGUUAGUGAACUUUGAUUCGUUCCUUUAUUAUUGGAUUCUAUUAUUGUGCUCCUUUAUCUUCUCUCUUCUUUGUAUUUCUUGAAUUUAAGCCUCCAAUAUGUAAUCCUGUUUCCUGUUCUUGAUUUUGUGUCAUAUUCUACUACCCUUUCUAUAGUGAGACACAGAAAUGGCUCAAGGAACUUGUGCUAUUUUUAGUAUGUAUCGCUCCUUAACAGCCCCCACUUUGAAGCCUUAAAACCCAAGUAUUCUGGUCCAUAUUUCAAGGAUAAAGCCAAGUUUGUAGCCUGUCCAACAUCAGAUUUUGAUAUAUAAUAAGAGCAUUCUUUCUGUCAUUUGUUUGUUCAUUAUCAACAGUAAAGUCAAAUAUUAAUGUGAUUUGAUUUUCUGACUGACUUAAAAAUUUCUUGAUCUUCUUACUAUAUUUUGUUGAGUUUAAUUGGUGAUGUUAUUUAGUUUGGAACAGGGCCACAGGUGUUUGGAAUUUUUGUAGGGUUGCAUUCUGUUAAAUUGUGAAGAUAUUGAAAUCACAAUGAACCAACGUAGCACAAUCGAUCUGGAACAUGGAUGGGGCAUCAUUCAAAGGGGCAUAACAAAGCUGAAAAACAUUCUAGAAGGGCUGCCUGAGCCGCAGUUUAACUCAGAGGACUAUAUGAUGAUGUAUUCGUAUCCUUUUAGACUCCCACACUGUUAGGCAUGUGGAUAACUUGGAUUUGAUUCACCUUUUGUUUCCUUAAGUCUACUAACAGGACAAUUUACAAUAUGUGUUCUCACAAUCCCCUACAUGAUUAUUCUCAACAGCUGUAUGAUAAAUAUCGUGAAGCUUUUGAAGAAUAUAUCAUAACAACGGUAAGGGUAGCUGCAGUUUUCAUUCACAUUUCACAUUAGUAGAAAUUAAACAAGGUACUACAAUAAAACAAGAAAAAUAAGAAUUUUUGAGAAGUAUUAUUCUUAAUUUUUCUAUGAUGUUUGUUAUAUCCACGUACCAUUCUUGAUUGUUUGCUCUCUAUGUAUCAUUCUAGAAUAUUUGGAACUUAAAAAAAUGAUAUCUCUAAUAAAGAAACAAAAAAUCAUUAGUCUGGUGAGCCCUUUGUUUCUAUUUUAUUUUUCAAUUUUAGCCAUGUAACAAAGAGGGCUUAGUAUGGGUAGUUUCCUUGGUUCCUUCUGUGAUUUUAUUUUCUGCCCUCCAUGAUUUUAUUUAAUAAGGAUCCAUGUGCAAGUAUCAACAUUUUUUUGGGAUGUGAAUGUUUAUGUAAUUCAGGCAUUGCUUUCCCAAGAGGCAUAUUAUCUUUUAGUUUUAUUCCCAUAAUUAUAUGAUUCAAAUUUAGAAAGUCUGCUCUUGCUGCUUCUUUAUUCCAUAGCAUAUUAAGAAAAGGAUACGGGGAAAGUGGAUAGAAGUUUCAAAACACAGCUAAAUUACACGGAUUUUUUGUAUGUUAUUUUAGGCAUGCAAUUUUUCUUAGGAGUUUAAAAUGAUGAAAACUCAAAUUUAGGUUAAAGUUUGUUUACCUAAUUUUUGUUUCUCCAAAUAAUUCUACCUUAUCUAAAUUUCACAUUGCAAUUCAAUUUCAAAUUAGGUAUUGCCUUCUUUGAGAGAAAAACAUGACGAGCUCAUGUUGCGAGAGCUGGUAAAAAGGUGGUUAAAUCAUAAGGUCAUGGUCAAAUGGUUGUCGAGAUUCUUCCAGUAUCUUGAACGCUAUUUGAUUGUCCAGAGAUCUCUGCCGGGACUUAUAGAAGUUGGAUUAACUUGCUUCCGUGAUCAGGUAAUUUACAGUUCUCCUUCUCUUUUUUCUUUUCGUCAAAACUUUGUUUCUAUUGUCAUCUAUUAAUACAUCUCCACCUGCUCUCUUGGUUAAAGAACUGAGUUCAGCUCAUCGCUUCUAUAUUGAUCUUUUUAUUUCUAUUUUCUGGGUUUUGCCUCUUCUAGAAUUUGGUUUUCAGUUUGACAGUAUACUAGUCAACUGCUGCCACAUCCUUUUACGAGAAGAUGUUAUCAUUUAGUCCCUCCAUCCCAAUUAUGUGAAGGUGAUUGACUGGGCACGGAGUUUUAAGAGAAAAAGAAAGAAUUUUGAAACUUGUGGUAUAAAGUAAGCUAUAUGAACUUAAGUAAAACAAGGAGUUUGAAGUUAAAUUGUUACUAAUAUGGAAAGAUGUCCCUUUUUUGUGGACUGACUAAAAAAGAAAGAGUAUCACAUAAAUUGGGACAGAGGUAAUAUCUUACUGGCAACUGUUUUCUAUUUCAGGUCUACCAAGAGUUGAAUGGAAAAGUCGGGGAUGUUGUUAUAUCUCUGGUAUCCCUUUUGUCUUGCUCUGAGUUCUCACUACCAUUUCUUUUUUUCCUUUUAAUUGAGCAACAACAUUCCUCUAACCAGAUUGAUCAAGAGCGUGAGGGAGAGCAAAUUGACAGAGCUCUACUAAAGAAUGUGCUAGAUAUAUAUGUUGAAAUUGGAAUGGGGUUAAUGGAUUAUUAUGAGAACGGUUUUGAAGCUGCAAUGCUCAAGGACACAAUGGCUUAUUAUUCUUGCAAAGCUUCUAACUGGAUCAUCGAAGAUUCAUGUCCAAAUUAUAUGCUGAAAGUUAGUAUACUGCAUAUGCAACCCCUUAAUUCUGCAUUCUUUCCUUGUUGCUUCUUCUGUCUGCCUUUUUUCUGGUUAAAUUCCAUAUGCUAACCUACAUAAUCAUGUCAAUGUUCCUUUAGGCCGAGGAGUGCUUGAAACGGGAGAAGGAUAGGGUCUCUCAUUAUCUCCAUUCAAGCAGCGAGACAAAGUUGCUUGAGGUUCAUUCUAGCUCUUAAUCUUUUUUCUUUACUGGAACUUUAGCCUUCAAAAUGGUGGAUGUUGCUAUCAGUUUUUAUUGUUCACAUCUUCUUUUUUCUGGAUCUAGCCUAUCAACUUUAAAUUAGCUGCAACUUUACUCCUCUCACCUUUCUGCAGAAAGUGCAACAUGAGUUGUUGUCUGUGUAUGCCACUCAACUUCUUGAGAAGGAGCACUCUGGAUGCCAUGCGUUACUAAGAGAUGAUAAGGUAGUUAGCAGCAUCUUAAUGACCAUGUUUUUUUUUUGCAGUAAUUGACACAAUCAUGAUUAUUUUAUUAGGUUGAAGAUUUAUCAAGGAUGUAUAGGCUCUUUUCUAAGAUCCCUCGAGGCUUAGACCAUGUGGCCAAUACUUUUAAGCAGGUUUGUGAUCUCAUGACCUCAUCUUCUCAAUUGUAUGCCUAUAAGUUACUUCAUGUAUCCUUCUUUUUAAUCUGAAUGCAGCAUGUUACUGCUGAAGGGACAGCUUUGGUAAAACAGGCUGAAGAUGCUGCUAGCAAUAAAAAGGUUUGUACAAUCUACCCUUUUCUCACAAAAUCUGUUUCUUUCCCUCCAAAAAAAACUCACAAAAUCUUAAAAAAUACAAAAUAGCUCCUUGCCGAUUUUCUGGCCAAAAAUUGAAGCUUUUCACUGGAAAAUUACUCCACAUGACAAAAACCUCCUCAAGAUCAGCCAUUGUAGUUCUCCAUUGUUGUAGAAGCUCGAAAUAUUUCAUCCAUUAUAGAAGAGCUCGUUUUUCCAGCAGCCUCUUUCCAGUCGUUUUUGCAGCGACAUUUUGUUGUUACAUUUCACCAUUCCAGUAGCUCAUCUGACCUAUAAGAGAUCUAUCCCCGUGGUUUUCUUUUUUCUAGUAUUUAAAAAUCAUCAAGCAGUGAGCAGUAGCAUCGACCAUUACUGGCUUAUUAUGUCGUUUGCUGAAUAUAGUGGUGAUUAUGGUGGUGAAUGGGAGGAGACUUCAAAAUGUUGGAAGUGGAACCCUCUGAGUAAGGUGACAGUGUCCAUUGUCCUGCGUCGCAAUAGUACAUAUGAUGACAUGGUUGAGGGAAUUAAAUUGUGAGCCUAGCAACUUGAUCAUUAGUUAUUUGAUGAAUGCUGAGGGAAAAAUUCAUCCAUAUUUCAUAACAAAUGAUAGGCAGGCAGGGUUGUGCUUGUUUGAUUUUGUCCCUGAUGGUCCUAGACUAAUUUUCUGGGUUAAAGUUGUUGAGAGGCAUGAAUAAGAAGAAGGUUCAACACCAUUAGGGUGGGGGUGGGUGGGGGGAUUGUCCCUGGAAAAUGCUUGAUAUAAAUAUUAGAGAAAGGGAAAAUCCAUUCAUUAGAAAGCUCAUGCUGCUUCACAAUACAUCAAGUAAAAAGUUAUUCUAAACUCAGUGAAAAAAGUUAGAGACAAUAAGUUCAGGGACCUUUCUCAAAAAGCAGCAAUCCCUUGAAAAGGGGAGAUGACUGCUAGAAUAUAUUGUGUAUCACAUCUUGAGCUGUCAGUUUGUGAGACUAGCUAUUUAUUGCUGAUUAGAGCAUUUUGCUAUUUUUUUAUUUUUUUUCCGGCUUACCACCCGGUGUUCAGUACCCGCAUUGGGGCUCGAGUAAUCCGAGUUCGCGCCAGGAUGUCUCACACUGGGGUAAAGCGCUCCGUAAUUAAUGCGACUCCAUAACCAAGGGAACUCUAACCGGAGACCUGAUUAAGGAGUAGGGAUUACUUACCACUCCACCACAACCCUUGUUCGUAACAUAUUGCUUUUCUGCUUUUUUAAUUUCCAUAUUGUGCUUUUUAAGGAGUAGGGAUUACUUACCACUCCACCACAACCCUUGUUCGUAACAUAUUGCUUUUCUGCUUUUUUAAUUUCCAUAUUGUGCUUUUUAAGGAGUAGGGAUUACUUACCACUCCACCACAACCCUUGUUCGUAACAUAUUGCUUUUCUGCUUUUUUAAUUUCCAUAUUGUGCUUUUGAUGAGUUUUGUUCAGAGAUUUCUUCAGAACAUCAUAUCUUCUCUUUUGUAUCAAAAGCAUGAAAUCACAAAGUUGGACUUCCAUCUCAAUGAUUGUUUUGUUUCAUUUACUUUAUUUGGUGGUUGGGAAUGCUACUUAAAAAAGAUGGUAAACGUUUCUUUAAAGCAGAACCCCCCAUCAAAUUUGAUACUUAUCUUAGAGAAAGUGCAUGAGCAGUUGCUUAGGAAACCAACAAGUACUUUUUGUCUCUUUUCCUUCUUUUAUGUAUUUUAACUUUUCUUCUUCUGCUGGCUAGAACAAUGUCAAAAUUAAUUCAUUUCAUCUUUUUAGGGAUGAUUCUCUAAAAGAUGAGACUGGUAUUUCUUUGUGAGUGCAUUUAAUAUAAUUGCUCAAUGUCUUGCGUUCUUUCUGAUCAACUAGUGUUCUUAAACAGGCAGAUAAGAGAGAUGUGGUUGGUUUGCAGGAACAGGUAAUCCCUUAGUAAAUCUGUUAUCUGAUCCUUUAAUAUGUUUUCGGCGGUUAACUUCUGAAUUUUCAGGUUUUUGUUCGGAAAGUCAUUGAGCUUCAUGAUAAAUAUUUGGCAUAUGUGAAUAGUUGUUUCCAAAACCACAUACUUUUUCACAAGGUAUGUGUUGGAAGGAAUGAUAGUUGUCUAAUUUAAUUGUUCUACUCUGUGCAUUAGGUCUGUGCAUAAGGGUAAAAGUAAAUUGCUAAUAUCUGUCCCCUUUGUCACUUUCUAGGCACUUAAAGAAGCUUUCGAGCUUUUCUGCAACAAGGGUGUUGCUGGUAGCUCAAGCACUGAAAUUCUUGCCACAUUCUGCGACAACAUUCUCAAAAGAGGCGGGAGUGAGAAAUUGAGAGAUGAAGCCAUAGAAGAGACAUUGGAGAAGGUGAGCUCUUUCUCUAUAAAUCCCCUUCCCUUCUUUUCUUCUAGAGCAUCUGCUUUUUCUUUGUACAACUGGAGCAGAAGCUGAUAAUAGAUUUCACUUGCAGGUGGUAAAGCUGCUAGCUUAUAUUAGUGAUAAGGACUUGUUUGCAGAAUUCUAUAGGUAGAGUUACCUCUACUCUGUAUCUCAACCACUACUUGAAUAGUAGCUUCUUUUCUGUUACAAGUUAAUGACUUCCUUUUUUUUCAGGAAAAAGCUAGCUCGGCGGUUGUUAUUUAAUAAGAGUGCCAAUGUUGAACAUGAGAGAAGUAUCAUAACAAAGUUGAAGCAGCAGUGUGGGGGGCAGUUCACAUUAAAGAUGGAGGGAAUGGUAAACUACCCAGAUCAAUUAUUCUGAAUUUGAGGCUAUGUUCUCUGGUGACAUUCUUCUUCUCGUCCUAUAGGUCACAGAUUUGACAUUGGUAAGGGAAAAUCAAGCCAGCUUUGAGGAGUACGUGAGCAACAAUCCAAUAGCAAAUCCAGGAAUUGACUUGACGGUGACUGUCUUGAAUACUGGCUUCUGGCCUAGCUACAAGUCUUUUGAUCUCAACCUCCCAACAGAAAUGGUAUAUCAUAUAAAUAUGUUUAAUGUCAUUAUGCAGUUGAUUUUAUCAUGAUUUUGACCCUUGUUCCUCUUGCUGAAGUUCUUCUCUUUCGGCAAAGAAUGAUGCAUGUUUUUUUUGCUUGAAUCAUAUUUCUUCUCAAACGUCUUGUCAAUGAUUCAUUUUAUGUUGCGCAUUGUCAGAUUAGGUGCGUUGAAGUAUUCAAGCAGUUUUAUCAAACAGAAACGAAGCACAGGAAGCUUACGUGGAUAUACUCUUUGGGAACUUGCAUUAUAAAUGGAAAAUUUGAGCCAAAGUCUAUUGAGCUCGUUGUCACUACUUAUCAGGUUGAUUGUUGGCUUACUUUUUGAAAUCGGAUAGGCUUAGUUAGUUUGAAACAUUUUUAUUACCUUAUCAAUGAGAAAACGAGAUUGAGAUUUCUUCCUUUUUGUAGGCUUCUGCUCUGCUGCUCUUUAAUGCAUCAGAUAGAUUGAGUUAUCAGGAAAUCAUGACACAAUUAAACCUGUCAGAUGAUGAUGUUGUUCGGCUUCUUCAUUCCCUUUCGUGUGCGAAGUACAAGAUUCUCAACAAGGAGCCAAGCACCAAAACAAUUUCUCCGACUGAUGUCUUUGAGUUCAACUCAAAGUUCACUGACAUAAUGAGGAGGAUGAAGGUACAAUAAUGAUGAGUAAGGUUAGCCUUUGUACUAUGAAUUGUUGCACUACAUUACUGACCCAGUGAGGAUAUUGCUGUAAUGGUAUGCAGUUACCUCUGGCUCCUGUUGAUGAGAAGAAAAAGGUAAUUGAAAACGUUGACAAGGAUAGGCGGUAUGCUAUAGAUGCUUCGAUUGUGCGUAUUAUGAAGAGUCGUAAAGUACUGGGCUACCAGCAACUGGUCAUUGAAUGCGUUGAGCAGUUGGGACGGAUGUUCAAGGUAUCCUCAGGGAUAAACUUCUGCUUCUCAAUUUUCAUGUUCAUUAUUCAAGUUCAACUGAGCUAAUUACUUUGUUUUGGAUACUCAUAGCCUGAUGUCAAAGCUAUCAAGAAGAGAAUUGAAGAUUUGAUAACUAGAGAUUACCUUGAGAGGGACAAAGAUAAACCAAACUUGUUCAAGUACUUGGUAUGAUUUGUGCAAAUCAUGGUGAAUGAGUGAUGUUUACAGGACUUCUGCAAUCGACAUAGGAGGAGAAACAUGCCGCCCAAGAUGAAGACGGAUUUCUGCAACUCCUACCUUCCUGGACCUUUUAUUGCCUUGCAUCAGGAGCUUGAAUCAUUUUGUACAAAUGGUUAAGAACUUAAGAUCUCAGGAAAAAGUAGAAUUGCCUCUCAGAUACUUCAGUUGAGAUUGCCUUAACUUCUUCCAGUCUUAUAUGGCCCUUUCGCGUGCUCUAUUCCGUGUUUGUCAGCUAUCUGUUCGAGUUUUGAGUAAAUGUAAUAUUCUAGUCACAGCUUACCCUCUCUGGAUUUAGCACAAUGGUAAUUACUUUUAGGAUAUGCUCUACAAUCCUACUUUCUUGGUUCUUUGUAGAUUGUGAUUUGAACCUUGGUGGUCCUUAUGGGGCCUUCUUUCAACCUUGGGCAAGUUUAUUGGAUCUGGAACCUCAUUACUCAACAGUUAUCUAUUGAAUGAAUCACUUGCCUAAGUUUUAGGUCCAUUAUCCCAAACUUUACAGAUGUGAAAAACUUGUAGCUUCGGAAUGACAUUCAGACCUGAAUCUGAAUUGUAUGGCUUUGUAGAUAGAAGAUACCAGCUCGAUAUAUUAACACUCAUAAGGUUACAAAAAUAUGCUACAUAAAAUUACAUAACUAGCUAGUAAUAGAAAUUAUGAGAAACACCAUAUGUUUACAUAGCCGGGUCAAGUGUGUAAUGGUCUCUGAUCUGACACCAAUCAUCCUCGAGCCUAGAGCCAAAUCUUAGGCAUGUGAAAGUACACAAGUGUUGGUGAUAAUAGCCUUUUUAGGUGGCAAAAUAGCUUUUUGCCUAGUAUCUGUAACUUUUUUACCCUUUAAGUAAGCCCUUACAUAUGGAAAAGAUCUUGAAUCUUAAUAUUUUCUUGCUCUCGUUGUUAUAUCGAUUUCAUAUUAAUGUUCUUAUGGCAUAAUCAAUAUUCGUUCUUUAUUAUUGUUUCAUCAACAGCCCAAAAAAGAAAAGGAAAAGAGUUUGAUCGAUAUAUUAAAAUUCACUUGUCAUUAAGCCCUAAUUUGGAACACUUUUAUUACGUUAUCAAUGAGAAAACGAUAUUGAGACUUCCUUUUCGUAGGCUUCUGCUCUGCUUCUCUUUAAUGCAUCAGAUAUAUUGAGUUAUCAGGAAAUCAUGGGCCAAUUAAACCUAUCAGAUGAUGAUGUUGUUCGGCUUCUUCAUUCCCUUUUAUGUCCGAAGUACAAGAUUCUCAACAAGGAACCAACCACCAAAACAAUUUCUCCGACUGAUGUCUUUGAGUUCAACUCAAAGUUCACUGGCAAAAUGAGGAGGAUCAAGGUACAAUUAAUGAUGAGUAAGGUUAGCCUUUCUACUAUGAAUGUUGCACUACAUAACUUACCCCAUGAGGAUAUUGCUGUAAAUGUAUGCAGAUGCAUCUCCCCCUUGUUGAUGAGAAGAAAAAGGUAAUUGAAGACGUUGACAAGGAUAGACAGUAUGCUAUAGAUGCUUCAAGUAGUGGGGGUGGGGGAUUGGGUGAGUAAGAGGAGACAAUAAACUUGGAAAAAGGAACCAUUGAUGACAAGAAGAGAAUCGAGUGAGAUGUGAAUCUCUCUUUCUCCUUUUAUGUGUUUUUCCUUUUUCCUCGAAAACCCCCUUAUACUUCUAACUAUUUCCAUUUUUGUCGCGGUUAAGCCCUGAAGCAAGACUCAAAACGUGUUGAGCGCUUCAGCUUGCUUUAUGUGCGCUUCUAUAUUGUCAUUAAGGUUCUAAGGCAAACUUUUCCUUGCCAAUGAGCCUCUUCGGAAGAAGUGAUCAUAAUUUUUUUUCAAUUUCUAUGGUCAUAUAUUUGUCAUGUAUGUUUAUAAUUAUUAAUCUUAGACUAAACAUAUAUAUUUGUAUAUUUUGUCCCUUUGCGCUUUUUUAAUUAAAGCCCACACUUUAUUUGCGCUUUGCGCUUAAAGCCCCAACGGACCUUAGAGUUUUUUUGCUCUUUUCGCCUUUGAUAACACUGAUUCAUUAGGAAAGUCAUUUUCCUAGAUUAUUUUUUUUUUAAAGCAUUUUGACCAAUCAAAUAUUAAAAAUAUGGAAUAAAUAGACAACACUCUCAAAAAAGAAAAAGAAAAAGUACUCAAGCACUUUGGGUAAAAAUGCAUAAAACCCAAAAAUAGUUGGAAUACAUUUGCAAUAACUCUGAAUGAAAAACAAAGAAAUUACCCCGGCAAAAAUGGAAAUAGUUAGAAGUAUAAGGGGAUUUUCGAGGAAAAAGGAAAAUCACAUAAAAGGGGAAAGAGAUUCACAUCUCACCCGAUUCUCUUCUUGUCAUCAAUGGUUCCUGCCUUCCUGGCAGCUCCAUCUUGUGCCCUCAUCGGGUCGAGACUCUCUGAUCACCCUUUCGGCAAAUUCCUUCACUCUCCAGUGACAUCACAGGUACAUUUUCCGGUUAAAUUGUGAGUUCCGAUUCGAUGUACAUUGUUCCCACAUAUGUAUAUACCUAUGAUGCAUAGUUGAUGUGGUGCUUUCGGUUUAAUUGCUUCUUCCUUUGCUUCGGAUUGAUCCUGUUAUUAAUUUUGUUUCCAGUAGCUAUUGAAAUUGUGCUAUUUUGUUGUGGUUGAUUUUGUGAUCUUCAGAGCUGUUAUUGAUGGACUAGUUUUAUGUUGUUUUUUAUUUCUCUAUAGUUGAUUCUGAGCAUGAGUGUUUUGUCCUUUUGAAGUUAGGUAUAGUGGAGGUUUAGUAUUCAUUACUGGUAGGUUUUGAGUUUAAUUUUUUGUUCAUUAUUUGUUGCAACUGACGGCGUUCAUGUAAAAUAGUGUAAUUUUGAAGGAUCCGAGCAACUUAGUUUUUCAGUGUUUGUGAUGUGUAUUUUUUUUUGCUAUUCUCAGUUUUAUUUACUUAUUAAUUUAUAUAUGUUUAUUGGAAAAUGUUGUAUACGGUUUUCUUUUUUGAUGGAAUCCUGAAAAGAUUUUAAAAGUUCAUAUCUUUUAGGGCCAAGUGUGCAAUUUUGGUAUUUCUAGUUUAUGCAGGUCCUAGGAAUAACUUGGUGAAACUUAGUUCUUGAGGAAUUCCUAUCAGGUCAGGGUCUUCGGGAACCUUAAUCGUUAGGAAUCAAUCAAUUGUAUGGAAUGUGCUUAGAGAUGUAUCAUAUGAUACCAGCCGACAUGUCUCAUGCCACCAAAAUGUUGUUAUCGUGUGGGUACUAGUCCAAUAACUGCAAUUUCCUGAAAACUGCCCCUUUUCAGGGCAAAGGACGUUAAGAGCUUGCAAAAAAAUUGCUGAAUCAAUCCCUAAAUAGAAUUUAGAGUAGAAUUCCUUUUCACCAAGCAAUAAGCAUGAAUAAAAUGUAAGCUCACAUGAAUCAUGAGCAUAGAUGAUUUGUUGGCAGGUAAAUAUCAAUAGCGGAUGAGGUAAUUACUUAGGGUUUUUAUUUCGGUUGAAUGUAGGUUGUCUCUGUUGCACAUUAUUGUACUCUUGUGAAGCUCUCUCGAAGGCGUCUUUUUUUUUUGUGUGACAUGUACUUUUACUUUACGCUUAUCUCAGCACUUCUAAAUUUUGAAGUUUGGACUUGUUUAGUUACAUAAAUGGCUCAUUUGUGCUUAUUAUACUUGAAGUCCUAUACAUCCAACUAAAUAUAUAAUUCAGAGUGGUAAAGAAUCUUUAGAAACAAAGAUCACACUGAACCAAUAAAAAAACUCACUACCUUUUCCAGUUAGGCAUCUAUAACUGUGGUAAUUCGGAAUAUUUCUAGUUAGUGAGCUUCGAUUCUUUCCUUUAUUAUUGGAUUUUAUUCUUGUGCUCCUUUAUCUUCUCUCCUCUUUGUAUUACUUGAAUUUAAGCCGCCAAUAUGUAAUCCUGUUUCUUGUUCUUGAUUUUUAGUCAUAUUCUUCUACCCUUUCUAUUGUGAGACCCAGAAAUGGCUCAAGGUACUUCUGCGAUUCUUAGUAUGCAUCACUCCUUAACAGCCCCACACUUCGAAGCCUUGAAAUCCAAGUAAUCUGGUCCAUAUUUCAAGGAUAAAGCCAAGUUUGUAGACUGUCCAACAUCAGAUUUCGGUAUUUAAUAAGAGCAUUCUUUCUGUCAUUUGUUUGUUUAUUCUCAAGAAUAGAGUCAAAUAUUAAUGUGAUUUGAUUUUCUGAUUGGCUUAUAACUUGCUUGAUUUUCUUAUUAGCUUUUGUUGAGUUUAGUUGGUGAUGUUAUUUAGUUUCGGAACAGGGCCACAGGUGUUUGGAAUUUGUGUAAGGUUGCAUUCUGUUAAAUUGUGAAGAUAUUAAAAUCACAAUGAUCCAACAUAGCACAAUCGAUCUGGAACAUGGAUUGCAUUCAUGCAAAGGGGCAGCGCAAAGCUGAAGAAUAUUCGAGAAGGGCCGCCUCAGCUCAGAGGACUAUAUGAAGCUGUAUACACAUCCUCUUAGACUCCCACACUGUUAGGCAUGUAGAUAACUUGGAUUUGAUUAACCUUUUGUCUCCUUAAGUGUACUAGCAGGA